rnacentral:lncRNA from 1 species
UGGUAACGCAGGUUUUGGAAAUUCAGGCAAUUCAGGGACUUUUGGGAGCUCAGGUUUUGGAAUCUCAGGCAAUUCAGGUUUUGUUAGCGGUGGCAAUUCAACUUUAGGUAAUUCAGGCUUCGACAAUGGAGGUAAUUCAACUUUAGGCAAUUCAGGUUUCGGGAAUGGAGAUAACUCAACUUUCGGCAGUUCGGGCUUGGGUAUUUCUGGCAAUGCUACCUCCAGAAGGUGUCGAGCAUCUACUAUAUUAAUAUUGUACCACAUUGACGAGAGGGUAACAAGUAAAAGUGUUAAGAAAAAAGAUGGAAAAGAUUGAUAAGCCAUGGUUUGAUAGCUUUGGGUAAGUAGGGGUUGAAGAUGAGGAUGAGCAAUAGGGUUAUAUAUAUGUCAAUCAAUUGAAAGAACUAGGGCAAGUGUUUUUGUGCAUAGGGUUUCAUGUGAAUGGCCUUUUAUUGAUACAUAUGAGAAAUGGAGAUAAGGUGUUUUCAGUUAACGUUUGGUGCGACAAAAAGAAUGAAGGAAAAAUAGAAAAGCUUAGUCUUGUUAAUUUAGUUCAACUUCUCACCUGCAUUACUUGCAUGGAUAAACAUGGCAAAAAUUUUAUUGCCAACCACUUUCUAGAUAUGCGUGGUUGUAUUUUGUGACUUUCUUGCCUAGAUGUUUUCACAUGGACUUGUAGAAAUUAUAUUCAAAGCCAUAUUCUAAGGGACGGAUACAAACAUUUUAAGAAGAAUAAUAUAUUAGUAUUUGUUUUAUUAUAUUUUGACAGUAUAAUAUAUCAUUUGAUCGAUCAACAAUUAAAUGUGCAAUGGUAUAGUCCAAAUUCUUUGUGAAAACAUAUUUUAUCCAAAGUGAAUCUAUAAAACAAUUCCAUUGUAGACUCUUAAUUGUUUGUGCACGUUUUCUUGUUAUGGUUAUUAAUUAAGCAAGCACUCUCUCUGGCUUGACAUGCACGCAAUCGUUCUUCUGUAACCAGUCCCAAAAUUGAGUACAAGGCUAACCAAAUAUAUAUAAUUAAGACAAAUAAAAAGUAGUCGAAGCAAUCUACCUCAAGCACAUUAUAAUUUAAGGGCUCCUGCAUAAAUAAUUAAUGCACAUAUUUUGAUUUAAAUAUUCUUUUAAUCCUUAUAUUUUCGGAAAAUAUAUCAAAAUAUUUAUGCAGUUAAAUUUAUUACAUUCUUACUCUUACAUUUUCUUUCUUUUUAUAAUAAUAUCCUUGCAGCAAUAUUGUUGACUUUACUUAAUUUAUCUAUAAAAACUUUAAUAAGCAAAUUAACCAAUAAUUAUUUAUGUACAAAUUAACUAAAAUACAUAUCAAUGUGAAAGAAAUAGUAUUUUUUUCACUUGUACAAUAAUCUCACUAAUAAUUUUUUAUCAAUAAAUUAAUAUCCACCAACUUAAUGCAAUUUUUAAUAUCCUGGAAACAAUCUUACUAGUAAUUAUUUAUAAAAAAUUAAUUUACUAAAUUAAGCUCAAAUAUAAAAUAAUAAUAUAAAAGUUUGUAUAAACUUUUAUGUUACUUUUAAAGUUAAUUUGAUAAUUUAUAAUUCUUUUUUUUCAUUAAUAUCCUAAGAAUAUUGUUGCAUAGGUGUUUGGGAAAGAAAUGGAAGGUUAAUAGGAAAAUGCUACUUGUCAAUAGUACUUAAUUAUGGAAAAGUCACCACAAGGAGGUUGGCUUAUAACGAGUAUAGUAAAUAUCACAAUGGCAUUCGACUUUCACCAUAUCAAGGGCAUAAAAGGCUAGAGAAAAUAUCCAAAAUAUUUGGCACGUGAAAUGUCAUUAUCGUUAAAAUGAACAGUGAUUCCUUAGCUAAAAAUGAGGAACUGAUUAGGAGAUAUUUGAUUGAAAAAGAGGGAGCAUCAAAAUAAUGGCUCAUCAAGCUUACAAAAAGCCAAAAAAUGGCUCAUCAAAAUAAUUGGUAUCAUUUGUCCUUAUCUGACACUCAAGCAAUCGCAUAUACCCUCUGCAGAGGCAUACUGUACCACUUAGCAUAUUCCAACACGUGUAUAUGGACAAAUUGUGUAAAUGAUGCUAACUUAUUCUCCAAGCAUGCUCUAUACGUGCAAACUGUCACAAAUGCUAAAGGACAAGAAUAUCCUUGUGCAAAGAGAGGAAAGUGCCAAUGAAAUUACGCAAGUGGCAUGAUGACCGGAAUAUCUCAGGGCACUACAUAUAAAGAUGCUCAGGUUUUCUCUUUCUAACUAAGCAAUUUUAAGCACUAAACAUUAAAAAAAAAAAAGGUGAAGGCUCUUCUUCUACCUUGAGCCAACACCAUUGCGGACUUGACUCUCAAAACAACACCAAACCCUUCCUAGCAACGUCAUUAUUUCCACUCUUUCUCAAGCUUUAUAAAAGGCAAUACAUCUUGAUUACACUAGGCACCACAAUCCUCUCAUUUAUAAAUUUAUUGUGUUUAGUUAGGUUUCUCUCUUUGUUUAAAAUCUUGUUAAAAGAAUUGGUGUCGUCUAGGUGAGGGGCAUACAAAAAGCCUCCACAACAAUUGCCAAACUAUUGUUGAGUGCGUUCACAUAAAGAUGGCACCAGACGUAACCUUUGAUGAUAUGGUGCAAGAUGCAGAGUAUAUCAAUGAUUCAAUAAGGAAAACAACUAGGCUUGACAAGGGCAAGUUGGUAAGUAAUGGGUUCUCGGGUACUAAAGCUGAAAGCCCACAAUUCAAGAAACUCCCCAACAUGAGCUGAAAAACAAAUCAUCCCACGUUUGGAGUUACAUAAUGAGGCAAGCCAAAGAACAGGUCAUCUAGUACCCAAUCCAAGUUUCAACUUAUGGGCUCUAGGGAUGAUCACUGUACAACCUCUAGCCACUUAUACAGUAGCUAAGGCACAAGCGUGCAAAAUGAGCCCACGAGAACCUAUGACAAAUUGGAUGAUAAAAGAUCUUCUGAAAUGAUCGCGACUUCUUUAGGUAUAGUUGGGAUACCCUGCAAGCUCUUGGAAAAAAUGGAAUAUCGUAAAACUCCUCUUUGAGAAGAAUAAUGCCACCGAUGCUCAAUAUUAGUGGUAUACAACUUGCCAUUCUUCAUCUUGGAUAUACGGACAACAACAUUUUCAAAGACAUUCAAUAUGCCUCAGCCUUCGAAACCCCAAUAUUUGGGUACCAAAGAUCUAAACGAGCAUGCUAAGCGAUAUAGGUGCUUAAGAGAACGAUAUGUCUAGGAUGUUUGCACACAUCCUCACCAGCCUUGACAAGUUAUAGUUCAAAUCUUUGAAGGCAAGUAGCAUAUACUCAUUAAACUAGUUGUUAACGAAAUUUUUUCAUAAUUUUAUUAUGUUUUCUUUCAAGAUAAGGCAUCUUCUAAACUUGAUUUCAUUAACCAAGGGGAGUCAAAAUCUUUCGGUAAUUAUCGUUUAUGCUAAUAAGUGUUGCAAAUUGGUGUUCUUGGUCAUGUGUAUACGUUAACUCACUUUGAUAAAAAUUUGCUAGUAGGAAAGUUAUGACCGUCUUUUCAAAAGCAUCGCCUUUUAUUAGAUAGGUAUCUCGCUCGAGACUUUGCAAUAAAUUGAGAAGGGUGAGAAAUGUUAUUAAAAAAAACAGGUAGACAAGGUGGAAGUCAUAAAAAGUAAGGAGAAACCUAAGAAGAUGAGGUAUCUUUACUAAAGGUACCUUAAGUAUGUAGCUCACUACACCCAACCACACACAGUUACGGUUAUAACACCCCUUAGAGCACCCAAGGUACCGCCCUUUGUUAAGUCAUCCAGCCAAAACAAUAAAAACAGCCACAAAUCCAUAGUAUAAAUCUUAUCAUCCAUUAACUUGGUCAUAAAAGCAGAGUUGAGGAUAGUAGUAUACUGGCAUGGCAUCUCGAGUAUAUAUGACAAAAAGUUAUGCCUUAGAUCAUUAAAAAAAAAAAAAAACUAUUUGGCUCUACGAAAGAUGACUUAAAACACUUGGGUACCCUUUGAAGCCUCGGUUGGGCCAAAUUGAGUAGGGUCAUACCAUAUGGAUAAGUCGAUUGGAAAUAGAGUCUGUAGGUUACUUUACAUCGAUAGGACGACAGUGAAGCACCCAUGGAAUGUAGCCAUUCUGGGAAAACAGUACUAGCAUCCGAACUGUGUUCUACCUUCUUCUGUUUAUGUUAUUUAUUUCUUUUGAUAUUUAUAUGUUUGUAACCUGUCAUAGGCCUUGGGGGGACCCAAGGUAUCCCUGCGAUGGUCAGUUGUACUUUUUAAUUUUCUAAGUCUUUGGUAAUAGAAUGGGAGAUCUUAUGAUCACUUCUUCUAAUUAGGUUGACCAAAGCUACGUCAUAUAAUAAUUCAUGCUGUUGUUACCUAUGAAUACAUUUCCUUUCUAGAAUGUAAGACAUGUGCUCUUUUCACUCAUUUUUCAAUUAUGGAAUGUGGAUGAAUGAUUUGAGAUACUGUUCAGUUUACAUACAUUUGCAUUAGUUUAUCUCUAUGUCUAUUGUUAUACAAUGUUUAUUUUGAUGCAAUUUAAUGUGAAGCAAUUACAUUAUUAUAGAGUAAGUUGGGAUACUUGACCUGUCCUAAUCAUGAUGAUCUACUCGAUUUUAGGGCUAGCAAAAAUAAUAUAAAGGAAUAAUAAGCAGCCUUUCGAAGAGACUAUAAAAAAAUAAUUAUUUUAAGGAAGAAAGUGGGUCGAAGGAGAAUCAAAGGCAAAGUAAGCAAUCAUAUACUAACAUCAUAAGGUCUGUUAAGGUAUGCACAUGCCCACACUCUUCGUUCUCUUGCUUGUGAAAAGUAAGAGAUAAACAAUUAAAAAAUAAAUGAGAACCAAAAGAGCUGGAAGUAUAUAAUAAAAGAGCUGCAAAUAACCAUCCUUAAUGCUAUUUACUCUUUUUAUUUAAUUUAAAACAAGUAGCAAAACAAGAUAUUUUUACCCAUUUGAAAAGGGCUAAAAGGGUCCCAAAAAAAGCUCAAGAAGAGCAACAAAUGAAUCUAUUCACCAUAAUUAUUACGCCAAUUGUGAAUUCUCAUGCUUAAUCAAAUUAUCAUGAUGAUACUUUGGUUAUUGAUUGGUGUGUUGAAAUUCACUAUGAUUUCUUAAAGAUAAACAGCAAGCAUGCCUUAAUAAAUUGCCAUGUGUAUGAUGUAAUUAAGUUGUUUGAUCUUCAAAGAAGCAGCAGCUCAAUAGAUGUAUAAGCUAAUGUAGACCUUUGGUAUCUGGUGUUAUGGGAAUAUCUUCCAAGUACAUUAAAGAUACUCGAAAGAUCCCCAAAAUACCUACUUAGCCAAACAUCCAUACUCAAAGCUAAAGACGAUAUAACCAACUAGAUGUCAAAUUAAACUUAUUAUUAAAGUCAAAUACAAAUGAAAACAAGAAUGUUGGGACAACUUUGCAUAAAAAGAUAAGUCAGGUGCACCAAAUGGAAAAGCAUAGCAUGAAUGUAGACUACGAGUUUCAUAUACAAUUAAAAGAGUGUUAGCAGAUGAAAAGUUAUGCAAAACACAGUUGCACAACAGACAAAUCAUCUUCUUCACCAUUUUUUUAGAUGGGGGGAUCAGCAAAGGUUGUAGAGGUGGCAUAGGCGUGAGCUUUAGUAGCAGAAACAUUUAAUGGGAGCUUUAGUUGGGGUAUACCAUAUACACCAGGUGACCUCUGUGGACUGCUGGAUUGGGAUGUACAGGACCCUUAAUGACCUCGAUUGUUGCUAUGAUAAUUGAUUUGUCUACUAUCCUAAGCACUGUUAGCACCGGAUCUGUACCCUAUACUUCGACCAUUAUGCGUUUCUUUUACCUAGACAAUAUACCUUCAUACUUGGUCUGCAGCAUUUCAAGAUCUUUAGUCACCUAAGUUUGCUCCUCAAACAGUUCAUCGAGGCAUCCCUUCAAGGCUUUAUUUUCCUAAGCAGGCUUCUCUUCAUACAACUUGUGGUUUUGGAUUUUACCUUACAACUUUACCACGAUCGCUUGAGCAUUGGGGGCAGCUAUGGAAUCUUGGAAGAUAUGACUCAAGAAAAAAAGUUAUCUACAACCAACAAGAUAGAGCUAGAAUUACAAAUCCAUUCAUAUUUUAAUAGGCUUUGAGACUUGACUAUAGCGUUCGCUCAAGUCUAACCUAUCCGUCCUUACUGCAGUCACUUUAGGGUAUGUUCUUAAUGGUGUAGUGCAUAAACCUAGCCAAGGGCAAGACAUUUUUAUUUGCCACUAGAUCCAGUUCUCCUUUAGCAAAAUCCCUAGGAAGAGAGUAGAAGGACCUUAAUUUUUUUUUUUUGGGUGAAGUUGUUAAAGGAGGCACCCUGUCACGUAGUUGUUACUCCAGGAAAGUGAGGAGAUAAGGUGCCCCUGAAGCUGCUGGGGAAGAUGCCUUUUGAUUUAGUUCUUACUCUCUAGUUAUUACUCUACAAUAGUGAAGAGUCGGGUACCCUUAGCGAGAGGAGUGGUACCCAAACCAUCAGAUGAGCGACCCCUCAUUUAAUUUUUAAAAAAGGUCAAAAUCCUCAGUAAAUGGGCUCACAUCUGCUAAACAUCAUGCACCCAAAUAAGAAAAGGUCAGCUAAGCAAACACUGAAGUCCUAUAAACAGAAACAAAAAAAGAAGAGUAAGAAACACAUAAAUUAUAAAUACAAAGCACGAGAGACAACGAGGUAAAUAAAACACUUUGCACUCAAAGUGACUUAUCUUCAAAGGCAGACAAAGAGCUCUCAUCGAUCAACCUAGGUUUUCUAAUCUUUCCUCACUCAAGACGUCACUCUAUUUUUGUAAAACCAAAAUCCACUCUUCAUAAGCACUCACUUCUUUGCCCACCUCCUGAAUAAGACUUUUUUUCCUUGAUCCAUGUAACAUCUACAAGGUCACAAGGAGCCAUGGAUUGGAGGAACACUCUAAAUAAGUAAUCCAGGACAAAAGAGAAAGAAAAGAAAGGAAGGACAUUCUGUCUUCAUUGAAUGAGCUUUUGCCCUCACAUUCUUGCCAUCAGAUAGUGUAUCCCACUCCCACUUAUUAUCGGCCACAAACCAACAAUGUUUAUACCCUUUUUUAAGGUAGGUCCAUUUCCACUAGGUUACUGUGGGUGGCCCAAGUAGAAAAAUAAGUUGCGGAUAUUGGACUUCUUCAGUUGAUAAAGCCCUCUAAACUCUCAAAGAAAAAUAUCUCUCUCAGACAGUUCUAGUCAUAACAUCUGAAGGACAGUAAGAACUUUCCAUCCAAGUAAGAAUAAUUGUCCUAAGACAAUGCAGAAGUGGCUAAACAUUGUUCUGAGAAAGUGACUGGAGGGGUAGGCGAAGUCCUAGGCAAAAAAGUUAAUAUGGAGAAUUAUCUCAUCUAUCUUAAGGAAAUAUAAGGUUAAUAUAAAGAGUUAUCUCAUUUAUCCUAGGGAAAUCUAAGGUUUCAUUCUUAUUGGGCACCCUAAGAUUGAUAGAAGAAAGGAUGUUGCACUUGGUCUUAAUACGUUGUAGAUCUUACGGGGUAGCCCUCUUACCACUUAAAGAGUGAGAUUUGUUAGAUUUAGAAGCAGAGAGAGAAGGAAAUUUAAGGAUAUGGAUUGGGAUCUAUGUUUUGGCAUUCACUUUGGAUUGACUAAUAAGGAGUUUACCUUUAGACUUAGCCCUUUGAGAAUGAGAAACCAUAUGAGAAACCCGAAGACUACUAUAACCUACACCUAUACCAAAGGAGGACUCAAGGUCAUGACUAUUACUCUCUGAACUACUCGAGGAAGACCCCUCAUCCUCAAUAACCUCUAUAUAAGGGUAAGAGGGCUACCCCGUAAGAUCUACAACGUAUUAAGACCAAGUGCAACAUCCUUUCUUCUAUCAAUCUUAGGGUGCCAUUAUAGCCAAGCAUAUACACAUGAGAUAAAAAAAGAGUAAAGAAUAUACCUGAGAUUCUUUAAAAAGUAAGAUCCAAGUGCCAAAAUCCCAAUUUAAAAGUAAUUGACAAUAGUUGCCACAAAAAAGAGGAAAUAAAAUCACUAAAGAAACUAAAAAAAAAAGCGUGUGAAACGGAAAAAGAAAUGAAUAAAAUAGAUAAAGGAGCUACACAAACCUGACAGACACCAAGAAGAGGAACUGAGAUCGCUACAAAAAAGCACUAGAAUUGAGAAAAUUUUGAAGAUUUCAAUAGAGAAAAAAAAUAGAUAUAGUGAGAAAGGGACAAGUAAUUAAAAGUAGGGAUUAUGCAGUCGGGUUAGAGGAAAGUAAGAACUACCACAAUACCACCUAUCUUAAGCAAAAAGAAGAGAAAUGGGGAAUGUAUAUUAGUAGUUGAAGAAACCCGGCUUAUUUCAAAAUUUAGAAAAAAGAAAGAGAAGUCGAAGCAGAUACAUACUUGAUAGUUGAGAAGCGUGUUCUAUUUUAAAAUUUAAAAUGGAAGAGAAAAAAAAAGAUUGAAUGGUUAUCCUACUUCCCCUCAUUCCAAAGAACUUGGCCUCACAAAGAAUGUUGUUAAAAAAAAAAAACGAGAAAGAGAGAAGAAAAAAUGAAGGAGACAUGUGCCAAAAGAUAACCUAUGUGUGCAUACCCCAAGGCCUAUUGCUUACGAAUCUAAGACAGUUACUACUUACAACAUAGAGACAAUUUCCCAAGCAUAGGAACUCGUGCAACUAACUUAAAAAGAGGGAAGUAAGAUACCCCCUCCCUAAUUAGCCAUCAAUGAAGGACCGUUAGAUAUGGCCACAUGUCAUUUACUUUUGCCAUAAAAUCCAGCGAAUCUUGUUUAGGAAAGAAAUAGAAGGCUAAUAGGAAAAUGCCACAUGUCAAUAAUACUUAACAAUGGAAAAGUCACUGAGAGGAGAUUAAAAUUGUAUGCAGAUUUCAACAUAUGAAGGAAGGAAAAAGCUAUAGAAAAUAUCCAAAAUGUCUAGUAUGUGAAGUGAUAUUAUGACAAAAAAGAAUAUUGAUUCCUCCGCUGAAAAUAUGGAAUCAAUAAAGAGAUAUAUUUUGUAAAAGAGAGUACAGCAAGCUGUCAUGCAUACAAAAAGCCAAAAAAAAAAAAAAACUCACCAAAACAGUUAAGAUCAUUUGUCCUCAUCUCACACACUAAUAAUUUAGAAUAGCCUUUACAAAGGUAUGUUGGACCAUCUAAUAGAUUUGAACACAUGUAUUUGUGGAUAAGUUACGUAUAUGAUGAGCCAAUUUAUUCUCUAAGCAUGCUUCAUAGGUCGAAAUUGUCACGAGUACCAAAGGACAAGUAUAUCAUUAUACAGAAAGAGAAAGUGCUAAUGAAAUUGCGCCAAGUGCCAUGGUGGUAUGAAUACCCUAGGGCAUUAUAUAUAAAGACGCCUAGAUUUUCUCUUUCUAACUAAGCUAUUUUAAGGACUAUAAAAAAAAAGGCCAAGACUUUUCUUCUAUGUUCUUCCAAUGCCCUUAUUGAGAGCUGACUCUCAAAAUAACCCCAAAACUAAUUUGAGCUUUGGAGUGUGAUUGCUAGCCACUGAUGGCUCACCUUUAACCUCUUUUCUCUAUUUUUUGCAUGAUAAACUUAGCUCCUAACAUCGUUUCUCACUAGAUCCAACCCUUCUUAGCAGCCUUAUUAUUUUCACUCUUUCUCAAGCAUCACAGAAGACAACACAACUCGAUUACACUAAGCACCACAAUCCCCUGAUUUACAAAUUUAUUGUGUUUAGCUAAACUUCUCUCUUUAUCUAAAAUCUAGUUAGAACAAUUUGUGCCAUCUGGGUUGGGAGUGUAUAAAAAGCCUCCACAGUAGUUACCAAACAAAUCAUUGAGUGUGUUCACAUAAUGAUGGCGCCAGACAUACCCUCCAAUAAUAUGGUGCAAGAUGCGGAGAGAAUAGAAAACCAAAAUAGUGAGUACAUCAAUGAUUCAACGAAGAGAACAACUAGGCUUGACAAUAACAAGUUGGUUAAUUAGUCUAUCAUUAUUUGCAAAAGUGAAAAGCUCUUUGAUCAUGAUGAACAAAUUUUAAUGUUGGUAUUUUCAUAGCAAGGUAAUGUAUAGAAAUAGCUGCUUUAGUAGUUACCAUUAAUGAUCGGCCCAAAAUAAUGUUGUAAACUUUGGGUUAUCUGAUCCAAUGCAUCUUUGAAGAUAAUAUCCACCGAACUUCUAGAAUUGAUUAACGUUCGAGAUACUUGUCUGUUAUAAUUUUGAAUGUGAUCACCAGGGCAUUAUCAUGUGGAUAAACCAGAUUCUCUACAUAUUAUUUGAUGAAUAUGAUUGGAGUUAAGUGGGGAGUUAUGAGAGGUAAACUUCAAUUGACCAUGUUAACCUCUUUACUAUUGACAAUUCUCCUCCUGUAGGUUUUGAUUAAUCUUUUGGAACCACUGGUAAGAGUAAGACCUCCUGUUAUUAUACCCACAUAAGUACACUUCUUAGAACCGCAAGGCUUUCCUUCUUUAGCAUUCCCCCUUCAAAGUUCUUUCCUUUUUUUCCUUUUCUAUGGAUUUUUUGUCAUCUCUCAUUCUAACAACAAACUCGUUUAAAUACUUAUUAAUAAUCAACACCUCUAUUUCUUCUUGCAAUUGAAAAUACUUUACGGUUCGAUGAUGGAAGUCUUCAUAGAGCCUACAAUACUUAAAGCUUCUCAUCAUGUUAGGUUAUUUUUUUAUCGAUCGAGGUGGCCUUAAGAGACCACUAUCGCGGGUGUGGAAAAAAAUCUACUCUGGGGAUUUUUUCAAAGGAUGAUAGGAGACAUCAUGACUUUUCUUGUGGCUUUUCUCUCUCACGGUGUUCUAUGAGGGAUUCUUGGAACAUAUUGGUGGUACAUUGCCCUCGUAAUUGUUGGGUUAGCGUAAUUGAAGUGCCUCGAUGAAGUGUGCCUUUGGCUUCAUCGGGGAAUCCUCACUCUUUAUUGUGUCAAGUUUAUCCUACUGGAGUUUAAACUGACACUUAUCUUUGUACUCAAUCUAUUGUAAAUCCUUUGUCCUAGCCUUCCUAUAUAUUAGCGAUUCAACUUUUCGAGGGGGCCUCCAUAGCUUCUCUUGUUGUAGGUUCUUGUUGAAAAAUUCAAUACAUAAUUCAAAUACAUGUAUUCAAAAUUGGCGAAUGCAUCAAUUGACCAACUUGCAUACUCAUGCAUGCAUUCAACAUUGGAGAGGGAAAUUUGAAGACAAAUUACUAAGGUAGGCACCUAAUUUUUGUUGACAAAAUUAUUGGGGUUGGUGCAAUAAUGCAUCCUAUUUUUCUUAUAAACAGAAGGUAAUUCUUCAUUUGUUUGAGCAUCCAAAUUUGUGAGAUCAAAGCUCAUUCCAAGUGAGUUUUGGUAGAGAAUUUCCUUAGGUACUAAGGGAAUUUGGGUGUAUUGGGUAUUGAAUUUUUUAGAGUUUUUCAACUUUUGUAAAGUCCCAUUAUUAGUAAAAUUAUUUUCCAGUUUUUGCCCGUAAAUGUAGGCUUUAGGCCGAACCAUGUAAAAUUAUUGUGUCUUUUUUUAUUUUUACAUUUGUUUACAUCAUAUUUAUAUUUCUCUAAAAAUUGCAGUCACCGUAAUAUCAGUAAUUACUCAACCCGCACUUCCGCAACAGUUCUUUGUAAAAUGGGCUAGCAUCGUCUCAUGAUCUAAGGCUCCAGUAUGGAGAACCUUUUGGUGAAAACAGUUAAACAAAAUAUUGGUAACAUCGUCUCCCCUUACUUGAUAAAAGCUAGCUUAUAAGAGGACUUAUCUUGGUGACAGGCAUAGCUGAACUCUUGAAUGAAUUUAGAGAGCAGUUGUUGUAUGUUAGCUAUACUCCCUAGCUUUAGAGAUUGAAACCAAGACUUGGCUGGCCCAUGAGGAUAUGGGUGAACAUGCGGCACACAACUUUUUUCCCAACUCUUUUUAUAAGCAACUACUCCCAAUAUAACUCAGCAUGCUCGGUGGGGUCAAAGAUACACCCAUAUUAUGGAAUCUGAGAUAUUUUGAAGUCGGUUAGGAGAGCUGCUUGGCGAAUUUCCUUCGUGAAUGACACUAACAAACGAUCAGCGCUUGAUCCUUAGCGAUGGAGAUUUCUUUCUCGGUCAGUUUUCAAACUUGUUCCUCUAGAAUAGAAAUCUUGUCAAGAAUUUCUUUAGGUAUCUUAUGAUUUCUGGAGAAACCCUUCCCAUUCUAAGGAGAUCUCUUAGCAUUGAGCUUCUCUCGUAAAUGUUCGAUCGACUGUUUGCCACAUUUUCGGCCCCCUUACUGACACUAGAUUGACUAUUAGCAAUAAAUCUUUUAUCCUUAGAGCAAACGGGCUGUGCUUUUGAUCUAUUCGUGGCGAAGUUGAGCUGUUUGCUGCUUCGGGGACCUCUUGUUGUUGGACAUCAACCUUUUCGCCAUGAGCUUGUGCGGAGGCUUAUUUGCUUAGACCACUGUCCAGAUAUUGAGUCUACAAGCCAAUAGCACCUUCAUUUCUUGGUUUGAAAUCAAAUAUGCGAUUUUAAACCUUUCUUUUUCUUUUUUUUUUUUUAAUGUAAAAACAGAUAAGUUUACCGGUUCAAUUGGUCUUGGAUCCAACCAAAAAGAAAUCACUUGCUUUAAAAUAUUUUAAACUAUUGUAUGUUUCGACUUUUGGACCGAUUUGGCCACUGUUUACCAUUUUGAAACUAGCCUUUUUCGUUUUUCAAAUAUAGAAAAAGCAAAAAACUUAAUAUGAUUUGUUUUUAGUAGUGUAUGAAAUCUGUUCCGAAUAAAUAGUUUUCAUUUCUUAUUCCUUCUUCCUAAAAGUGGGAAACAAAAAAAUGGUUAGUAUUAUUUUUCAAAAGGUAUUUGUGCAUCUUUUUUCUUAUAUAAAACAAAUAAACAAAAUUUAAAAUAGUAAAAAUAAAUUUGCUCAUGUAAAGUAACAAAAGACGUAAAACAGGAUGAUUAGGUGAAAUUUUAAAAAAAAUUAAAACAAAGACAAAUGCAUCUAGAUUAAGGUGAUAGACUCGUUAAAUUUUGUAUUUAAUUAUUGCUAAAAUGUUAAAAAGUAAAUGCUGGACUUGUUUACUAAGUACUAUAAACAUAAAACAUAAAUUUUAUGUCUUUAUAUUUUCUUUCAUGAAGUUAAAGGACGAAGUUGUACUUGUUCUCAAAACAAAACAAAAAUGCUACACUAAGUAGCUCUUACCAAACCUUUUUUUCCUGUUUUUUAAAACGAAAAAUCAUGAGUGCAAAAUGAUACUAAAUGGGCAAAGCUACAAUGCCGGGCCUCAAUGCCCGGCAUUAUGCUGGCUUGUAAAUGCAGCCAUUGGAUUCAAGUAAAAUGAAUCCAACAGCUGAGAUUGAAAAGAAAUUAAAAAAGAGAAAAAUGGUUAACCUGUUAAACCGGUUCCCAAAGGUUGUAAAAGUAAACUUUGCUCUUUCACGGUUUCACCCACGCCAUUCCCAAUCUCAGGCACCUCUCUUUGAAAUCACAAAUUUCUCUCUAAUUUCUCUCUUCGAUUUGUUUAGUAAUCACGCAAGAUCGAAGACUCCAUCUCGUUCAAAGCAAAUAACAAGUGGAAUCCAUCAAGCAGUCACUGUCAUCCUGAGGGGUUGAAGUUGAACACAAUUUCCUCUCUUUCUUUUUCAUUUUCGAGUUAACGGCAAAGUGAGGAGGUAAUUUUGACCUUUGUGGUUUUUGUGAUGUACUAUAAAUGUUGUGUGAAAUAAUUAGAGAUUUGAAACAAUUAGAAGUUUGGUAAUUUUGAGUGAAAAAAGAUAUUUAGAUGAUGAAAAAUUGAUGUUGAAGAGAUGAUUAAUGGCUUGGAAGCAUGAAAUUGGCAAGAAAACCCUCAAACACAAUUUUUUUUUUCUAUUUUUUGGUUGAUUUUUUGAGGUUUGGUUUUUAAGUGUUAUUUUUCUAUAUGCCUUGGAAGCAUGAAAUUGGCAAGAAAACCCUCAAACACAAUUUUUUUUUUCUAUUAGAAGAAGGAAAUUAUUUUUUUAUUUUAUAUUUUCAUUUUUUUAGCUGCUGUACCGUACAUCCGCCUUGGCCGUACAGCAGGGUGUUGUUUGCUUGUUUUGAGCUCUACACUCUUUGCUAGGAAUACUAAAGAUGGGUGCUCAAUAAUUUGGUAAGAACUUACCCAUUAUUAUGGGUCCGGCCUUGAUACUACAUUUAUGUGUGGUCUAUUUUAAGAUUUGAACCAUAGCAUACAAUUAUAAAAUAGAGUACACAUAAGCUAGAAGGGGAGGACCUGGUUAGAGAGCAUGGAUACACUUUUUGUAAGUAUAAAAUCAUUGCUUUGAAUAAAGUUCUUAUUAUAACUAUCAUUUGUUGACGUAAUUAGUUGAACUAAAAUGUUGUGUACAGUAAGCAUGAAGCAGAAAAGGCCAGGCAAGAAGGGAUAAAAAAAGUUUUUACGGCGACAAUUAUUGAAAAAUGGAAGAAAUUAACGAAUGAGGAGAAGUGUCGAUUUGGUACGAUGCAUGAGGAUCCAAGUUCAAAUGUUGGUGAAAGGAGCGUAAAAAAAACAGAUGAAGAACAAAAAAUUGAGGACAAGCAUAGCCAAUGUAAUUUAUCUCGUUGUCGUGUCAACGCAUUCACUAAGGUUAUUUCCACACUGUCGCCUGACCAACAAGCUGUAAUUAGAGAAAUUGGGUUCGGAAGCAUGCUACAAUUACGAUGUGGUCGCCUGAGACAAGACUUCUGUGAAACACUUGUCUAACACUGUGAUACAAAGAGGCAUUGUAUAGUUUUGCACGGGAGAGAGUUUUGUUUAAACCCUACAACCUUCAGCAUUGUAAUGUGGAUCAAAGAUGGAGGGGAACCCGUAUACAUCUAAGACGAAGCGGGUGAUAUAAUUGAAUUGCAUGCCAAGUAUAGAACGGGUGGAAGAAGAAUUGAAAUAGCCGCAGUUAGUGAAAGAUUGAUAGCUAGUGAGAGUAGUGAUGAUGACUUUAAGAUCAUGUUUUGUUUGUUUCUUCUAGGAACUGUAUUGUGUCCCACAAGUGCGAACUACAUCAAUCUGAUGUAUCUGCAUGCCCUAAAAGAUGUGCAGUUAAUCAGGAAAACGAAUUGGGCUACAUGGUGCUUCAACUUUCUAUGGGAGGGUAUAACGAAGUAUAAAGAUCAUCAAGUGAAGUAAGUUAGUGGUUGUGUUGUGUUUUUAGAGGUAUAUUUAAGAAAUCUUAGAUGCCAUAAUUAAUGCCAAAUAUGAAAAAUAAAAUGACGUAGUCAUUGGUUUUUAAAUGAACAAUUGUUUUACUUUAGUGCUGUUUUGUAUGAUCGGUGCUCCAUGGAUAGAACAGUAUGUCCUGUUAGUGUAUGGACCAAGGAAGAGAUUCAACGCUUAUUGAAUUAGCGGAAAAAGUUUGGGGACAUGACAAGUACUGAGGUUUGUUUUAUUUUUUGUCUUGUUCACACAUGUAUUUAAUUUUGUUUAUGGUAAAUUGAAUAUAUUUUGAUUGUCAUUAUGUAUGAUUGUUGUGCAUAUUUAUUUUAGGUUCCAAUGCGUGAAUCAAAUUUUAUGCAGCUUGAAAGAAAUUUCCCUCAUUUUGAACAAACCGAAGAUGCUGGGAUGAGCACUGUUAAUAUGGAGGAAGCUUUUAGGGUGCUAACACAGUGUGUCCAGAGAAUUGAACACAAAAUGGAUUCGUUCAAUGUGAGAAUGGAAAUGGUUGAGAAGUCUUUGGCGGAAUUGAGAUCCAAGUCUCCGGUUGGUGCACCAUCAAAACAACCAUAUGAUCUAUCCCUGCCAUCACCGAGCUUGAAAAUAGUAGAACCCACAUGUCCAGUCGGAAAAACCGAGCCAACCACUGAUGGAAAAAACAAAAUGGCAAUAGAUAGCGACGAGGACUAUGUGGAUCACAGAUUGAACCUGAGCCUCGGUAAAAUAAUGGGCUGGAUUGGGACAAGAGAAGGAAUCGGUGAAUUUCACAAAGAUCCUACCCACUUUGUUGCAGGUUAUUUCCUUAUUCCACCAUCUAAUCUCCGAGAUGAGGUACAGUUUUAUAACGUCGUUUUCUAAAAAUUGUUUCGGUGAUAACUCACUUAUGAAGUAACUUACAUAUAAAUUUAUUUUUUAUAAAGGAUAUAGACGAACCAGUUGAACUUAGGUAAGAACCUCAAACAUCUACUAGUGUCAGUGUCCUACCAACGCGACCAAGUAGGAAUCGUAGGCCAGGUCAAUAUCAACUUUAACCGUACGAUCAAGUGUCGAGGGGAGCAAAUCCCAAGUAUAAAGCUGGUCCAUUUCAAGUCGAUGAUCCAGUUACGCUCGAAGAAUUGAAGCUUAUUCAAUAUGCUUUUAACAAAGAGGCUGACGGAAGGUAAAAUUCAGAAGACUGAAAUUAGUUUUCUGUAUGUGGUUGUUAUGCUAUACGACUAAAAAAUGACUGUGUUUUCUCUUUAGUGAAAUCAUUGUUUCUAGUUACGGUAAAAUUCUUAAUCGGCAUUCUUUAUUGACUCUUUUACCCGAGGCUUAUCUAUGUGGAGAGGUAUUAGGUUUCAACAUUUGGUGAUGUCACAUUAUAUGUUUGUCCUUUAUUAUAUGUUAUUAUAUAUCUCAAUCAAUAUAAUCACUUUUAGGUGAUUUUUAUGAAAGUGUAUCACCUCACCCUCAUUCAGCAGGUGGUGGAGAAAGAUAUGGCAAUGAACUGGUAUUUACCAACAAGAUAUUCUGUGAGUCUCGCCGGUGCUUUUUACAUUGUGUUUUGGUUUCUUUAUUGAAAACUUCCUUAUGCAACAUUGUCUUUAUUAUGUGUAGCAAGAAGUUCUAAUGGUCGGAGAUGAGGUGGAUUUUUUUGCAAGGGCAGCUAGAUGUGGAAAGAAUUAUAUGCAACAUGUGCAUAGGUGUCAAAAGGUUAGUUUCUUAACCUUUUACUUAUUUCAGUUUAUACUAGUGUGCUUAGUGUAUGACAUUGACAAUUGAAAUGUUAGAUUUAUGUGCCAAUAAAUGAUGAAUCAUCUCAUUGGUACCUACUGAUCGUGAACGUCAGAAAUACAGUGCAGAAAUAUGGGAUCCUCUUUCAGAUCCCCGCAGUAAUAGAAGACGACACGAUCAAGCCAUGCACAUUGUAUUUUAAUCAUGUUCUUUUUUUAGUGAUCUAUUUAACAUUAUCAGUUAUGUAUAUUGUGUUAUAUUUACAUCCAUAAUAUUGUCCGAUUUUCAACAUUGUUGACAACUAUAUUCCUUGGAUUGGAUUCUGCAGCCCCAAUUACCAAGCAAAUGCAACACUUUAAGUUCCAAGACUUUCUAAUCAACCGGGGCAUUGGAGUUCCAAAGCAAAAGAAUGGAUAUGAUUGUGGGGUUUAUGUGAUAAACUAUAUGGACAUCCCAGAAUUUAUUCUGAAGAAAUCGUCAACUUUGGUACGACUAUGCCAAACUUGUUUAAUAGUUGAACUCAAAAUUUUUGUAACUUCAUAAUUAUAUGAAAGCUACUAAUUAUAUGAAAGUAAUAUUAUUUUCCUUUCAAAUUGACCAGUACACAUCUGAGGAUGUAUGGGGUAGGCUAGCCAUUCAACUAAUUAAUUCUGCAUUGAAUGAAAAUCGAGAUAAAUUACUGGAACUAAGCAACGCUCAGUUUGCGAAUCAUGCUGCAAUGGUGAACCCUGUAUCCUCUCAAGUGCAAAAGUCAUCUCACCAACAAAGCGGCAACAUUCAUAAGAAGAAGAAAGUUAACACGAGAACGCACCUAGAUAUCGAACCACACUAGGGAAUGAUUAUGCAAGUGAUUGCAUACUAUUUUUUAUUGUAAGUUGUUUGAAACGUGUUGGGAGGUCAUAAUGUGUCUUUUUUUAUCUUUUUGAUUACGAUGGUUGUAAAAUGAAUUUUGAUUGAGAAUUAUCUUUAAAUUUAUGACAUGGUUAUGUAUUCUCGGUCGAGACAUUAUUUAACUAUAAUGAACAUAUGCAUGUUAAUAGUGUUCAUAUCUCAUCAUUUGAUACUGAACUGGUUGUCAUGUUGGUACAUGAUAGUGGAAUUCAAAUAGUUAUACAUAUUGACUCACUAUAAUGGCACUGUUUAAUGAGGUCACCAAUAGAAAACAUUAGAAAAUUGGUUGCUUGCAUGAGCUAACAAUGUUGGAUUGACACCAGCAAAGGCUCCAGGAUUCUGGGUGCUCGAUGAAUCGAAUGCGGUAAAAUUGUUUCCAUCGACACUAAAAUCAAUACCAUGAAAGUUAUUUGCAAUGAAAUGUCCAAUAAUGCAAUAAUUAAGUUAAUUAUUGUAAACAUUAAACACAUGAUAAAGAACUUAGGACAUACCUUAGUUGGGUGCUAUCAUUCCCUUGAAUAUGACAAGUUCGUGCUGUAUGCCCAACCUGACGACAUUUUCCACACUUUCUAGUGCUUUCUUCUAUACAUUUUGCUUUAGACAUAGCGCCUUUGGUCUUUACAACUGCAGGAUUAUGAACUUUUGUUCCCAUCCACACUUUUUUAUUUGGGAGACUGUUGCGUUCAGAUUGUUGUUCAUAAGUUAAUGCUAGCCGAUUGAUUUUCACCAAGGUAUUUUCGUAGGCUUCAACGUUUUUUGCUACAUUGUAGCACAUUUUAUUGUAAGCUGCAGAAAAUGUACUAAAUCCAGCCACCUCUGAAACAUUGGUGUCAACUUCUGGUUUUAUAGUCCUGCAAGUAUUGUGCUCCUUGACUUUUUUUGUCCAUCUAAGAAGAACCAUAUUGUCAGGAAUCUUUUCAAUUUGUUCCACUUUCAAGACAUGAAACAUAUGCCUACAAGGAAGCCCAACAGACUCCAUUAUUUGACAAGAGCACUAUAUGUGGUUUUCUUGUAGAUUGUGGAUGACAUUCCACCAUAUUGCUGGUGUCCCAAAUUUAGUGACUGUGUACAAAGUAGCAUUGAUAGCUUUGACAGUUUUUACUUCAAUGACCGCGCCUUCUCGCUGCAUCUCAUCUCUAACCUUCGAAAAAACCCUUAAUGGGAGCAAUUGUGCAGCAUGUUUCUCCAGGCUAUUUAAGUGCAUUCUUAAGACAAGAGCACUGUAUUUAGUUUUGAACUUAUCGGAUGUUUCUGUGGCACGAAUAUUGCAGAGAGCAUGAUCGAUUUGUCGCAUAAACUCAUACAAUUUUAGUUUAUGUUGGACAAAUCGGCUAAGAUAUGUAUUUAUACUUUCACAUCGUUGAGUGCUUCGCAUAUUAGCAAAGAAUGUUCCUCUAAGAUAAGCUUCCGCCCAGUUGCACCGCUUUGAAUACAUUUUCUGUACCCAUGCAUGAUGUUUAAGUGCGAAUUCAGCCACUACAGCUGACCAUUGGGUUUCAAAUUCAACUACCGUCAUAGGUGUCAACAUCAAAUCAUGAAAUUUUAUCAUAAAGUCUUCGUUCUUCAAAUUAGCUUGUGCAUUGCGCUCGAGAUGUCAACAACAAAGACGAUGGAUGCACCCGGUAAACAUUGUCUUUAUUGCCUUCGACAUUGCCUUGUCACCAUCAGUAAUUACAAACACGGGCUUUCGGUUGCCCAUAGUGGAGAGGAAAGUUUGCAGCAGCCACGUGUAUGAGUCAAUUGUCUCAUCUGCGAGUAAAGCAAAACCAAAAAUCGUUGUUCUGACAAGUGUAACGAGGGGUUUAUGAUAUGCAUUAGUCUUAUAUGUUGCAUCGAAUGCCAACACAUCACCAAAACACUGACAGUCAUAACGAGCUACACAAUCAGCCCAAAACAAAUUUCGUAGUCUAUUUUCAUUAUUUAGUAUGUACUAAAAAAGCAGAGUCUAGGGUCAUGUUCAGAUUUUGCCGCAAAGUAUGUUAUAGUUGUGUCUGAGUCAGAAUCUCCAACCACGGCACGAGUGGAAGCAUCUAGCGUGUUUUGCAUGUCUUUGCGUGUGAACCUUAGGUUUUGAGGCCCUUCUACCUGAUCAGCCAUGUAAUCUAUGAAUUGGAAAGUCUUCACACCAACAUGCCUUAAUGCCUUUGCUUGCGCAAGCUCUGCAUCAGUAACCUUUUCGAUGUGAAGGAAUGAGAUGAACUUCAUUAUCAGAAGCCAAAGGAUGGUUGUGCUCAGGCCUGAAUUCUUUGACGAUGUAUUUACCAACUGAUUCAUCGUAAUUCACUCAAAAUGAGACCCGACACCCGGUUUGUGUUAUAGGUCGUGGUUCUCGCACCCUACUGCAGUUUUGAGAUUGUCUUUCAUCUCUUGGCCCUUUGAAAUGACAAACCCAACAUCCAAUUGUGAUUCUUCCAGACUUUUGUCCGCGCCGCAUAUCAUCUUUCCUAACACCAAAACCAAUCAUUCGGGCAUAAUUGGUAUACCACUGUUCUGCAUCCACUACUCAGUCGAAAUGACUGCCAAAAACGUCUGAUGCAUGUAGACCAACCUUUGGAGCAAUGGAUAUUCCUAGGUUGCUAUUAUUAUGUGGGCUGCUCAUAUUUAACCCAUGUUCAACCAAAAUUUUGUUAAUAACAUAAGUUACAACCUUUAUCUUAAUAAUUUAAUAUAAUAAUAAAUAUGAAACCGUCUAUGAGCUCACAAAUCUACUACUUCUAUUACAGCACAUACCUUUGUUGGAGAGAAACUUGACUCAUGAAAAGUGGAAAACCCCUGUUCCAGAGAUGUUCAACAAGAUUUUAGAACAUAGCAUUUGGAGUGAGUGUGUUUUUUGUGAAGAAGUCUUGGACUUUAGCCUUAGAAUAAUCCCUCAUUAAUAGAGGGAAUGUGAGUUUUGUUUUCAUCAUAUUUAUUGCAAACCUAACCAACCAAACGUGCUAAUUUUAAAUGACUAACGUGAUAACGAAAUAUUUUUGGACAAGAUCCGGUCCACCGGUAAUAAUAACCGGAAAGCCGAAUCCAUUUUCAAAAUUUCUGGGAACUAUCUAGACAAUCGGAUAAUUAAACCGGUAAGCCGGUUUCGAGCAGAAUAUGAUUCGGGACGCAACCAGCUAACUAGUUUCCACUAACCGGUUAGCCGAUUAGCGUCCAGAAUCAAACUACACUCAACCGGCUAACCAGUUAGUGACAAUUAGUUUGCCGAUUUCAAGCUUCCCUCACUGGACGCUAACCGGCUAAUCGGUUAGUGAAAAUCGGUUAACCGGUUGCGUCCAGUGUGGUUUUGAAUGCUAACCGGCUAACCAGUUAGCGGAAACCGGUUAGCCGGUUGCGUCCAGUGUGCUUCUGGACGCUAACCGACUAACUGGUUAGUGACAAACGGUUAGCCGGUUUCGCGAUACACCAACUAUUUCUUCUUCUUCCUUCUUCUUUCGGCAAUCUAGAAACUACUCUCUCUCUAAAAAUCGAUUUUUCCUCUCUCUAUCUCACGCCAAAAUCCUUCAGUUCCACUCGUUUUCGAUUCCAAUCGAUUCGUAAAACUUAUUCCCCAUCCAUUCUUGUGUCCAAAAUUAUCUUUCAAAUCCAGUUUCAACCUCAACAUCACUAGAUCCGAAAUCAAAUCUAGGGUUUGAACUGAAAUUUUCUCUCUCUAGAUUUCUUCCUCUUAAACGUAUUCCCCAUCCAUUCUUACCGGAUUUCAUAAACGGUAUGCCGCUUAUCACAAAAAAUUCGUGUGUUUGUUUUUCUUUUCCUUUAUUGUGUUUUUAUCAAAUUUAUUGCUUUCAAAUUUACUAAGGCUUUAGAUUGGAUAUUUGUUAGGAUAAGUUUUAAAAUACCAAUUCACCCCCCUCUUGGGUUGCACAACUUGUAUUUCAAUAAACAUCAAACAUGAAACCAGGGCGGCCCAACAUGCAACAAAAAACGUUAAACAUGAAACUUACAAUACUUCACACGAAAUAUACAACUUAUCACGUAAAGUUUGCAACGUUGACGUCAAACAUGAAACGGCCGAGAAUAUUUGAGAAUAUUAGUUAUUUUGGCUUUAUCCAAGACAUGCAACAACUAACGUCAAACAUGCAAUCGCGACGUCGGAAAUGCAACAACUGACGUUAAACAUGAAAUUUGCAACACUUCACGCCAAAUAUACAAUUGAUUACGUAAAAUUUUCAACGUUGACGUCAAACAUGAAACAACCGAGAAUAUUCUUUAUUUUGGCUUUAUCCAAAACAUGCAACAACUAACGUCAAACAUGCAAUCGCGACGUCAGAAAUGCAACAACUGACGUUAAACAUAAAACUUGCAACACUUCAUGCCAAAUAUAUAACUGAUCACGUAAAAUUUGCAACGUUGACGUCAAACAUGAAACGGCCGAGAAUAUUCAAAAAUAUUCUUUAUUAUGGCUUUAUCCAAAACAUGCAACAAUUAACGUCAAACAUGCAAUCCCAACGUCGGAUAUGUAACAACAGACGUUAAACAUGAAACUUGCAAUACUUCAUGCCAAAUAUACAACUGAACACGUAAAAUUUGCAACGUUAACUUCAAACAUGAAACAACCGAGAAUAUUCAAGAAUAUUCAAGAAUAUUCUUUAUUUUGGCUUUUUCCAAAACAUGCAACAACUAACGUCAAACAUGCAAUCGUGACGUCGGAAAUGUAACAACUAACGUUAAACAUGAAACUUGCAACACUUCACGCCAAAUAUACAACUUAUAACGUAAAAUUUACAAUGUUGAUAUUAAACAUGAAACGGCCAAGAAUAUUCGAGAAUAUUCUUUAUUUUGGCUUUAUCCAAAACAUGCAACAACUAAUGUCAAACAUGCAAUCCCGACGUCGGACAUGCAACAACUGACGUUAAACAUGAAACUUGCAACACUUCAUGCCAAAUAUAUAACUGAUCACGUAAAAUUUGCAACGUUGACGUCAAACAUGAAACGGCCGAGAAUAUUCAAGAAUAUUCGUUAUUUUGGCUUUAUCCAAAACAUGUAAUAACUAACGUCAAACAUGCAAUUCCGACGUCGGACAUGCAACAACUGACGUUAAACAUGAAACUUACAACACUUCAUGCCAAAUAUAUAACUUAUUCAAGACAUGCAAUAGCUAACGUCAAACAUACAACCGGGACUUCAGACGUGCAACAACUGACAUUAAACAUGAAAUACUGUUUUUUUAAUUUUCAAUUUAUUUAUUUUUUCACAUUUUAUUUAAUUAUAUUAUAUUGUAUUUUAUUAUUCAAUUUCUUUAUCUUUUGCUAUCAAUGAUAUUAUAAAAUACUAUUUUUUGACAUUUUAUUUAAUUUUUCUAUUUAAUUUUUCAUAUUUUUUUUUAAAAAAGGUGCAACCGGUUUGUUAACCGGCUGCACCAAGUCUUUGGCUGCCAAAGGCAGCCGGGCACUCUUUUUGAGAGCCCGGCACGGUGCCGGCUACAAUGCCGAACCUAAAUGCCCUUCUUUCUAAAUGAGUCCCACACUGCACGGAAAGUCAUCAAAGUGUCACAUUUCCCUUUAUCGUUAUGAGUCCAACUCCAAUAUUUAUUAAUUAUUUGAUUUAAUUACUUUUUUUUAAAAUGAACUUCUCAGUAUUUCUAUUAAAAAAAAAUUCAGAAGAAACAAGUUAAAUGUUGUGAAAAAUCUUUCACCUAUAUAAAAAAAUUACAGCAGUUAAAGAGUAAAUUUUGCUGAAGCAUCUACUGUCUAGCUGCAAGUUCAAAGUAUAUGGUAAAAUCCUACUUCAACACCUGUAGAUACUAGAUAUUAUUCCUUAAAACUUAUAAAAAAUAGUUUAGUAUGGGUACUCUACUAUUUGUCACCAACCGAACCACUAGUAAUGAAUUUGACUCGAUAAUUAAUAGAGAUGAACUAAUCUCGUUUGCUAGCCAGAGACCAAAGCAUAAAGCUUCUGCCUCAACAAUAUCGAGGUCAUUGAAUUGGUACCAAAAUCACCCCUGUCGCCAUAACGAAUCCACCAUGAUUAUGUACUAUAGCUACUAUGAUUAUGUACUAGAGCUACGUAGCUAACCUUCCCAAACUCAAUAUCCACAGACGCAUCUAUUAUGCUUAAACCAUCCAUGAACUGCUGCCUGUCAUCUAUUAGAAACCAAAACAGAAUCUUCCAUACCAAACCUCACACUAUCCAUAUGGCCAUGUUUCACAUUAUCCGACACCCUUUCUGCAUAGACCACCACACAUGUAGGUUUGAUAGUUACUCCCUAAAAAUGGGAAAAAUUCAAAUUAUCCAUUUGGGUUCAAAUACGAGGUAAAGAAGAGCGCGUUAAUUUUUUUUUUCUUCUUAAAAAUAAAAUAAAUCGAUAUUUUAACACUUUCAUGGGAUAAAUUAAUAUUUACUCUCAGAAAAAUAAAACAAUUAAACAAACAUAUGUUUUGUGGGAUAAGCGAGCAAAAAUUUUAGUUUAUCAAACCUAAGUUAAUUGAAAAAAAGAAUUACGUUCAUCAUAGUAAUUAUAAAUAAAAUAGAAUAAUUAGUUUUAAAGUAAUAAAAUAGAAUAAUUGUAAAUUGAUUUAAUUUUUAAUUUUUCUUAUUUUUAGUAUUUAACUUUUUUAUUAGAGUUUCAAUUUAAUUGAUCUAUUUAAUAUAUAAGAUAUAUGAAUAAAAUUAUGGUGAGAAAAAAUUAUUGAGUAUAAUAAAAAUAAUCAGAAAAUAAGUGGUAUACAGUGAUUUUAUUAGAGGAAAACUGAAAAUCUCCCCCACUAGUCAACAUAAAGCCAUCCAAAAAGUAUUGUAAAACUUUGGAUUGUUAAUAAAGAUCUUCUAGUUUAUCAUAAAAUAUUCAUGGAUGAAAGAAAUGAUGCCUAUUUGACCCAUGAAUAUCUAAUCUCAAUAAAUUUUAAAAAAAAUUGGGAUACAAAAAAAAGGGUUAUUAUUAUUUUACCAGUUAAUGUUUUUUGAUAUAUUACUUUACUACUAAAAUAUUCUAAAUAUUACUUUUUCUCCCUUAAUAUUUUAGUUUUUUUAUCAUUUUACUACCAAGACCAGUAAAAAUAAUAGAAUUAUAAUAAAAGUCUAUUUUAUCCUAAACUGUAUAAGUACAAUUUAAUCCUCUAACUUUAAAAAAUACAACAAUAAUUAUGUAUAAAGAGAUUGUGCUUUUAUCAAUCAAUUAUUUUAAAUAUCCAAAAUAAUCAAUUGAUAAAAUUGUAAAUAAUGAAUACCAUGACUAUUUUCAACAUUCAUCUUUCGUCUUUUUUUUUUUUUUCAUGUGUGUUACAUUUGACUAUUUUCAACAUUCAUCUUUCGUCUUUUUUUUUUUUUUUCAUGUGUGUUACAUUUUCUUAAUUAAUAUGUAAUAUAAAGCAUAAUAAUUGGAGAUGAAUGCGGUUGGUUAAUUUAUGUUUUUCUUGAAAUUAACUUUCAUAUAUUUUUAACAAUUUCGUUGACAGCUCAUUACAAGGACUCGAACUUGAAUUCAAAGACUUCAAGGUAGCGAAUUAGCAAUAAAAUUAACCUCCAUAUCUCUCAUAAAAUCAAUUUGCGAUGUCCCUCUCAAUCGUGAAGCAAUUGAUCAAGAUUGAUGUAUGUUGUUUGCAUGGAAUGGGUAGGGUAGUUUUUGGAGGUCAUAACUUGAGGUAUAGGUGUCCGUUUUAGAAGUGUAACAUACAAUUUCAAAGCUUGCAACAAGAAGAACCAAACCCAGAACCAUUUGUGCUGUUCUGCCCAAUGGUUGAACUAAAAAUUUCACUUCUUUCCUAGUCAUUUUUUUAGUUUUAAGAUAUUUUUCUGUUUUUCCUGUUACUUUUAGGAUUUUUAUCUUUUUCUCUAGAUUUUGGAUUUAGGUGCUUUUUGUUUUGUUUUUCUUAUUUAAACUAGUAAAAUUUUAUAAUAAAUAAUAUUUUAGAUUUUCCAAAUUUGAUAAAUUUGGGAUAUUUAAGGUUACUAUAUAAAGGAGGUCUAAACCCUAGUUUUGUUAAUUCAAAUUUAUUUAGUAAACUUCAUUAUUCAGAAACAUUUAUUUCAUUUAUCUUUCAACCUAUAACGUUUCCGUUUCAUCAAAGAUGAGCAAGAUUUUAAAUAUGCAGAUAUGUUGAGAAUAGUUUUUGAGUUGAGGAUUCUUUUAGUAUUAUGGCGCCGCUGCUUUUAAUCAGUCUCAUUCGUUGUGAAAUGACAAUUGAUAGGGCUCGGUAAAUAUAACUUUUAAAAUUAAUAUUUGAUGAAAUAAUAUAUCCUUAACAAUCAAUCCAUCAAUCGUGUCAAUUAUUGUGCCAAGGGCAAAUUGUAUGAUAUAAUUGAAGCUAUAGUUCUUGAGAGUUUGAGAUGAGGCUGUAAAUGAAAAAGUAAAAAAGCAAAUGUAAAACUAACCAAAUUAGGUAGAUAACAUAGAGCAUCAUGAAUUAUUAAGAAAUAUUAAUUGAAACACAUAUAAUUGUACAUAAUACAAGAGAGAAGACAAGGAACACUGCGUAAAAUACACGUGAAUCAGCCAGUAAAAAAAUAAAGAAAAAAUAAAUUGAAAAUAUCACAAGCACAAUGCGUAUAUAAUUUAUCUUCCAGUAUAAUGCCAAACGUACUUUAUGAAAGUUCACGACACAUGAAAUCCAACGACGAUGAAACAAUAUGACGCAGCAUGGUAAUUUACGGAUUAGAAGUUGAAUGAGUUGGCUUAGCAAUUUCCGGAAGAUGAGGGAAAAAAGGCAGUUCAGGAAGAUUUGGCAGCUCAGGCUUUGGAAUCUCUGGAAAUUCAGGUAGUUCUGGUAACUCAGGUUCUGGAAACUCUGGUAGCUCAGGUUGUGGAAUUUCUGGCACUUCAAGUUUCUUUGGUAACUUAGGUUCUGGAAUUUCAGGCAAUUCAGGGACUUUUGGGAGCUCAGGUUUUGGAAUCUCGGGUAACUCGGGUUUUGAUAGUGGUGGCAAUUCAACUUUAGGCAAUUCAGGUUUCGACAAUGGUGGUAAUUCAAACUUAGGCAAUUCGGGCUUAGGUAUCUCUGGCAACGCUGUCUCGAGGAGAAGUCUAGCACCUACUGCAUUAAUAUUGUUGCACAUUAACGAGAAAGUAAUAAGUAGAAGUGUUAAGAAAAAAGAUGGAAAAGAUUUAUAAGCCAUAGUUUGAGAUGAGGAUGCGCAAUAGGGUUAUAUCAAUCAAUUGAAAGAACUAAUGCACGUGCUUUUGUGCAUGACUGCAUGGGUUUUCAUGUGAAUGGCCUUUUAUAGAUAUGUGAGAAGUGGAGAAAAGGUGUUUUUCAGUUAAGGUUUGGUAUGACAAAGAGAAUGAAGGAAAAAAAAUAAAAUUCAAUCCUGUUAAUUAGUUCAACUUCUCACCUGCAUUACUUGCAUGAAUAAACAUGAUGAAAAGUUUCUUGCCAACCACUUUGUAGAUACGCAUGGUUAUAUUUUGUGACUUUCUUGCCUAGAUUUUUUUCUUUUUUUUUCACAGACUUUUAGAAUUUAUAUUCAAAGCCAUACUCUAAGGGACGGAUACGUAUAUUUUUAAGAAGAAUAAUAUAUUAUUAUUUGUUUUAUUAUUUUUGGACAGUAAUAUAUCAUUUUAUUGUUCAACAGUUAAACAUGCAACUAAUAUAUUCCAAAUUCUUUGUGCAUGUUUUCUUGUUAUGGUUAUUAAUUAAGCAAGCACUCUCUCUAGCCUGACAUGCAUGCAAUACUUCACGUAUAACCAAUCCCAAGAUUGAGUGCAAGCUAACCCGAUUAUCAUUUGUUUUUAUUCUAUUCCAAAAAUUUUCCUUUUUUCUUGUAAAUACUUCAUCUAGUUUUUAAUUUUUUUAAUUAAUAAAACUCAAUUAGUAUUUUGUUAUUUCUUUUGUUUGACAAUCUUAUUUUCACUCUACACACAAAAUUAAAAAAGUUUUAUUACCAACAAAGUGUUGGCUCCACUGGUAAUGGAGUCCCCUUAAGUGGUUUGACUGGGUUUGCUCCCCAGUUCGAGUCGUAGGGAAGUCUCAUUUGUUGGGAGAACCUGUGCCUCUCGGUUCGAGCGGAGAUUUCUAGUCUGGGUUGUUGUACGGGCUUAAAGGUGUCUCCCACAGUUGGGGCCCUCCCCAGGAUACCUCGUAAUCAAAACAAAAAAAAAAGAUUUAUUGAUGAUGAAUUUUUUAAUGUCAUUUAUUGACUUAAAUUAUACAUAUUUUAAAGGGAAAAUGACACCUACAACCCAAAUAUUUGGAAAAACGGUCGUAAAGACCCCCAAGUUUUCAAAAGGGACAUCAAAAUCAUUUUUUAACAAUAAUACCCUUUGAAUUUAGUAAUGAGAAAGUUAACUUUGAAGUUUUUUAAUUAACAAAAUUAAAUAUAAAUAAUAUAUUCUAUCUAGUAGACUAAAUAAUACAAUUAUUUUUUAUAAUAUUCAAAAUUAUUUUGAUUUUAAUAUAUUAAUUUUAAUAUUAUUUUUCUAUUUAUUAUUAAAAUUAAUUUAAUAUAAUAAAUUAGGUCUAAUAGAUUGUAAAAUAUAAAAAUAUUUUUAAAUAUCAAAAUUAUUUUAAAAUGUAUGUAUUAUUACAUUUAUUUUAAUGCCAUAUUUCCAUUUAUUAUAAAAUUUUGUGGUCAAUUUUUUGGAUUUAUAAAUCAAAGGGUAUGAUAGCAAAAGAGGAUUUUGGUGUCCCUUAUUGAAAACUUGAGGAUCUUUGUGACUAUUUUCCCAAACCUUAAUAUUUAAUUAAUUAGAUAAGACUGACUAUUUUCCCAAACCCUAAUAUUUUAUAUUCCCAAACCUUAAUAUUAUUUUAUGUAAAAUAAUAUUUAAUUAAUUAGAAAUAGGAAAAGAACAAUAUAUUAUUAUGAAUUUAUGCAAUUUAUUUUGGUUCGAUAGGACGAAUUGACAGGUUAAAAAUUAAAAACAAACGAGUUAAUAAUGAAUGCAAGUAAUUUAUUGAAUAAAACUUAAGUGUGUUUAAUUAUUAUUUGUCUUUAAAUGUAAUUUUAAAUAAAGUAGGGUUUUAUAGGAAAUAAAGAAGGGGUGCGAAUAACUUCACUCUAAUUCCUGCUGAACAUUAUACAAUAAACUUAAAGCAUGUACGAGUACUAGGAAGUGCAUCUGAAUGAUGUGAUCUCAAAUUAACGUUUCCGAAGCAGAAGAUAAUGUUAGUUGAAAUCUUGCAAUCUGUUUAAAGACUCUAUGUCUCAUUAUCCGACCAUACACGAACAUGGCGAUUGGAGAUUUGAUUCAGACGUAUGACAUCCAGAAAAUGCCUGAUUAGGUCGUUAGUACGUUAAGUGAUACAUGUACGCUGCACCUGUUACAACUCAAAACAAAUAUCCUAAGGUGGUGUUUGGUUGGGAGUAGAGAAUGUAGGAGAGGAAAGUAAUUUAAAUUCUCUUUUUAUUUUCAUUGUUUGGUUUGACAAAAUAUAUAAGAAUUUAAUUUCCAUUAGAAUUUAAUAUCCAUUAGAAUUUAAUAGCCAUCAUAAUGUAGAAUUUGAAUUCUACACUAAGUAGUGAAGAAUUUAAAUUCUUCUUAUAUUAGAAACCAAAGUUUCCAAAAUUACCCUUCAACUUUUUAACUUAUUUAAUGCCAUUAAUAAUUAUUAUUUAUAAAUUUAUUUUAUUGAUUUAAUAUUAUAAAUGGACCUCCACCGGAAAGUCGCCGGACCACCGCCGGAAGGUCCCAGACCUCCGCCGAACCUCGCUGGAAGGUUGCUGGACCACUGUCGGACCUCGCCCUGCUGUACCGUACAUCNNNNNNNNNNNNNNNNNNNNNNNNNNNNNNNNNNNNNNNNNNNNNNNNNNNNNNNNNNNNNNNNNUAUAUAUAUAUAUAUAGUUUAAUAUUUAAGUUAAAGGAUAAAUUUGUCUAAAGAGAAAAAUUAUAAUUCAUUUUCUUAUCAAAUUUUAUAUCAAACCGAACAACAAAAUCUAAUUUCACUACUCUUCUCCAUUCAUUUCUUCUCCCUUCCUCUCCAUUCCACUCUUUUCCUCUCCUCCAUUUUCUUCAAACCAAACAUGACCUAAAACGACAAAUACCAUUGUGUGCUGUUUUGAUCACUCAAAAUGGCAUGAGCUUGUCUCAUAUUAGAUUUAUCAAGGGUAGCCCUGAAAUUUUUUUUCUUUUUUCUUUUAUCAGUAAGAUUUUAAUUGUAAUAUAUCGGUGUAUUAAAAAGAAAUGGCACGAGCUUGCCACGUGGGCCAAGAUAGCUCAAAGGCUAUUAAGAUGUUUGGUUUUGGCUGAAAACAUUUGGGUUUGUUGCAACAAAUCUAGAAAUGGCUGACUAGUGGAAGAUUCCAAAAGGUCAUCGUGGGAGCCAUGCUUGAUUUGAAUAAAUAAAAGGAGAGUGGAAGAAAAGAAAUGAGGAGAUGGGAAAGAAAUAAGAAGAAAAGAGAUGAAUUUCAUGUUAAACUAUACAAUGAAGUUUUAGAAUGAUUAUUUUUUCCUCUCAUUUUAUUUUCUCCUCUCUCCUUUUCAUUCCUUUUCUCUUCUCUUGUUUCUUCCAACUAAACAUGGACUUAAAAGAUCAUUUUUAUGUUAUGUUAGGAUAUAUAUUUUUGGGGAAUGGCCAAUAUGGAGAAUUACAGUAAUAAUAGUGAAACUUUGUUCUAUAAAGAAAUGUGUUUACAACUCUGUAUGUAGAAAGAAAAUAAUAGUAAUAGGUAAACUGUAGAAAAAUAAUGUGUACUUUAAGGCAUGUUACAAAUGUCGCUUUUCUUACACUACAAGAAAAAUGACCUAUUAUGAUAGGUAAAAACUGUCAUCUUAGGGGGUAGAUGACGGUUAUCCUUACCGUCAUUAUAGCCAGCGUCAAGAAAAGAUGACAGAUAAAAUUGCGUCACAAGUUGUGAUAGAUUUUACCUAUCAUAAUUAUGUCAUACUACUUAGAAGAAGGAAAUUAUUUUUUUAUUUUAUAUUUUCAUUUUUUUAGAGAUGAUGGAAAACCUCAUGAUCCACCAUUCACUCUACAUCAAAUAUGCAAGACAAAUAGUAAUAAAGGUGGGCUGCUCGCCUACCCUUAUGCAAGAUGGUCAAAAAUAUCAUGAUCCGCUAUUCGCGUAGAAUCAAAUAGACAACAUAGAUUGAGAUAAAGGUGGCUGCUCGCCUACCCUUAUGUGAUAUGGUCGAAAACCUCAUGAUCCACCAUUCGCUGGAAUCAAAUAAACAAUAUAGAUUGAGAUAAAGGUGGCUGCUCGCCUACCCUUAUGCGAUAUGGUCGAAAACCUCAUGAUCCACCAUUCGCUGGAAUCAAAUAGAUAAUAUAGAUUGAGAUAAAGGUGGCUGCUCGCCUACCCUUAUGCGAUAUGGUCGAAAACCUCAUGAUCCACCAUUCGCUGGAAUCAAAUAGACAACAUAGAUUGAGAUGAAGGUAGCUGCUCGCCUACCCUUAUGCGAGAUGGUCGAAAACCUCAUGAUCCACCAUUCGCAUGGAAUCCAAUAGACAAUAUAAAUAAAGAUGAAGGUGGCUGCUCGCCUACCCUUAUGCGAAAUGAUUGAAACCUCAUGAUCGACCAUUCGCUCAGAAUCAAAUAUGGCGAACAAAUAAUGAUAAAGGCGGCUUUGAUGUUGAGUAUAUUAUCAUAAUUGGAGAUAGGUCAGGUACCUCGGGUACCCUGGAGUAAGAUGAUCUCUGCAUACCCUCUUGCAUCAUAAUAAACAAUACUUUUACUAGUGUUUUCAACUGAUUUUGGGGUAGGAAAAGCCAAAAUCUAUCUUAAACAAUGAAUUUAUAUUUUUGGGGGAGAUGGGGUACCUCACUGGUUUGUUGUGUGCGGUGCAUCUGAAAUUCGUGGGGGAGGUGAAAAGGAGAGAGAGAGUGGUAACAAUGGUGGAAGGUCAGAAACAAGAGAGAUGUCCUUCCAAAAUGAGCUUCACGCCUGCAAAACAGUGAAAUGGAGGUUAGAGGUGAAGCCGGGGUACCCCGGCGUUCACACUCCGACGCUCAAGUUAGCAAACUCAAGCUUUUAUGGCAAAGAGAGCUGGCUAGCCCUCUGUAAAUUAGGGUUUAAGGUUGAAGAAAACCUAUUUUUUGGAGUGUGAGUGUUCAUGGUGAGUGAGAGCCUCCUGGAGAAUGAAACCUAGGCACCUUUAUAUAUGGAGUACCUCAGCUGCCACGUGGCGUACCCUUUUUGGCUAACGUCCUUUUACCUCUUUAUAAUUGUCUUUGGGCCGUUAUUUGCAUGUUCGCGGCGUAUCUCAUCUUUUGGAAACGUGGCGCGCGCUGGAGAGUGGUCCAGGGUACCUCUGCAGUAGCUGUCGGGUAGGCGGCUAGGGACCACUGUCCUUGGGACAGUGUCCUUCACUUUUGGCAGAGGUAGCAGGCGGCUGUCCCCCCUUUUUGGUACGACGUUCUUGAUUCAUAAUUCUGACAAAAUCGAAUAAUAUCUUUUAGGAGGCGGAGNNNNNNNNNNNNNNNNNNNNNNNNNNNNNNNNNNNNNNNNNNNNNNNNNNNNNNNNNNNNNNNNNNNNNNNNNNNNNNNNNNNNNNNNNNNNNNNNNNNNNNNNNNNNNNNNNNNNNNNNNNNNNNNNNNNNNNNNNNNNNNNNNNNNNNNNNNNNNNNNNNNNNNNNNNNNNNNNNNNNNNNNNNNNNNNNNNNNNNNNNNNNNNNNNNNNNNNNNNNNNNNNNNNNNNNNNNNNNNNNNNNNNNNNNNNNNNNNNNNNNNNNNNNNNNNNNNNNNNNNNNNNNNNNNNNNNNNNNNNNNNNNNNNNNNNNNNNNNNNNNNNNNNNNNNNNNNNNNNNNNNNNNNNNNNNNNNNNNNNNNNNNNNNNNNNNNNNNNNNNNNNNNNNNNNNNNNNNNNNNNNNNNNNNNNNNNNNNNNNNNNNNNNNNNNNNNNNNNNNNNNNNNNNNNNNNNNNNNNNNNNNNNNNNNNNNNNNNNNNNNNNNNNNNNNNNNNNNNNNNNNNNNNNNNNNNNNNNNNNNNNNNNNNNNNNNNNNNNNNNNNNNNNNNNNNNNNNNNNNNNNNNNNNNNNNNNNNNNNNNNNNNNNNNNNNNNNNNNNNNNNNNNNNNNNNNNNNNNNNNNNNNNNNNNNNNNNNNNNNNNNNNNNNNNNNNNNNNNNNNNNNNNNNNNNNNNNNNNNNNNNNNNNNNNNNNNNNNNNNNNNNNNUUAUUUGCAUGUUCGCGGCGUAUCUCAUCUUUUGGAAACGUGGCGCGCGCUGGAGAGUGGUCCAGGGUACCUCUGCAGUAGCUGUCGGGUAGGCGGCUAGGGACCACUGUCCUUGGGACAGUGUCCUUCACUUUUGGCAGAGGUAGCAGGCGGCUGUCCCUCCUUUUAGCACGUCGCUUUUGAUUCCUAAUUCUGACAAAAUCAAAUGAUAUCUUUUAGGAGGCGGAGACGUUUCUCAUGGCGGGUAUUUUCGGUGGAUUCUCUUGCAUUCGCUUUUCCGGAUACCUCGAAUUACAUGGGGUACCCCCUAUUACGCUGGGUACCCCUAUCUGUAUGGGGUACCUCUAUUUGUAUGGGAUACCUCUAAUUAUGCAGGGGACCUCCGAUUGUGCUGAUAUCAUUCCAUUGGCUGACACGUGGCGCUCUAUUACCUUUCCUGCUUUUCCCUCAAACAACAUCCCCCUAGUUUCUUUUUUUUUGGGAUAUCAAUUGUGUGUAUGACUAGUAUUUUCUAUCACAUUUUUUUAAAAAAAAUUGAUUAUUUAUUUUAUUUAUUAAUUUAAAAUAAAAAUUAUGAAAUUUAAAAAUUUAAAUUAUUAAAAUUAUUAAAAUUAUAUGAAAGAAAAUAAAUUACCUGCUGUACCGUACAUCCGCCUUGGCCGUACAGCAGUAAUGCUUUUUUUUAUAUGUAUAUUUAUAAUUUCAGUGUGAGUAUGUAUAAUGAGACAUGAGCUAUGCAAGUUUUGAAUACAUAUAUAUUUUUAGAAAAAGGCUCAGAGGUUGUUACGUGCUUAUAGUAAAGGUCAUAUUAUAUACAUAUAUUCAUGAAUUAAAUUUGUGCCACGAGUUUUAGCUACUAGAUCGCAUGAUUCGCCUCGGAUUCGACAUAUAGAUCAGGGCGGGUCUUGUCAGAUAAUGAUUCUGUCAUUUAUGUCUUUAUUGCCUUGCCUUUUUCUUUUGGCUUAUAUUCCCUUUUUGCUUUAGCUUUAGCUUUUCCUUUGUCAAAAUGGUCAGUCGAACUUGGAUCAUGAUUAUCGAGCUUGCACUUGAGGUCAUCAAUGGUUACUCCUUCUGAUAAGAAUCAUACUUUCACGUACAUCAGCCUUGGCCGUACAGCAGCACAUCUAUUUCCUACAAACAAAAUAUUGCCAUCACAUGCAUUCUCAAUAAUACAUCUAGUUUUAUAAAAAAAACAUUUUAAGGCUUUGAGAGCAAUGCUUUUCUUCUUCUCCUCAUUUCCUUUUUCUUCUGCCAAGUCUUUCUCAUAAGAAAUAAGAGAACUAAUCAAAUCAUCAAUAGAUAAGGUAUUUAAAUCUUUGGCUUCCUCAAUGGCAGUCCUCUUAGGUCUCCAUUCCUUUGGAAGUGACCUAAUAAUUUUCUUAACUUUCUCGCUAUUUAAGAAGGUCUUUCCUAGGGCUCCUAGAGUGUUUACUAUGUCCAUAAAUUUAGUAUAUAUAAAAUACACACUCUCAUUUUGUUNNNNNNNNNNNNNNNNNNNNNNNNNNNNNNNNNNNNNNNNNNNNNNNNNNNNNNNNNNNNNNNNNNNNNNNNNNNNNNNNNNNNNNNNNNNNNNNNNNNNNNNNNNNNNNNNNNNNNNNNNNNNNNNNNNNNNNNNNNNNNNNNNNNNNNNNNNNNNNNNNNNNNNNNNNNNNNNNNNNNNNNNNNNNNNNNNNNNNNNNNNNNNNNNNNNNNNNNNNNNNNNNNNNNNNNNNNNNNNNNNNNNNNNNNNNNNNNNNNNNNNNNNNNNNNNNNNNNNNNNNNNNNNNNNNNNNNNNNNNNNNNNNNNNNNNNNNNNNNNNNNNNNNNNNNNNNNNNNNNNNNNNNNNNNNNNNNNNNNNNNNNNNNNNNNNNNNNNNNNNNNNNNNNNNNNNNNNNNNNNNNNNNNNNNNNNNNNNNNNNNNNNNNNNNNNNNNNNNNNNNNNNNNNNNNNNNNNNNNNNNNNNNNNNNNNNNNNNNNNNNNNNNNNNNNNNNNNNNNNNNNNNNNNNNNNNNNNNNNNNNNNNNNNNNNNNNNNNNNNNNNNNNNNNNNNNNNNNNNNNNNNNNNNNNNNNNNNNNNNNNNNNNNNNNNNNNNNNNNNNNNNNNNNNNNNNNNNNNNNNNNNNNNNNNNNNNNNNNNNNNNNNNNNNNNNNNNNNNNNNNNNNNNNNNNNNNNNNNNNNNNNNNNNNNNNNNNNNNNNNNNNNNNNNNNNNNNNNNNNNNNNNNNNNNNNNNNNNNNNNNNNNNNNNNNNNNNNNNNNNNNNNNNNNNNNNNNNNNNNNNNNNNNNNNNNNNNNNNNNNNNNNNNNNNNNNNNNNNNNNNNNNNNNNNNNNNNNNNNNNNNNNNNNNNNNNNNNNNNNNNNNNNNNAAAAAAAAAUUAGUUAUUAGAAAACCCCAAUGAUAAAGCAGCCUAGAUAAUAUCCCAACACCCAUCACGAUUAAAUUGGCAGGGAUCUUUACAGUCUAAAUCAAAUUAAUUUAACAAUAAAACUAUAAUAAUUAAAUUCCAAAAAAAUCAAAUAAAUGUUUAAAAUUCCAUAAAUAAAGAAACAUAGAAGACCAAUCAAAUAGAUCCAAAUUUAACAAGAGCACACCUAGGAUUUUCAAGUUUUACACGUACAGGGUUCAAAUUUGACAAGAAAACAUCUAGGUUUUACAAGAUUUAGGUGUGUAGGGUUCGAAUUUGACAAGAACACAUCUAGGGUUUUUAAGUUUACAUAUAUAGGGUUCGAGUUUGACAAGAACAUUAAAAUUGAAAUGGAACACAACACUAGAAAUAUUAUUUACCUGUAUUGAUCGAACGGUUACAAUAGUGGGUGAGCGUGGGCUCUCAGUUAGGGUAUUGAAAUUCAAUAGUAGAAGCACAUGCGUUUGGUGGGUAUUCCAUAUAUUUCUCGGUGAGAGCCAAAAUUGAUAGUCAAAUACAAGAGAAUGGCGGCAGUGGUUCAGUGCCCAUGCAAGGAUUUCGGGUGAAAAGGGCUUUGUGAGUGUGAGAUUGACGAGAGUGACUGAGCGAGAGACGAGAGUGAGUGAGAGUGCCGACACUUAGGGAAAAAAAAUUCGAUUAGUGAAAACUGAAGAGGGUUUUGUUUUUAUUUAGCUUCAAUCUAAACGGUGUCGUUUCUUGUCCAAAGAGAAACUUUUAAUCCAAACGGUACCGUUUAUUCUUUAUUUAUUUUUUUCAUUCAUUUUAAAAUUUUCAGUCAACCUUGUGAAAUAAAGUCAAAAUAAAAAAGCUACUUGAUGAUCUAAAUUAUAUCACAAACUUGUCAUUACUUCUUGAUAACCAAAUAAUUUAUCAUCAGUCUAUCAUAAGUGCUUGAUAGAUGAAAUUUCUAUCACAAGUAUGUCAUAAAUGAAUGAUAGAAAAAAAAUUUAUCAUCCAUCUAUCGUAGUAGCUCUGCAGACCAAAAACUGUCACACAGAGGACUGUCAUGGUAGGUCAUUUUUCUUGUAGUGUUAAUACGUUAUUUGUUCCCCCAAUUAAGCGAUGCACAUAGAUUAAGAAAAUACGCCUCUAGGAUACAAUUAAUGAAAGCAAACCUAAACACUUUUGAAUGUCACAACCUGCCAAAAGUCAAUAUAUUGUUCCUGCAGUAAGGAUUAUAUUGGAUAUUUGAUGCAUAAAAUAAGUAUUAUAUGAUGAAAUUUGUUUUAAGAAAGAUGGCUAAGAAAAGACUGUUAUGAUCAUUAUUUUAUGGACUAAACAAGACUUGUUUGUAGAUAUAAUUGUACCCUUCCAUUUGGAUUGUCAUCUUUUAUGAUAUCCCUUCCUUCAUGGCCACUAGAUCAAGAUUUGACUUUAAUCAAUGGUCCAAAUUGAAUUAUUACCAUUUCAAAUGAAAUGUCACCGUGAAAGGAUGCACUUUGAAAUGAAAUGAUAAAGGAUGCACUUUGAAAUGAAAUGAUAUCUCUUCUAUAAGGCACCGUUAAUCGAACAUGUCGUUACAAUAAGAUAUCAUUUAUUUUGAAAUUGUUCUAGCAUGUCUUUCAUGAGAAAGUAGGCUACUCAAGGUAAACUAGAAUAAUUAUGUUUUUAUUUUCAAUUCUAUUAUUUCAUUUUUAAUUUUUGUUUUUUAAAUUUUAUGUUAGUUUGUGAUUUUUUUCUGUUUAAAAAUUAUCAGUUAUUCACCCAAAGAUUACCUUGUUAUAAAAAAUAUAACAAAAAUUCAUACUCGUUCAAUUUUGUACUUAAUCUUUACAAUGUGUAACAAUCGUUUACCAAAAAGUUAAAAUUAACCUAAUAAAAUUACCAUUAUAAUUUGUGUUUGAUUCUAUUUUAUCAUUUUGUGAAUAUAAUGUUGUCUCUUUAGUGGAGGUUGACAUGCAUUAUAAGCAAGGGUGUAAAAUUGAAUAAAUUCAAAAUUUUAUAGUAUUUUUUAUAUCAGUGUAAUUUUUGGAAAAGUCGGACUAUUAGCACCCUUCCAAAAUUCUUUUGAAACCCCUUUUUCAAUUAUAUUCCAUUUAAUGCCAAAAGUACCCUUUUUAAAAAUAAACACUAUUUUCAUUUAUAAGUCUUACAAUUUCUAAUAAUUUUCUCACUCUUUCAAUCUUAAUAAUUGCAUUCCUCUCUUCAAACUUUCUUUAUUAUUUAAAUUCUAAAAAAAGAUCUAAAAGAAAAAGUAAAAAAAACCUUAUAAAAUAUUGAAUAUUUUAUGGGUCCAAUACAAUUUUUAUCGUACAUAUAAAUUUGGGUGCUACAAUUAGUUUGAGAAUCCUUAAAAAAUUAUUUGUAGUGAGAUAAAAUUUUAUUUAAUAUAUUUUCUCACAAUGUUGUAUCCUAAUUUUGUUGCUACAUAUAUUACAAGAGUAUUAUUUUGGCUUAAAAAUUUGCUUCUUAAAUUUAGAUUAUUUUAAUGAUUAAAAACAUUUAUAGAUUGCUUCUUAAAUUCAGAUUAUUUUAAUGAUUACAAAAAUGUAUAUUGUGCAAGCAAAAUGAAAUUGAAGAGAGAAAGAAAAUAUAAAUGGGAUUAAUUCUAUUUAUAUUUGUCUUUAAAUGUAAUUAUAAUAUCACAGGGGUUUUAUAAGAUCAAUGAAGGGGUGCCAAUAGUCCAACUCUUUUUGGAAUGGUUAAUAAUUUUCCUUUCUUUUAAAAAAAAUUGUGUGAGUUUGUGAUUGAUAACAUAUUUGGUCAUCAAUUGGGGGUCUCAUUUGAUUGGAUUUGCAAUCAGGUUGAAUAAGUACAUAGUUUAUACAACCCAACAAAAUUAUUAAACGAAAAUACUAAUAACUACCAUUAUAUAUAUAAAUUUCGUUGCAAUAUUUUUUUCGCCACUGAGACACAAAUAUUAUGUUAACAAUUAAAAAACAAAAGACAUAAAUACCAUCUCACAUCUCUUUCCCUUCAUUCAUAAUAUUGUGAAUUAAAACAUAGCAAACAUAACUUACAAAAUCCCUAGAUCCAACACACUGCCGACAUUCCCAAAACUUCUCCCAUCAAUGUUGUCACUAUUUUCGACUAGCCACUAUCAUCAUCUCCCUUCACCAAGAUCUGGACUCUUUUGCUGUCAUCUCCACUGUCACCGAUAGCUUAUCUACUCUUCUUCACGGUAAUGGCCCCUAUGAUGUCCUUUAAUUGCCUUCCAUAAUCUAUUUUUUUAUUCUUUUGUUGCAACUUUUAUUAUUGUUUUUAAAUUGUGCUGACCUCACCUAAAACAAAAGCUGGACUAUCUUUGUUUUUUUUUUCAUUUUAUGUGCUUUGACUAUUGGGAUUUGUAAAUGAUGACCAUAAAGACUCACAUGUAGCAAUCACCUAGGGAAUUAAAAAUUAUAGAUUUUGAUACAAACAAUCUUUUGCCUAUGAUGAUGUUAGAGUGGGGCUGAAAACAAAAACAAUAGCCCACAUAUCCCAAAAUGAUAAGCUUUAGUAUUCCUUGGAAGAAUGCUAAAAAAAAAAAAAACAAUAGCCCACAUAUAUAUGUAUAUGUGUGUGUGUAAGAUUUAUUAUUGAUUACUCUAAUGUAGUGUUAAUUAAUUAAUGAGAAAAUAUCCACCGUCCAUUUUCUAUUGCACCCAAUUAAACAUAAAGUCGAUCCAAUUAUAUAUGGGAAAAUAUCCAUCGUCCACCCGUUUUUUACACAUUUUUCAAAAAUACACAAUUCCUUUAUUUUUUUGCUGGAAUCCACCUAAAGUUACAUUUUGUUUCACUUUUCCAAUUCCGUUUGGAAUCCGUUAAGAAAAUUAACGGAAACUAAAAAAAAUGACCAUUUUACCCCUCAAAACAAAAAUUACAAUUUUACCUUAAAAAUUGCCAAAAAUAAUUCGUAAUGGGCCGCUAGUGUGGUUGACACUUCAAAGAGGUAGGAUCGGGAGUCCAGGGCCUACCGCAUGACUAGCUCCGUGAACGAAAUAAUAUAUAGAAUUAAUGGGAAAUAAAUACCAAUACCACCCGUUUUUGACUUGCCUGUGUUGUAUGAAAUUAAUUCCACAACCAUCAAAUGCAAGUUUUUUUUUAAUAUGUCUGUAAUUAGAAUGCUAAAUUAUAACAGUAGUAUUAAAAAUAGCCCAAUCUCGCAAAUCAUCAAUUGAAUUUAAGAUAAGUAUAGUUUUAUUAUUCAUUGAGUUAUAAUCUCUAGUAGUUAAGAUUUUUUUGUACUUCAUUAACGUACCAAUAAUGAUAUUCAUCAUUAAAUCUGAUUAUUUUUGGCAUUUUUAGGGUGAAAUUGUAAUUUUCGUUUUGAGGGUAAAAUGGUCAUUUUUUAAGUUUCCGUUAGUUUUCUUAACGGAUUCCAAACGGAAGUGGAAAAGUGAAACAAAAUGUAACUUUAGGUGGAUUCCAGCCAAAAAAAGAAGGAAUUGUGUAUUUUUUAAAAAGUUGUAAAAAACAGGUGGACGGUGGAUAUUUUCCCUUAAUUAAUUAACUAAUUAUUAAUGUAGUGUUAAUUAAUUAAUUAACCAAUUAUUCUCCUCCAUAGGAAUAUGAUAUGUACAAUUGAUUUAGUAUUUCUAAUUUUUUUGUAAUUUUUUUAUUUUUUAAAAACUUAAGAACAUUCAUGCUUAUUAGUUUUAUGUAGUUGUCCCAAGAGCGUGAUCAUAUAAUUUUCCUACUAAUUAGAAAAUAAAAUUUUAAUUCUUAUAUAAGAUUUUGAUUAGAUGUGUGUUGUCACACUUGUUAUAGUGUGCAAAAAAUGUGUAUCAAUUUUGCGUUGAAAGAUUUUUGUUGUCGCCCUACAACCCCAUCAAUAAAAUGAUAACAAACAUAUCGUUGCAGAUAAUAUCAUCCCUCUUCCUAUGUAAACUAACAACAACUACAAAAUAAAAAAUAACGCAUUGAUUGUUUUCUUGCAAUAAUUGUGAUAAAUGAAUAUGGAUGGCAAUGGGGAGGGGAGGGGACCAAUCUCCUCGUACCCAUCCCUGAUAUUUUGCGUAUGUCCCCGUCCCCGUCCCCGUCAGAAUUACUUGAGAGAAUCCCCAUCCCCUCCCCAAAUAAUAACAAGGGAUCCCCAAGGAUCCCCGAUCCCUGAAUAACUAAUACAUUUUUUGUUUUCGAUUUUGAGUUAAUCAUAUUAAAAUAAAAAAAAUUUCAAAUAAAAGUAAAGUUUGAAAUAUAUCUUACAUUAAUAUCUAUUACAAAAGUCACAUACAUUAAAUUAGUAAGUAACGCAGCAUGUAAGGGAUACAAACUUCUUUUACAAACUAUCGUGAAUGAAUUAAUAGUCUAAUACAAAAUUAUUACAAAUAAAAUCAAAUUUAGAUUCAAAAUUAACUUUUUCAAUGGUGGCAUGACACUUUAUAAAUGUGGAUUAUUCCAUUUACAACACAAUAGUUAAGUCGGAGCAAAUCAAGAGCAAAUAUUAGAUUAAAUUAAUAUUAGAUUAGAUUAAAUUAGAUAUUAAAAUUGUGAUUCGCUGUGGGCAAUUAUAACAUCUAAAAAUAAAUAAAAAAUAGAUUUAAGUUUAAAACAUUUAAUGAAUAUUAAAAUUAAAACAAAAUUUUUGGGCUAAUAGAAUUUACCCGGUUUUUUUAAUGUCCUAAAUAAAAAUUUAGGACUUUAAUUAGUUAAUUAGGCCUAAAAGUUUAAUAAUAUAAAUAUUUUGAUAUUUGUUAUUUUUACCAAUAUUUAUAAUUUUAUAAUUCAAAUUUUAUUAUUUAUUUACUAGUAAUUUUAAAAAAUAAAAAUAAAAUUAAAAAUUAAAAUGGGGAAAUGGGUAGGGGAUGGGGAUUCCACCCCAUCCCCGUCCCCUCCCCGAAUAAGAAAUUGGGUAAAAAAAUUUCCCCGUCCCUUCCCCGAAUAUAAAACUGGAUAUGAAAUUAUCCUCAUACCCUCCCCGAAUGGGAAAAAUCCCCGAGAAUACCCGUCCCCGUGGGGAUUUUUGCCAUCCCUAAUAUGUUGUGUGCCCUUUUUCAAGUAUUUAGAUCAUCACAGUUGCUCUCCAUACACGUUGAUAAUAAUUAAAUAAUUAUUUUAUAUCAAAAUGCACUAAAAGACAAAGGGAAAUAAUUGAAAUAUGAUAUAAAAGCAUCGCAAAAAAUGGACCUACAUUUUAUCCAAUUAUAUGGAGUUUUAAUAAUCAAUAACUUAGCAUGUGACAUUGCUUGCAACAUUGUCCAUUUUUGCUCGGCUGUGCCAGGCUUGUGGUCUUAUUUAUUUGCUUUAAUUUAUCGUUCUUGGAAUUUCAGAAUAAUUUAUUUUUGGCAUGGAUGGUUGUUGCUUAUAAGGCAUUGACAUUAUAAUUAUCAUACCAAUUGUGAAAUAUUAAUUAUUUAUUAGAAGCUAUUACAGCUUUAGAAAUUGUAUCUAAUGGGUGUUAAUUUGUUCCAAGAUAUGUAUUGCAAUAUUAUCUUUCUUUAAGAGAUGACUAAUUCCUAGAUGGUACGUGAGACAACAAUUUUUUUUAACUUUUAAUAAAUUUUAAUUAAGUGGAUUGGCCGUAUGCAAUCUAGAAGAGUGGUAUUUAAAAACUUUUAUUUAUCUUGUUAAUUCGUUAUCCAAUUUAAAUUUUGAGAGAAUUAGGACUUGAAAAUAGGUAUACACACACACACACACAUAUACAUAUAUAUGUAUAUGUAUAAUCAAAUUGCCACCAUCAAUGGUAGGUAUGACACUAUGACUCAUCCAUAAAUGUAUAUGGAGUAUCAGUUUUUUUAUAAAUGUCUCUCCAAUUUAUAGGUGGAGCAUCAAUUGUUGAUCAACUAGAGGACAUUCCAGCGAUUUAGGAUUUGAUUAGGAUUACAUGUAAGUGAAAUGUUUUCAAAUUAAAAACAUGGGUUAUUGUUAAUUUAUAAGUUUUUCAUUAGAUAAGCAUGCCAUGAAAUUUUCACAAGCAAAAAUAUGUUGUUAUUAAUGUUUUCAAAUUAAUAUAAGUGUAUAGGAAAAAAUAUUGUACUUGAUGGUAAUGCAUUAAUUUAUAGGAGCUAUAAAUAAUUUUCCUAAAUUAUGAAUUUAUUAUUAAAGCUAUAAUGAUAAUAACUUUAAACAUUUGAAAUUAACAUGCAAUUUUAUUAAAUUAAACUGAUACUAUAUAAUAUAUGAACAGGUAAAAAUAUUUGAAAUGGAUAGAACUUCGAUGACUUGUAAUCGAUUAUCCAUAGAGUAUCAGACUGGAGUUGCUGAUUUCUUAGAUUUUUCCAUUUUGAAUGCUGAAAACUGAAUGUCAAUUAGAUGUCCUUGCACUUUUUUUUUGUAAUAUGGAGUUUCACACUCCUGAACAAGUAAAUGAUCAUUUAUUUGAAAAAGGUUUUCUCGCAAAAUAUAGAGUUUGUACUUGGCAUGGUGAAACUGAUCUCAUUUCUACAUUUACAAAGUGUCAAGACCAUCCACAUAGUCAAAGAUUUAGAUGUCAUGUUUACAAUGAUAUAAAUGACAUGGUUGAAAAUGCUUACGAGCAUUGUGAUAAAGGCCCUAAUUCUUUUAAGGAUAUACUUGAAGAUGCUGAAAAACCUUUGUAUCCGAGUACAAAACAUUCAAAGCUAUUUGGUUUAAUGAGACUUUAUAAUGUGAAAGGAAACUAUGGGUGGUCUGAUAAAGGGUUUUCUGCUUUGUUAGAAGUCCUUGAUGAUAUUUUACCAAAUAAUAAUAAUCUACCUAAGUCAAUGUAUGAGGCCAAGAAGACAAUGAAAGUGCUAGGCUUAGAGUAUGAAAAAAUACAUGCAUGUCCAAAUGAUUGCAUUUUGUAUAGGAAUGAAUUUGAUGAUCUUACUCAAUGCCUAAAUUGUGGAGCGUCUGGGUGGCAAAGAAAAAAGAUAACUCAAAAGAAUUUAGGAAAAGGGUUCCAGAGAAGGUGCUAUGGUAUUUUCCUCUUAUUCUUGGGUUCAAAAGAUUGUUUCAAUCACCACAAACAGCUCAAAACCUAACAUGGCAUGUUAAUAAGAGAAUUAGAGAUGGCAAGCUUUGCCACCCAUCAGACUCCCCAAUCUGGCAACUAAUUGACAACAAGUGGCUAGAAUUUGCACAAGAACCUAGAAAUUUUCAUUUAGCUCUCUUCACUGAUGGUGUUAAGCCAUAUAGUACACUUAGCACUACUUAUAGUUGUUGGCCCGUUACAUUAAUAACAUAUAAUCUUCCUCCAUGCUUUUGUAUGAAGAGAAAAUUUAUGAAGUUGUCUCUUUUGAUAUCUAGCCCUAAACAACUUGGAAAUGAUCUAAAUGUAUACCUAGCACCUUUGAUUGAGGACUUGAAAAUUCUAUGGGAUGUAGGUGUUGAUGUUUAUGAUGCAUAUAGAAAAGAAACCUUCAAUUUACGGGCCGUGUUGAUGUGGACAAUCAAUGACUUCCCAACAUAUUGAAACCUCUUCGGGUGUACUAUUAAAGGCUAUUAUGCUUGCCCAAUUUGUGGAUAGACACUUGUGCCUGUUAGCUCCCACAUAGUAAAAAAUGUCAUAUAUGGGCCAUUGUCAAUUUUAACCACUUACUCACCCAUUUCGAAAACUCAAAAAGGUUUUUAAUGGGAAGCAAGAGUGGGAUGAGCCUCCUAAAAGUUUGUCUGGUGAGGAAAUCUUUACGAUGGUGAAAGAUAUUGACACUAAGUUUGGAAAAAAGAAGGGAAAAAACGAAAACAUGAUGAGAACAUAACUGAAAAAUUGUACAAAAAGAGAUCAAUCUUUUUUAACGUAGAAUAUUGGAAGCAUUUAUUAGUUCAUCAUCAACUAGAUGUGAUGCACAUUUUUAAAAAUGUGUGUGAAAACAUCUAUGACACACUACUUCAUCAAAUGGGCAAGACAAAUGAUGAGAUUAAUGCUAGAAAAUACCUUGAGCAUUUUCAGAUAAGGGAGAAACUAGUUCCUGAUGAAAUAAACAAAAAUAACAAAGUCUUACCUCCAGCUUCAUACACUUUGAGUAAAGAAGCAAAAAAUAAUUUUUUGAAACCUUGGAAAGUGUAAAAGUUCCUAAUGGUUAUUCUUCCAAUGCCCAAAAACUUGUUUUAAGGGAUGAUUGUCAGCUUCAAGGUCUUAAGUCCCAUGAUCGUCAUAUUUUGAUGCAACAAUUGCUACCAUUAGCCCUUUGAAAUUGUUUACCUAUAGAUGUUAGAAAUGUCAUAAUCAUGAUGUGCUUCUUUUUUAAUUCAUUGUUCUGUAAGGUAGUAGAACCUAGUACUCUUGACCACUUGUAAAAGGAACUUGUAAUCACUUUCUGCUUAUUACAACAGUACUUUCUACCUAGCUUUUUUGACAUAACGAUCCAUUUAACAAUCCAUCUAAUUGAACAAGUUAGGUUAUGUGGGCCAGUUUAUCUUCAAUGGAUGUAUCCUUUUGAGAGAGAGAUGAAAACUCUUAAGGAUUACGUUUGUAAUCGCUAUCGCCCCGAGGGUUGUAUUGCAAAAAGUUAUAUUGCUGAAGAAGCACUUGAAUUUUGUGCUGAGUACCUCUCAAAUUGUGAUAUUGUUGGACUACCUAUUGGUUGUCUAAUUGAUUUUUCAAUCAAAAGGCCUUUGAGAGGUGCAAACAUUAAGGUGGUUGAUGAUACUUUAUUGGCACAAGUACACCGGUGCGUUCUAAUGAACACCAUUGAAAUCCAAACAUACAUUGAGUAAGCUAUUCUUUAAUUUUUUUCAAUACAUAUUAAGAUUGAAUUAUAAUAUUACUAUUAUAGUUUUAAGUGUUAAUGUUGUCUUACUGUAGGGAGCAUAUAUAUUAUUUGGCAUUAACACACCCCUAUAAGGCAAAAAAAAAAAAUGUCUAUGGUUGCAAAAUGAACACACUCCACUCGUACAUUUUCUGCUUGGUUACAAAAAAAAGGUUAGAAUUAAUGCUUAACUAAAUACAAUAAGUUACAAACUUUAACUUUAAUAAGAUUUUUUUUCAUGUAAGUAAUUAUUAUACUUUUUAAUUUAAAUUAUAAGUAGCACAUGAUAGAGCAAAUAAUGUGCUAGUCGAGGAAAUAGUGUGGUCGUUGGCAAACAAACCGCACUCAAGUGCGGUGACAGACCCUGGCUACCAAAUUAAUGGCUUUAAUUUAGCAACAAGGGACCAGGACAAUAAUCGUGUAACCCAAAAUAGUGGUGUUAGAGUUAUCGCUAACACUUUAUAAAUUUCAAGUUCUAAAGAUAAAAGUCCUCAUUUUGGAGACAUGACUUUUAUGGAGUCAUUGAUGAGAUGUAGCAGCUUGAUUAUCUGAUAGUUAAAAAAGAAAUUUCAAGUGUGAUUGGGUAGAUGAUAAGGGGGUUAGUGUUGAUGAUUUGGGUUUCACUGUAGUUGAUUUAAAUCGAAUUGGUUAUAAAUCUGAUUGCUUUAUUCUAGCUUGUCAUACAAAACAAGUGUUUUACAUAAAAGACCAGGUAGAUAAGAGUAAAUCAAUAGUUUGUUCAGUGACUGAAAAAGCUUAUAAGUCAAAUGGGGAAACAUGUGAGGACAUUGAUGUAUUUUCACCAUUAUCCAACAGACUUCUAGUAUGUGAGUUGGAUGAGAAUGAUGACGAAGGAAUUUAUGACAGAAAAGAUUGUGAUGUUAUUCCAAUAGAUAUUGAUUUAGAAAAUCACUAAAUGCAUUCUUAUUGCUAGUUUCCAGUGAGUGAUUUAUUUAUUUUAUUAUAUUCCAUUACUAUUGUAUUGGCUUUUUAAUUUAAUUGAUGUACUUAUUCAUUUUAGUCAUUUUCAGCAUUAUAGGAGAUAUGGCUCAAAACGAUGUGUUCACUUAUCCAGAGCUCGAAGGAAGACCAAGGAGAAGAAAAAAAAAGGCUUGCAAAAAGAAGAAUUUAGUAAAGCUCUAGUUGAGUACAAUUCUUAUGGUGUUCCAGUUGGAAAGGGAAGAAACGAUCUGAGGAGUUAUAUUGGCGUCAUCGUACGUGAAACAAUAUCAAUCUUACUUGAUGAUUGGAGGCGUGUGCUACUAGAAAUGAAGGAAACUCUAUGGAUUCAUUUUUUAGGUUUUUUUAAUUAUUUAGUAAUAUAUUUAAUGAUUUUAAAUAACUUCCGGAUUUAUUUAAACUCGGUUUUAAUCUUUGUCAUUGCUUUAUAGAAAAAAUUCAAAUUGAGCUUGAAAUGCAAAAGCCAAGUGUUAAAAUGGAUGGGGGUUGCAUCAAGAAACUUUAGAAGUGAGCUGGCAAAAGAAUUCAUACUACCAUAUAAGGAUGAUAUAAAGUCACUAAGGUUGCCCCAUAUUGAAUAUCCGAGUAUUAAAAAAGAAGAUUAGAAACUUUUUGUUGGCAAAGUUGUCUCAAGAUUUUCAGGUGUGCUGUUUGUUAAUAUUACUUGAUUUAUUUCUUAUUGGUUACUAAUAAUUAAUUGUAACCCUUUUCUUCUUUAUUAUAUUAUUUGUUCAGGAAAAAAGUACAAAAGCAAAAGAAACAAGAGCAAAAAAUAUAUAUAAGCAUCACUUGGGUAGCACAAGAUAUAGUGGUGUGUUGUAUAGAAAAGUAUGUACAAUAUAAUAUAGUUGUGCAAUAAAACCCAACCAAUGCAUAUAAUAUAAUAGAAUCAAUACUUUUUGUUUUCUGUCAACCUAUAACAGAAAAAAAAGAAUGGAGUUUCUGAGCGAGAGAUUGACCGCAGUAAAGCUUGGUUAAUGGCACGAGUAGACUGAGAUGGCAAAUAUGCUUCUGAAGUGAUGCCAAUAGCUGAGAAAAUAGUAAGUCACUUGUAUAUUUAAUUCUUAUAUAUUCCAUUCUUAUAUGGUAUAAUUAAGUUUACUUAUGUUUUGAAUUUUGAGGUUCUGAUAAGUUGUUAGUGGUGAUUCUUUAAUUCCUUAAUUCAACUUGUAGAUUUAUAAUUUUUUUUUUGUAGGUAGAAUGAGCUGAAGAGUCAAGUUGAACAAGGAAAAUUUCAAUCACAUGGGUCAAAUGACAUCUAAGCGAAGCUUUUCAAAAACAGCCAAAUGGAAGCAGGGUGCAAGGAGUAGGACAAUUCAUCACCACAUCUAUGUACUUUCAUGUUCCUAAUACUACAUAGUUGACAAGAUAAAGAAAGAUGUAUCAAGAGAGUUUUCAAUUUAUGUCAGCUCAAUUGGAACACAUGAAUGCAAGGUUGAAUGCCUACAACAAUAUUGAAGUUGGUAGUUCUAACUAUCCUAAACCCAAACUGUGAGGAAAUAAGCUACUGGUCAACUAAUGGUCGUUGGGUUUAAAUGGAAGAUUUGAAGAAGUCUGGGGGCAUUGUGCGGAUCGACUUCAGCUGGAGGGGUCUAGUUGAAAUAUUAAAGCUGAUGUAGCAAAAAUUCGUUAUGAGUUCGUUAUGAUUUCCUAGAAAUACCAGAGUAUAUAUACGUGUGUUUUAGCCUCUGAUAUGGGGUUGUAAUCUUUCUCAUUUCUUGAUCAUUUAGUGAGCUAAUUGGUUCUUUGUGAUCCUUGUAAACUCCUCUAUAGAAUCAGCUUGUAAUUCGAUUCAUAGUGAUCAAUAAAAGAGCAGUUUUUCCUUCUACAAGUUGAGUGCUUGGAACUGUGCUCUGUUAAAGUUCUUUCCUGUUUCUUUCUUGAUUAGCUUGCUUUGAUUAGUUCUUUCUAGAUUCAAUACGUUAAUAGGGUUAUAACAAUUGGUAUCAGAGCCAGUGGUGGUUCAAAAACAUGUCUCUUCCAAAACCCGAUAUUGAAAGGUUCACCAUUGGUGGUGACUUUUCACUUUGGAGGAUGAAGAUGAGGGCUCUCUUUGUUCAUCAAGGUCUCGAAUCAGCGCUGGAAGAAGAUGAUCUUGGGGAUGCUUCAAGUUCAGUCUCUGAUGAGAAGAAAAGACAGAUACAGAACAAGGCUCACAGUACCUUGAUCUUGAGUCUCAGUAACUCAAUUCUAAGGGAGAUUUCUGAAGAGAAGACUGCCCUUGGUAUCUGGAACAAGGUGGAGGCCUUGUGUAUGAAAAAGUCCCUGGCACAUAGAUUGUUCUUGAAGAAAAGGCUAUAUACCUUUUCUAUGAGAGAAUGAGUCUUGAUUCAAGAACACAUUGACAACUUCAACAAGAUCAUUCUUGAUCUUGAAGGAGUUGAAAAUGUGAAAAUUACAGAUGAGGAUAAAGCCUUCUUUCUACUGAGUUCAUUGCCUAAAAUCUAUGAGGGAUUUGUAGACACCAUGCUGUAUGGAAGAACUACACUCACUUUAGAGGAUGUAAAAGCUUCUUUGAGUUCUAAGGAGAUCCAGAAGAAUAAUGGGCAUGAAGUUAGUAAUGGUGAAGGCUUAUUUGCCAGAACAGAAAAGAAAAAUCAGAAGAAGAAGAACCAGAGUCAAGCUAAAAAGGAUGAUGUAUCUGUAAAAGAAAAAAUGAAGAAAAGAAAGUGCUUCUAUUGCAAGAAACAAGAUCACUACAUCAGGGACUGUGCUGAGAAAAAGAGGGAUGAAAAAGAGAGAACAGGUGAUGCAGCAGUAGCCUCAGAAGACUCCUCUGAUGAUGGAUACCAUAGUGCUGAUUUGUUGGUGGCUUCAAACAGCAAUAUCAAAGGUCAGUGGGUUCUUGAUUCAGGCUGUUCAUUUCAUUUGUGUCCUGAUAAAAGCCUUUUCCAUACAUAUAAAUCUGUGGAUGGUGGUAGAGUGUUGAUGGGUAACAACAAUGUGUGUAAGAUUGUUGGUAUGGGGUCUGUCAAAAUAGAGAUGUUUGAUGGGUCUGUUCAAACUCUAAGUGAUGUAAGGCAUGCACCUAGGCUAAAGAGAAACUUGAUCUCUUUAGGCAUGCUAGAUGGUAUGGGAUAUAGCUUCAAAUCUGAAAAUAGUGGUUUGAAGAUUAUGAAGGGGACUGAGAUGGUAAUGAAAGGAGUUAAGAAGAAUGGCCUUUAUGUGUUAGAAGGGUCAUCAGUGCCUGGAUCAGCUGCAAUGCCUGCUGUUUCUGAUGUUAAUAGAACCAUGUUAUGGCACCUUAGACUAGGCCAUAUGAGUAUUAGAGGAAUGCAAGAACUGAGUAAGCAAGGGCUGCUGUGUGGUGAUAAUAUAGAUGAGCUAGACUUCUGUGAAAACUGCAUCUUUGGCAAGGCACACAGGUCCAAAUUCACAAAGGGCAUACAUGUAUCUAAACAACCAUUAGAUUAUGUACAUGCUGAUUUAUGGGGGCCUGCACAAGUACCAUCCUUGAGUGGGGGAAGGUAUUUUAUGUCAGUCAUAGAUGACUACUCCAGGAAAGUAUGGAUCCACAUACUGAAGACCAAAGACCAAGCCCUAGAGAAGUUCAAGAUUUGGAAGACUUUGGUGGAGACUCAAUCUGGUUUCAAGGUGACAUGACUGUUUCUACAGCUAGUUACCUGGUAAAUAAAAGUCCAUCUUCAGCAAUUGGCUUCAAGACACCUGAAGAACUCUGGUCUGGAAGACCUGGAAAAUAUGAACACCUGAGGGUAUUUGGAUGCCCUGCUUAUGUCCAUGUCAGACAAGGGAAGCUUGAUGCAAGAGCCAUAAAAGGAGUUUUUGUUGGCUAUCCAGAUAGGGUUAAAGGCUACAGGGUCUGGUGUAAAGAGGCUAACAAGUGUCUGAUCAGUAGAGAUGUCCAGUUCAAUGAAGUGGCCAUGAUCAAUAACUCUGACCAAGCCACUUCUGCUAAUGACAUCAAUACAAGUGACACACAAGCCACCAUAGAAACUGAGCAAGGUGAAAAGAUUGAAGUGGAGUUGUCUAAAGACUAUGAAGAUCAAAUACAACCAGAGGCUGUUGAAGCUGAGACUCAAGAUGCAGAAGUAACAGAAGGUGAAGUACCACAAGUAACUGAUUUACAACAAUAUCAGUUAGCUAGAGAUAGAGAAAGAAGACAUACCAGACCUCCAGCAAGAUAUGCAUAUGCAGAUAUGGUUGCAUAUGCCUUGAUGAGUGCAGAAGAUGUUGCAAUUGAAGAGCCUAACAGCUAUAGAGAAGCAAUGAGUAGCAAGAAUAGCAGAAACUGGAUUAAAGCUAUGAGGGAGGAAAUAGAUUCUCUGGUAAGAAAUCAGACUUGGAUUCUGGUCCCAAAUCCAGGGAAUAGGAAGAUUGUCAGCUGCAAGUGGAUAUUCAAGAAAAAGGAGGGCAUUCCAGGUGUUGAAGAUUCAAGAUAUAAGGCAAGACUGGUGGCAAGAGGGUUCACACAGAAGGAGGGGAUUGAUUUAAAUGAAAUCUUCUCACCAGUGGUAAAACACAGUUCAAUCAGAAUCUUGCUUGCUAUGGUGGCUUUGUUUGAUCUAGAGCUUGAACAAAUGGAUGUAAAGACUGCCUUCCUACAUGGCAAUCUUGAAGAAAAGAUAUUGAUGUCUCAACCUGAAGGCUUUGAAGAACAGGGACAUGAGGAGUAUGUGUGCCUUCUUAAAAGGUCUCUAUAUGGCUUGAAACAAUCCCCUAGGCAAUGGUAUAGAAGAUUUGAUCAGUUUAUGAUCUCCAAUGGCUAUUCUAGGAGCAAAUAUGAUAGUUGUGUCUAUCAUAGGAUUAUAAACUCAGGUGGAGCAGUAUAUCUUCUACUAUAUGUUGAUGAUAUACUCAUUGCUGGUAAAGAUCUCAGUGAUAUUAAAGAGCUCAAGAAUUUGCUGAAGGGGGAAUUUGAAAUGAAAGAUCUUGGCAGUGCCAAGAGGAUUCUUGGGAUAGAUAUUGUUAGAGAUAGAAUAGCUGGUACCUUGUUUCUAAGCCAGUCAAGGUAUAUCAGCAAAGUACUGGAAAGAUUUCAGAUGAUGGACUCAAAACCAGUACUGACACCUCUGUGGGAAGCUUGAUGUAUGCAAUGGUUUGCACCAGAGCAGACAUAGCUUAUGCAGUAAGUGUGGUGAGUCGAUUUAUGAGUAAUCCUGGUAAGCUUCACUGGGAUGCUGUAAAAUGGGUCAUGAGGUACCUAAAGGGAACCUUAGAUCAUAGUUUGAUGUAUGGUAAAUCCAAGCAUGAGGUCUGUGAAGUCAGAGGAUACGUUGACUCUGAUUUUACAGGUGACUUGGACAGAAGAAAAUCCAUCUCAGGUUAUCUGUUUAUGUUGGAUAGUUGCCUCAUAAGUUGGAAAGCUACUCUACAGCACAUAGUAGCUUUGUCAUCUACUGAGGCAGAAUUUGUUGCUGCAACAGAGGCAGUGAAAGAAUCAAUGUGGUUGAGAGGGCUGCUAAAUGAACUAUAGUUGAAACAAAAAACAGUAGAAAUUUUUUGUGAUAAUCAGAGUGCCAUUCAGCUCAUCAAGAACCAAGUUUAUCAUUAGAGAACAAAGCACAUUGAUGUGAAGUUGCACUUUAUCAGAGAUGAGGUUGCAAAGGGGUCAGUUGCAGUGAUCAAGAUACAUACAGACAUCAACCCUGCUGAUAUGCUAACCAAAGUGCUACCAACAACAAAAUUUAAGUUUUGUGUAAACUUCAUUGGUGUUGGCAGCAGCUCUAGUUCCUGAAACAUGUGUCUUUGAAGGUUUUUUAUGUUACUUAAUUGAGAUGAUCAGCUGAAUCGAGUAUGCAAGGUGGAGAGUGUGAGGAAAUAAGCUACUGGUCAACUAAUGGUUGUUGGGUUUAAAUGGAAGAUUUGAAGAAGUCUGGGGGCAUUGUGCAGAUCGACUUCAGCUGGAGGGGUCUAAUUGAAAUAUUAAAGCUGAUGUGGCAAGAAUUCGUUAUGAGUUCGUUAUGAUUUCCCAGAAAUACCAGAGUAUAUAUACGUGUGUUUUAGCCUCUAAUAUGUGGUUGUAAUCUUUCUCAUUUCUUGAUCAUUUAGUGAGCUAAUUGGUUCUUUGUGAUCUUUGUAAACUCCUCUAUAGAAUUAGCUUGUAAUUCGAUUCAUAGUGAUCAAUAAAAGUGCAGUUUUUCCUUCUACAAGUUGAGUGCUUGGAACUGUGCUCUGUUAAAGUUCUUUCAUGUUUCUUUCUUGAUUAGCUUGCUUUGAUUAGUUCUUUCUAGAUUCAAUACGUUAAUAGGGUUAUAACACAAACCUUCCGCCGGUGUUCAAUUUGAGAUUGAUCAACAAUCUCCUAAAGCUCUUGGAAAAAGAAAGGUUAGUAGAGGGAAUAUUAAAUGUCAUUAUUUUAUUUUCAUUUAUUUCUAUUUGUAUAUGCAUGUAUUACUACUAAUUGUACGCAUGUAUAUUUUAAUUAUUUCAUAGGCCAGUUUCCCAUCGGGUGAGUUUACUCAAAAAUCUGUGAAGAGUAUAAUGAAUUCAAAGAGCACUAUUAUUAAAAUUUCCCAACCAACUCCUCAACAAACUCCAAACAAACUAGAUUUUGAAGUUACUUCAAAGCCUUCGCCAAGAAAAUCUACCAAAUUAACUCAUUAUUUAGAUGUACAAUUCCUCUAUGAUGAGAGAGUAUAAAAAAAAAGAACCACUGGUCAUCAAACAAACAACAAAAAAACUGAAGCAGGGUGCAAAGAAUACAAGGGCAGCUGCACAAUUAAAAAAGAAUGACACGAAUGAAUAUAUGAACAUGUCUUAAAAGUCUUUUUAAAAUUGAAUCAAAAAGUCGUAUGAAAUAAAUUUGAGAUCAAGAUUCAUUUUUCUUUGUUAUUGUUUGACUGCUGGGUAUUGUUGGUGGGUUUAGUAUUAUUAAGCAUGUUUAUAAGGAUUAGAUUAAUGCAUUUUCACCCAUUUUCUAGGUUCAUUGAAGGCAAUUUUGAAAAUUUUGGGAUUAAUUUUAAAUUACUCUCUCAUGAAGUGAUAAUCUUCAAAUUAAAUCCUUUACUUUUAAAAUAACAAGUUAUCUCCCAAAAGUCAUUAUCUUGCUAUUAUUUUUAACGACUGAAAGGAUGAAAUAGUAUUUGUACAUUCUCUUACAGUCAAUUAAUAGAAAAAAAUCAAACAUCUAUGUAGGCUAAUUUUCAUGGGCCUAAAUCUUUUUUAGUGUUUCGAAACACACAUAAAUAUUUUAAAUAUUUAUAGUAUGGACCUAAAUACUUUAAAUAUUUUCGUUUAUACCCAAUAGAUACCAAACUCGUGGCCGCACAUAACCAUGGCAACCAAAUCCAUGGCCAUAUACAGCCAAGGCAACCAAACCCUCACUGGCCAUGGAAACCAAACCAUGGCAACAGGUGACCAAGGCAACCAAACCCCUAGUCGCUCGUGGCCAAGGCACCCAAACCCAUGCCUGCAUGAACGCAUGGCCGUAUGAUCCAUGGUCAUGCAUGGCCAAGGUAGCCAAAUCCUUGGGCCAUGCACAGCCAUGCCAACCAAUUGGAAUGAUAUGAUAAACUAUGGGUAUCCUAAUUAGGAUUUAGUGUGACUCUGAUUUGGUGGAGAUUAAAUUGGAAAGAGAUAUUUUGUUUUUAACUUUAAUGACUUCGUCAUUUUUAUUUCAUUAUUUUAUUAAUUCAAAAAGUAUAUUUUUAAGUAUUAAAAUUGUUAAUCAACGAAACUUAGUAAAAAAGGAUAUUUUCGUACUUUAACAAAUCACCAAUGAUCAAUUGUUAAAGUUAACUAUUUUUAGGGGGCAAUAUGAUAUUUCCAAAAGUUAAGUGGAACAAUUUGAAGACUGUCACUUCACAAGAGGAUAAUCCAAAAUUAACCUAAAAUUGUAAAUCCAUUUUUGGAGUUUUUCUUGUUCAUUUGGUGUGAAUAUUUUUUGUUUAUUGAUAUGCUUAAUUGAUUCUUUUUGAGAAGUUAUUUUUAUUUCACUAUGUUGUAUUAGUGAGUUAUUAAAAAGAACCAUUCCGUAAGUCAAGAGAUUUUUAUUUUGGUGAUUUCCAAUGAAAAAGAUAAUUUGAAGGCUAUGCCACAUUUAAAAUACGUAGUGAGAAAGAGAAACAACUAAGUAACAUUUAUUAUAUCAUCUUUGGUGGUCAAUUUCAAUGCUUAAAGUCAAAUAUACCGAACUUUUCAAAUUAGAAGUAAACCGAAUGAAGGGCUAUGCAAAUAAUACAUAUGGGGAAAUUCGAGUGCUAAUGUGGCCCACAACUAAAAGACACAUGCCAAGAAAGUCAAUCAAGGGAAGUCAAUUAGUUUAAUUGGACGUUAGGAUAACUCACAAAGAGAUAGGGGGUAAGUUCCCUGAAAAAGAAAGACAAUUUUGGUAAAAACACACAAUAUCAGAGGGUAUUAUUGGAAACUAGAUUUUGGUGGUUCAGGCCAACACAUAGACAGAACAUGACAUCAUGAGAGAGAACAAAAAUAUCUUAUUUUGGUUAAAGAUAAGGAGCCAAUAAGAAUUGAGAUUCUCUAGCCAAGUAUUGAGAAAAGACCACAUUACCUAGCCUUUUGAUACUGAUAGAAAAGCCACAAGACCAUAAAGUUAGGAGGCUGUCAUAUGUUUGGCCAUGAAGGCAAAAGGUGGCCGAAGGGUUUCUUGCCUCUCAAGCUCAUGGAUGUCACCAUCAAGGGACCACAAGGCAAAUUACUCAAAUAGCCUCACCUAAGGGAGGCUAGCCAUUAAAUGAGCACUACGUGUCUAAAAUUACCAAAAUACCGUCAGGAACACUUUUAUAUAAGCUCUACACAUUCAAUCUUGAGGGGGCUCUCUCCAUCUCUGACCCUCUCUCUCUCUUUUUGCUUUACCGAACUUUGAGUAUUUUUCUAGAUAUAAUCACCUCAGCUUGCCUCCCAAAUCACCUCAGCUAUACCUCUUACCCUAAACAUUAGAAAAUACACCUAGACCCAAACUUAAUCUAAUCUUCCCCUAAAAUAUAAUUUUUUUUUAUUUUAAUCAGAUUUGACCCAAAUCCAAUUAGAACAACCAUUUAAUGGUUCGAAUCGAAUCUUAGUAAAAAUCGAGCUAAACCAACUGGCACCGUCUAAUGGGAGGGCUACACAAAAGGUUUUAGUAGUAAUGGUUAGUUUAGAUUGAGUUGGCAAGGGAUGUACUCUUGGAUUUAAAUCACCAAAUAGAGAAGCUCCAUAAGAAAUUGUAUUAAGGAACCCUCAGAAAAACACCAAAAAGAAAUCCUUGGAAAAAAGCCAGAGAGAAAUCCUCUAUGAAAUGCUCAAGAAAAAUGUUAAGGAGGAUACCUGAUCAAGAAAACUUUACAGAGGAUUCCUUAGAAAACACCAUUAAGGAUUUCUCCAAAACACCAAGAGCGAUCUUUAAAGGAAAAUUGCAAAUUAGUGUAGCAGUUUUGAAGCUACUUCAGUUCUUCUCUAAGCGCUAGAGUAGAGUGAAACACCUCUUGAAUGCUUCAACACUCAGGAAAAUUAUUAGUAUUAUGCUCUAAGCUCUUCCUUAUUUAUCUCUAUUUUUGAAUUCUCUACUACAUAUUUGCUCAUAUAUGUUUGUGGUAGGUCUGAUAGAACCUUAUUUGUUCACUUCCAUGACUUGAUUUAUUUUAAAGAAACUCCUUGAUGUCUACAUGAUAGCAAAGAGAUUUUAAGAUCUAUUCUUAGCAUAACACGUGCUAGUAAUGCAAUAAUUAUGAUUUAAGCUACUUUCAUCUAAGUAGAUCUUAUAAAUGAAUGCUACUUGUUUAUUCUAAAAUACUCAUGAUCGUAUGUCUAAUCUUCUUUGUUAAGUCCAUUAUUUAUAGAGUUGGCAUCUUAUGGCAAGUCUAGUUAAAUUGGAAUUUUAUUUAUUGCAUAUCUUGUAGUAGGGAUUAAUUCAUUAAUUCCCUAAUUUAGUAAGAUUCCAAUUUAUUAGGAAUAUUUGUUUCCUAAUUUAAUUAGAUAUCUAAUUUAGCAAGUCAAUUAAUGAUGAGAUUCUAUAAUUGACAUAUGAGAUCUAUUUAGAGCAAGAAGUUGGUUCAAACAGAAAGUUCAUUAAAUGCUCUAGAUAUUUCUUGGGAGACAAGUAAGAUAAGAAGAUCAUAUUUAUUCACUAAUUUAGCAAGUCAAUUAAUGAUGAGAUUCUAUAAUUGACAUAUGAGAUCUAUUUAGAGCAAGAAGUUGGUUCAAACAGAAAGUUCAUUAAAUGCUCUAGAUAUUUCUUGGGAGACAAGUAAGAUAAGAAGAUCAUAUUUAUUCAUAUUCAGAUUCAUAGGAAUUAUAAGAGGAAAAAAACUCUUAUUUGGAAAGAAUCUAAGUCUUUUAAGACUUGCUAUUUUUUGUGAAACCCUAGUGCCUGUAUAAAGAGAGGUAUUUCACAAUUGAAGGCACACAACACAAAGCAUAAAAUAUAAAAACAAAAUUCGGCCUUCUCCCUAGAGAAUCCGGAUUUGGCACAUAAUGUUGUAUUGAUUUUUUUUCUUAUCUUCUUUUCAUCUCUGUGGAGAGUGUAUGUGGAUUUUAGAUCACUAGAUAUUGAAGAUUUGAAGAAUUGUUAUUGAUCACUUUGCGAAGUGCCUUGAGGAUCGUGGAUCAAGAGCAAUUAUUUAAGAGAAGCAGAUUCAGUCUAAGGUUGACUGAACUAAAUGGUGAUAAAGUGUAAGUGAGAGUCUUAAGUUUAAUAAAUCCAUAGGUUGUAACAUCUCAAUUUAGUGAAUUGUUUUUCAUCUAGACGUGGCCUCGUGGAUGUAAGAUUGAUUAAUCCGAACCAUGUAAAAAUCUCCAUGUCAUUUAUUUUCUGGAAUUUAUUGUGUUUUUGGAAAAUUAAUAUUUUUUAUGUGGAUGAACAAUAUUUGUGAACAGUAAUUAAGCUAUUAAUUUUAGGGUUUUAAUUGUCUACAUUUAUUUGCAAUAUAUAUAAAUUCCUUUCAUUCUUAAUUGUUUCUUAACGAAAGUAAUUGAAUGAUUUACUCUUGCUAUGUAUCAUGUGAGUGAACAAGUUCUUAGAUAUGUUUAUUUGGAUGAAUGAUUGAUCUUUAUUGCCAUGUGGUUGAGAAUGAAUGGUUAACUCCUUUUUUUAUUAUGAUUUGUUAAUUGUAAUUUAUCUUCAUUUAUGGCUUACUUUGUUUAAACUCUUAGACUGUAGCUCUAGAUACAAGAGCUAAUCUUGUUUCAGCUGACUUAUAUUGAUAACUACUCAAGAGCUGUGAACAUGAACAAAUCACGAAUAUAGAGGUACCUUAGUAAGGCUACCUACCUAGGGGAUUGAGAACUCGUCUCUCCUAAAAUCUAUGUAUUUCACAAGGACUUAUUGCCAUGGUUUAUCUCCAUGUCUUAGUGCCACAAUUAAAGAGUUAAGAAAGCUCCUAAGUAAAUCGCUAGAGCUAGUUGUGUGCAACUCAACUAUUAUAACCAGAGUUGAGUAUAACUCAGUAUUGAAAUAGUCAGGGCUAAGUAUAGCUUAGUAUCGAAAUCAUCAAAGUAGAUGAGUGUGGCUCAACUAUCAUCGUUAGAAUUUAACAUAGCUCAAGCUUUGAAAUUGCCAAAGCUAGUGGGGUGCAGCUCGGUAAUCAUUGCAAGAGUUGAGUAUAGCUUAGAGAGUAGAACUGAAAAAAUUUGACAUGACCUGAUAAUCCAACACAAAGAUUUUGUUGAUAUUCUAAAGCAAAUCACAUAAUACUUCAUUUAUAUAGUGCAUUGGAAAUGAACUACUCCUAUGGAUGUACAUCAAAGGGCCGAACCAUGUAAAAUCUAUGUUUUUAUUUUGUUUGCUUAUUUUCUGCUGAUUAUGAUAGUUUGGAUGCCCCAAAUCAUAUUUUAUAUAUGAAUUCACAUGAGUUAUUCUAUAAGCUCUACGGAGUUAUUCAGAUUAACUCGCACGAGCUAUCCUCGAAGCUCUCUUGAGCUCCCUGUCAAUUCUCUAAAUUAACUCGCAUGAGCUCCAUGGGCUUGCCCUAAUAUUCCAAACUCAUAACAUCAUAGCUUACCUCCCAAAUCACCGCAGCUAACCUCUUAAUCACUGCAGCUCACCCCUCAGAUCACCUCAAUAUACCUCCUACCCCCAAACAUAAGAAAAUACACUUUAACCCAAACCUAGCCUAAUCUCCUCCUAAAAUAUAAAUUUUAUUUAUUUUAAUCAGAUUUGACCUAGAUUUGAUGAGAACAACCACUUAAUAGUUCGAAUUGGAUCUAGUGAAAAUCCGGCUAUGACAAGGUAGCUUAUCUGUCAUGUAUAUUUUGUUACAAUGCUUUAAAAAUAUUUUGUCGUAGGACCAUCGACUCCUAGUCCUAUAAAAUUGUUUGAGCUUGAAGUUAACUAGUAGUAAAGAACAACUAGCUAGUGUCUUGAUCCCUCACAUGAAGACAUUGCAUUACUUAUUCAUGGCUUCCACCUUUACCAAAGUUGUACACCAAGUUUUCUUGAGCUUCCGAGGAGAAGAUACACGCAACAGCUUCACUAAUCAUCUCUCCCAAGCUCUGGUUCAUCCAGGAAUUCACACUUUCGAAGAUGACAUUGAACUCCGAAGAGGUGAAGACAUUUACUCAGAGUUGCUUGAAGCAAUUCAAUAAUAUUCUCUAAGAACUAUGCCGAUUCCAGACGGUGCUUCGGUGAGAUUGUAAAGACUGGGAAUUGCAAGAAACAUAAUAAUGUUAGACAGACAGUUUUGCCCGUGUUUUUUUAUAUCAGCCCAUCAGAUGUCAGGAAUCAGAAUGAAAACUUUGCAGAGGCUUUUGUUAAGCAUGAAGCUCGGUUCAGUUGGAAAAGGCGAAGAAAUGGAGGGCAGCUCUUACAGGGGCAGCAAAUUUGUCUGGUUGGGCUUUGCAUGAAGCUCCGAAAGGGUAAAAUUUAAAUUCCAUUCUUUUCAAAAGUCUGAUUGCUUUUCGGAAAAUCCCUUAACGUUUAAAUUAAAUUUGAGAGAAUUUGUGUCAAGAUUAUCUUAAAUAAAGUUUGACCUGGAUUUGACGCAGGAGAAAGGUGGAAAAUAUUUUAAUGCGAUUGAAUAUUGAUGGAUCAAUAAUUUAUUGAACAAAGACCGGUGUCAAUCGUUUUAGUACAAAGUUACACGGUAUUUUAGAAUUUUGAGGGAAAAAGGUUGUUAUCGUUUCCCAGUUUCAAAAAUUAUAAAAUAUGGAAAGAGUGCAAGAAAUAUUAAGAUUAAUGUUUACCAUUUUAUUAAUAUAUCUUUAUAAAAUCUUUGAUUCUACUAUAUUUUUAUUUCCACCAGUUAGUUGACUAGUUACUCAAUUAAUAAAAUGCUAAUUUUACCUUUAAAAGAAGAGUAUAAAAGUAGAGGUAUUAAAUUUUAAAUUUAGUCUUAUUGAUAUUAUUUUUAGCUAGUUUAUAUUUGAACUUCGGAGAAAGGACACCACCUACACCCCCCAAGGUUUAGAGAAAUGGUCAUAUAAACUCCAUAUUUUCUAUAGGGGACACCAAUAUACCUCUUGACGAUAAUACCCAUUUGGGUUUAUUAACUCAAAAAAAUUGAUUCUAUUGUUUUAUAAUAAAUAAAAAUAUAAUAUUUAAAAAUAUUUUAACACUUUACAAGCUUAUAUUAUAUUGAACUAAAUUAUUUUAUAUAUUAAAAAAUAUUUUAGUAUUAUUAGUCUACUAUACACAUUAAACUAUAUAGAUUGUAUUUGUUUUUGUUAAAAAAAUUUAAAGUUAAUUUUUUUGUUACUAUCUGCAAAUAGUAUUAUAGUUAAAAGGAGGUCGUGAUGUCCCUCAUUAAAAGUUUGGGGUCUACAUAAUCAUUUUCUCAAACUUUAAGAGUGUAGGUGUCCUUUUCCAAAUUUGUAAUAUUAUAAUCCAUUGUAUGUUAUUUUUUUCUUGUAAUAAAAAAAUUCAUUAAAGGGUAAAAUUGAUAUUUUGUUAUUAGGGAUGGCAAUGGGGAGGGGAGGGGAGGAGACCGACCUCCCUGUACCCAUCCCUGAUAUUCUACAUAUGUCUUCGUCCCCUCCCCGUUCUCGACAAAAUUGCUUUAGGAAAUCCCCAUCCCAUCCCCCAAUAAUAAUAGGGGAUUCUCGAGAGUCCCCGAUCCUCAAAUAGCUAAUAUGUUUUUAGUUUUUGAUUUAAUUUAAUUAUAUUAAAAUAAAAAUAAAGUUUGACGAUAUAUCUUACAUUAACAUUAAUCCAUUACAAAAGUCACAUUACAAAAUACAAAUCACCAUGAUAAUUAUUUUUGUCAAUCUUCAUAAUCCUACAAUAAAAAAAAGAAAGAAAUUACUUUUAUAUCAACAUUGAGAUAAAUGAAAUGGAUAUAUAGAUAUUUAAUCAACAUUUCUAAUAAAAGUAUUUACCUCUUGUGCCUCCUACUUCUCUUGUUAUUCCUCGAAGAAUGUGUCAAAUUGAGAGAUAGCCUCAUGUUUUAAAUCUAAAAUGAUAAAAAUAGUAUAAGUAACGUAACUUCUAAGUGAAAAUAUUAAUAAUUAUAUUAUAUAAUUAUAAUGUAAAAUAAACUCAUACUACCAUUGUAAGCUCAUAUUUAACUUUGACAACACAUUAAAGCCUCUAAUGUGUUUGGAUGAAACCUGUUAUGGUACUUUACUACUGGUACUAAAAGUUAAUUCGGAAACAAUAGUUGUAAUUGGAAUUGUCAAAAUAUUUUUAGCAAUUCGCGCCAAUAUAGGAUACCUAUGAGCAUUUGUUUUCCACGAACUCAAAAUAUUAAAAUAUUUCAUAUGCGGCAUAAGUUUCUUAUCCAAAUAUUAAUCUAGUCAAUUAGGCACAAAAGUUUAAUAAUUAUUAUUUUGAUAUUUGUUAUUUAUACUAAUAUUCAAUAUUUUAUAAUUUACCUUUUAUUAUUUAUUUACUAAUAAUAUUUUUAAAAAUUAAAUUAAAUUAAAUUAAAAUGGGGAAAUAAGGAGGGGAUGGGGAUUCCGCCUCAUCCCCGUCCCUUCCCCAAAUAAAAAACUGGAUAAAAUAUUGUCCUCUUUCCUUUCCCGAAUAAGAAAUUGGGAAAGAAAAUUGUCCCCUUCCCUUCCCCAAAUAAGAAACUGAGUAAAAAAUUGUCCCCAUACCCUCCCCGAAUGGGGAAAAUCCCUGAGGGUCCCCAUCCCAAUGGGGAUUUAUCCCAUCCCUAUUUGUUAUCAAUUAACUGAUCGACUAACAUUAUUAAUAACAAUAUAAUAAAAUGCCAGGUUUUAUAAAGAUAUAUAGUAAAAGAUAGAUUACAUUAAUAUUUCUAGCAGUUAUUCGAUAGUUUACAAUUCUUAAUACAAUGAAACAAUAUAGCAAAAAAAAAAAAAUGAAAAUGAAUGGAUUUUGACUUUGAAAAAAGAGAAUUUCAUUUUCAUAAGGAUAUAUUUUUCCUUUCAUACUUGUUUGAUGUCGUUACUAGUAUUUAAAUUUUAUCCUAUCAAUUAUGUAGUUAACCAACAAGAGUAAGCUUCUGGUUUAGGAUCCUAAACUUUUUUUAAAGUUCGGGAUCCAAGUCAUGAAGCAGGCCAUUUUGUUUAUAUUUUUUUAAUUAUUUACUACAAAUGGUGGCUUUUGGUGCAUUUGGUACGCCGCAAUAGAUUAGACUAGAUUGUGUUGGAUUGUGAUGUAUUAUACUAAGUUGUAUUAAUUUAAUAUAGUACAAUGUUCAUUGUAGUAUGGACUAUAUUGCAUUUUAUAAUAUUUUUAUAUAAAUAUUUAUAUUAAAUCGAUAUUAUAUUUUUAUUAUUAUUUAUAUUCAAAUUAUUUGAUUUAUAUAAAAAUAUCAAAAGCCAUCAUUGGCCGCCACCAAAAAUUAGCAAUUUUUAUCCGUUCACAGCAUAUUUGUUAUCAUUGAAUUUUUGUCUUGAGCUCUACGUAACAGUAUAAAUAUCAAUGGAAACUAAGCUUCUUUUUGGGACAAAACUACGUUGCAGAAUCUGUAAGCUACAGACAGCAGCAUCAGCCGUUGGAUGUGGUUGGAUGUGGAGUGAGAAACUAAACAAAAGAAAAUCGGAUGGUGGGAUGACGGGAGAUGUUUGUUACAGAAUCUGUAACAUAGACAGGUCCUUCUUUUUGUCGUAAACUUACAGUCAAAGUUUUAAAUUUAAAACUUUGUUUGUAAAUAUACGAUAAACGUUAGCUUGGUUUCCAGUUGUACUUGUACCAUUACGUAGAGCUGAUAACAAUUCCAAUAGUAUCAAUAUGAUGUAAAUGGCCACCGAAAAACAGUGAAGGUGGCGGCAAACAGUGGCCAAACAUGGUAGCCAGCGGUGGUGAAAGGUGGUUGGUGAUAUUUUAAUAUUAAUUCAAAUAAAUUUAAAUGUUAAGUUUAAUUAAUAAAUCAUUUUUUUUUUUUUUUUUAAAAAGUGAGCAGACCAGCCCAGACCUGAGAGGAGGGCGGGUCUGAUUUGGGUGUACUGGGCUGAACAAUUGACCAGCCUAAUACACCCAAAUGAUGGUGCCAAACGCUGGUAUGGCAGUGUAGAAUACAGUACAAAUUAGCUAAUCUAUAGUCAUGUUAUGUUACAUUAUAUGUUACAUACAGUAAUAUUUAUCUCUUGUUAAGACAUUAAUUUCUUUCUUGCUAUCUGAGUUUUAGCAAUUUCAUCUAUUUGUAGUUCCUUCACAAAACUAUCAUAUUGUUCUUCAAAUUCAGAAGAGGUUUCAGUUAACAGAAGUUCAAUUUUUUAAAAAUAAUUUCUUGAUCAAAUUUUAAUUGGUUUAUCUUCUUUUUAUUGGACAAUAUUUUGCUAUGUGUCUAAGUUUUCUGCAUUUAAAACAAGUAUAAUUUUUUGUUGCAUUUUUCAUAGUAUUUUCUUUGGACUUUUUAUCUCUUUUGAUAUAUUUGGUUUUCUUGGGUCUGCUGUGAAAAUUUGAUUUUUUUUUUUUGUAAAAUUUUCGUCUUCUAGGAUAUGAUUUCGUUUUCUUGGGUCUGCUGUGAAAAUUUGACUUGGGUCUGCUGUGAAAAUUUGAUUUUUUUUUUUUGUAAAAUUUUCGUCUUCUAGGAUAUGAUUUCCUAGCACAAUUUCCAUCACAUCUGUGAUAAUUUUUCUUUUUCUUUUUUGUUAAUAUAAGUUUACAAUACUGAGAAUGUAAUUGUUCCCUUUUGAUUUGUUUCUGUAAUUUCAUAGCUUUAUGAAUUUUCAUUCCUUCUUUUUGAAUAAAUCUAUUUAAUUCUCCAUACGUAAGUUUUUUGUAUGAAAUUUCUCCUCCAUAUAUUUUUUAAAUUUGUCUCUAACUUUAUCAGCUUGAAGUCCAGGUAGUCUAAGGUGGCGUUUGUUUUUUAACUUAAUGACUUAAAGUGACUUAACUUAAUUAUUUAAGUUAAAUUUUUUUGGCUUUUUACUUAAUGGAGAAUCUGAAUUAAGUCAAUUACUUGCUAAUCUAAAAAAUAUCCCUGCUUUAUAAUUUAUUUUUUAUGUCUAUCCCAAAACUCACCCAUAGAUAUUUACCCCACAUAAAAAUAUCCAUGUUUUUUCUUUCUUAUAUUAUAUACGAUAAAAUUUGAAAUUUAUGAUAUUUUAUAUAUUAAAAUUCCAAAAUAAUUAUGUAUUCACUUGAAUAUAGUUUUACUUAUAAAUGUUAAAAUAUUGUGGUAUUUAAUUUAUUAUUUAUUUGACAUUCAAAUUUAAUAAGGAUACAAAUGUAAAAGUACAUAUUUUCAGCUUUUUAAGUUGAAAAAAAAAACAACUUAAUACUUAUUUUCUGAGAUUCAGACAAAAAAAUAAACAUAAUAUUCAGAUUCAGAUAUUCAAAUCUAUUCAUAAUUCAGAUUAAUUCAGGUUUAUUCAGAUUUCAGAUAAAAAAACAAACGCCACCUAACUAUAAAUUUUUGUUUCCAAAUUGGAUGAUUAUUGUUGGAUGAUUAUUGUUAGAUCUUGAAAUUGCUCCUGCAAGUAAUGUGUCUUUAUACCACCUAAAAUCUUGAAGGGUUUUACAUCUUAAAUUUGUUAAUUGCUCAUCAUUUUUGUCUUUAGUUGCAGAAGGGAUUUCUAAAAUUAAAUCUGAUUACUGAGAAAAUUAAAGAAUUAAGAGCAUCUUGAAUUUCUUUAUUAUAGUAAUCUUUUGUUGUUGUAUCAGUUGAAUCUUUCUUAAUUGACUAUAAAAUUUUAUGUUUAUCAUUUUGAGUUAAGGUAUAAUCCUACCAACCUUUUAAUUAGCCAUUAAACCCAACUACUAAUAACUGAGUAAUGGCAUGAUUAGAUUAACCAAGUUUUGUUUUGAAAACAUUGUUAACCAUUGCCAUUUAUUGUAACACAUUGAGAAUAUUCUACAUUUCCACUAAUAAAUUGAAUUUGUACCAUAUUUAUUUUAGAAAACUUGAGGCUUUGCUUCUAUUAUUAUAUCUAGAGCUGAAGCUCUUGGAAAUAAAGUUUUUGCUUCUAUUGUUAUAUCUAGAGCUAAAGCUCUUGGAAAUAAAGUUUUUGUGUGGCUUCCAAUUUGAUGUAGAUUGAUUGCCUGGAAUGAGCAGGGUACUUUCGAGGGAUCAUAACUUGGACUACAAGUGUUCGUUUUAGGUAUAUAAUAUAUCAUUUUGAAGAUUGUGACGUAAUGAACCAAACCAAGACGCUGUAUUAUUUUGUCCCAUGAUCAAGGUAGAAAUUCUACUUCUUUCUUGAUCAUUUUGUAGUUUUAAGAUAUUUCUCUAAUUUUCAUGUUCCUUUUAGGUGUUUAUAUAUUUUUUUAAGAUAUCGAAUUUGGGCUCCAUUUGUUUUUCUUUUCUUAUUUAGAUUAGGAUAAUUUUAUUAUAAAAUAAUAUUUCAUAUUUGCCUAUUUUGGUAAAUUCACUAUAAUUAGGGUUAUUAUAUAAAGGGGCCAAAACCAUAGUUUUGUUAAUUCAGACAUAUUCAAAAAACUUUAUUAUUCAGAAACUUGUGUUUCUUCUAUCAUUCAACUUUAAAUGUUUUAGUUUUGGCAGUUGGUAUCAGAGCAAGUUCACUUAUCAUCGUUAUACGACCACAUUAGCAAAGGAGCAAAGCCUAUGCUGAAUAAGUGUUUGAAGUGUGGGGAGCCUUGCUAUCGAUCAAUUGAUUAUUGUCCUAAAAAAUUGAAUUUAGUAGAGGCUAAAGUUAGUGAGACAGAGGUUAAUGGUGUUAAGGAUGGCGAUGAUGAAGAAGCUUUAGAGUUAGAGGCAGAUGAAGGAGAGAUGUCAAAUUGCAUUGUGCAGAAAAUUUUAUUAGCCUUAAAGAGGAUAAUCAGAGCAAUAAGAUUUUUAGAACAUGUGGCACCAUCAACAAUAAGGUGUAUAAUAUGAUAAUUGAUAGUGGUAGUAGCGAGAAUAUAAUUUUGAAGGCGCUAGUUGACAUGAUGGGAUUUUCAACAAAAAAAACAUUUAGCAUCUUACAGGAUAAGGUAGAUAAAGUAAAGGACAUAAAUAUAACAGAAGUAUGUUGUGUUCCUUUCUCUAUUGGGAAGAUUUAUAAAAGUGAUGUGGUGUGUAGCGUGGUGGAUAUGGAUGCGUGCCAUUUGUUGUUGGGCAGACCUUAGCAGUUUGAUGUUGAUUAGUUCAUAGAGGAAAGGACAAUGUGUAUGAGUUUUGAUGGAAUAGAAAAAAGGUUCAUUUGGUGCCUUUAACAAACAAAAACAAGAAUUCUAAGACUAAAGGAAAGAACUUUCUGACUAUUGUCAAGGGUCACUUAGAAGAUGAUUGUGAUGGUUGCAAGAAGCUGAAUAAGGAAGAAGAAUUUGAGGUGAAGACUGUUACUAAAAAAGUGAAGUCAUUGUUAGCUGAGUUCGCUAAUGUUAUACCAUCAGAGAUGCCAAAUGGGCUUCCGUCUUUACAAGAUAUACAACAUCAUAUAGACUUAGUUCUUAGUUUGAGUUUGCCUAACUUGCCCCACUAUUAUAUGAGUCCUCAUGAGCAUGCGAUCGUACAAAGGGCAGGUUAAUUAGUUAUUGCAGAAAGGGUUCAUUCGGAAGAGCAUGAGUCCAUGUACUAUACCAGCUUCGUUGGUGCCAAAAAAGGAUAAGAGUUUGCAUAUAUGUGUAGACAACAGGCGAAUUAAAUAUAUUACAUUGAAGUAUCGAUUUCCCAUUCUAACCUUUCGAGAUUUGUUAGAUCAAUUGGAUGAUGCUUGGGUUUUCUUGAAGAUAGAUUUAUGUUGUGGCUACCAUCAAAUUAGAAUUAGGCCUAGAGAUAAGUGGAAAAAAAGUGUUUAACAUAAAAGAAAGGUUCCAUUAGUAGUUUUUGAUGCCAUUCGUGUUGUCAAAUGCUUUAUUAUUUUUAUGUACUUAAUGGACUAGGUUCUUAAACCAUUUUACUACAAAUUUAUUGUGGUGUAUUUUGAAAAUAUCUUGGUUUAUUCUAUUAAUGUGGUUGCCCAUUAAAGAAUUUGAGAAUGGUUAUAUAUGGAGGUGUUGCAUCGAAACAAGCUUAACAUUAAUGUGAGGAAGUUUAGUUUUCUAUAUAAUAAUGUGGAGUUUUGGGAUUUAUAAUUAGUGCAGAUGAGAUUCAAGCUAUUGAGUCAAAGAUAUAAGCCAUUGAAAGAAUGGCCUAUGCCCAAGGAAGUGGGUGAAGUUAGAAGCUUUCAUGGGCUGGCAAUAUUUUAUAAGAGAUUCAUUUGUGGUUUUAGCACUAUAGCUGCACCUAUUAUAGAAUGCUUAAAGAAAAGAAAGUUCGAGUAAGAAGAAGAGUAAGAAGCGAGUUUUGUUUUACUAAAGUAAAAGUUGUGUACUGCUCUUAUAUUGGCCUUGCCAAACUUCAACAAGUUAUUUAAGGUCAAGUAUGAUGUUUUAACAAAUGAAUUGAGGCUAUUUUUUUCUCAAGAAGGACAAUCAACUGAAUAUAUAAGUGAGAAGUUAACUGAAGCAUAAUAGAAGUGAUCUACUUACGACUAAUAGUUUUAUGCCAUUCUUAGGACUUUGAAGUCAUAUGAUCAUUGCUUGAUUAUGAAAGAGUUCAUGUUUUACAUUGACUAUCAAGCCUUGAAGUACUUUAACAGCUAGCAUAAUAUGAGAGAUGGGUGAGUUAUAAGUAGAAGUUCACUUUCGCUGUGAAACAUAAAUCUGGGUAUCAGAAUAAAGUAACAGACGCACUUAGCAGACGAGCAACUUUUCUUGUAACUCUAGUUAAUGAAGUUACUAGUUUUGAAUGCUUGAAGUAGUUGUACACUGAGGAUGAAGACUUUGAGAAUAUUUGGAAUUGAUGCGUUAAUCAUUAAAACGCAGAAGAUUUUCUCGUUCAAGAUGGAUAUAUAUAUUCUAGGCUAAUAAAAUAUUUGUGCCUUAAAGUUACUUAGGAGCAAAUUAUCUGCAUGUUGUAUAAGGAGAACUGGGCGGCUAUAUUGGUCGAGAUAAAACCACGGCACUUGUGGAUAAGCGAUAUCAUUGGCCGUAAUUAAAUAGAAUGUCCACAAUAUUGUGCAGAGAUGUCGAAUUUGCCAAAAAGGCAAAGGACAUGCGUAGAACAUGGGGUUAUACAUGGAUUUCAUGUUGGGCUUGCCUCAUAUAAAGACUGUUUAAGAUUCUAUACUGGUUGUGAUCAAUAUAUUUUCAGAGAUGGCUCAUUCUAUUGCUUGUGAAAAGACUGAAGAUGCUACCCUAGUCACAUUUGUUCUUUUGGGAGGUAGUAUAUUUGCAUGGUGUUCUAAAAACUAUAACUUCUGUCAAGGAUGUGAAGCUCAUUAACAAGAUUUAGCAUAAUCUCUAGGAUAAGUUUGGCAGACAGUUGUAGUUUAGUAGUGUUCUUUUUUAUCCAUAGACAAAUGGACAAAUGGACAAAUAGAGGUGAUUAAUCACAUUUUGGGCAACAUGUUGCACUAUGUUUAUGGUGACACGCAAUGGAACUGGGAAGCUUGUACAAAGACUAAAAAUGCUGCCUUAGUUGCAUUUGUUCUUUUGGGAGGUAGUAUGUUUGCAUGGUGUUUUAAAAACUAUAACUUCUGACAAGGAUUUGAAAGCUCGUUACCAAGUUUUGGCAUCAUCUCUAGGAUAAGUUUAGCAUACAAUUGUAGUUUAGUAGUAUUUUUUAUCCAUAGACAAAUGGACAAAUAGAUAUGAUUAAUGGCACUUUAGGCAACAUGUUGCACUGUGUUUGUGAUGACAAGCAAUGAAACUGGGAAGCUACAAUGCCUCAGGUUGAAUUUGCUUACAACAGUAUGGUGAAUCGAUCCAUUGCAAGACCCUUUUGAGAUUGUCUACACUUGCCCUCCACGCCAUGUUUGUGAUUUAGUAUUUAUCCCACUAGUAGUUGGGGAAGGAAGUAAAGCAACAAAUGUGGCAAAAAAGGAGUUGUAGAUUCAUGCUAUGGAGUGAGCUCACUUGGGGGCUAUCAAUGCUAGGUAUAAAGUUGAUGCAAACAAGCACCAAUAGAAGAAAAUAUUUCAGGAAGGUCAUUUGGUGAUGGCUCAACAGUGGUGAGAAGCAAAAAUAUGGCCCUUUUUUAUUGUCAAGGAAGAUUAAUGAUAAUGUUUACGUACUUCAGCUGCCAAAAAACUAGAACAUCUCUCAUACUUUCAGUGUAGCUGAUCUAUUUGAAUAUUAUCCAGAUGAUGAGGAGUUGUAUGAACCAAACUCGAGGAGAAGUCUUUCUCCAAGUGAGGGAGAUUGAUGUAGGUUGGAUGCGUGGAACGGUGGGGUUACUUCCAAAGGUCAUAACUUGGGCUACAAGUGUCCGUUUUGGGCAUUAUAUUGUUUCAAAACUUGUGACGAGAGAAACCAGACCCAUAAUUGUUUAUACUUUUCUGCCCAUGGUCAAGUUGGAAAUUUCACUUCUUUCCUAGUCGUUUUUUAAUUUUAAGAUAUUUUCUUAUUUUUCCUAUUUCUUUUAAGAUUUUUUUAGAUAUCGAAUUUGGAUGCAGUUUGUUUUGCUUUUCUUAUUUAGAUGAGGAAAAUUUUAUUAUAAAAUAAUAUUUCACAUUUGUCUAUUUUGGUAAAUUUGUAAUAUUUAGAGUUACUAUAUAAAAGGGACAAAACUCUAAUUUUGUUAAUCCAAACUUAUUCAACAAACUUCAUUAUUUAAAAACCUAUGUUUCUUCUAUCAUUCAACUUUAAACCUUUCCAUUUCAUCACAACUGAUCUUAUUAAGUAUAAAUUUUAAAAUUUCAGAAUCAUUGUCACUAUAACUUUUAGAUUGGCUAUCACUUGAAUGGUUUAAAGCAUUGACUUCUUUUGAUGUAGAAAGUCUUUUUGAUGUAGAAGUAAUAUUGGUGUAUCAGGUUUGAGUUGUGAUUUUAGAAUGACAAGUGUUUUAUCGAUUUCUUCUAUAAAUUCUUUUUUAGCUAAUUCUUUUUUUAAUACUUCUUGGAAUUUCAUGGGGUUUGAAUAAGGAUUUCACAUAUGCUCUUUCCAAGUUUUUAUUUAAAAUUUGUGGAGUGAGUUUUUAUGGUUUCCAAAUAUUGACUAUAUAUUUGUUUUUGGUCAAGAAUUUUUUUUUAUAUCUUUAUCGUUCUUUUUUGUCGUUUUUUAUUUGAAAGGUGAGGCUACAAUUUAAGUGUUUUUAUACUAAAUUUUAAAUGUGUUGAUUCAGUAGUAUCCCCAGUAGAAGUUUGCCAAAUUUUUACCUCACUUGCCAUAUUUAUUGUUUGGGAAAUAGAUAUUUAUUAUUGUAAAUAUUUGCAUAAUAUCCAAAGCAUUGGAAAAAUAUUACUUGAGCUUUAUUCUUGUUCAUGAAUUCAUAAUAUUGUUUUUGAAUUUCUAGCUUUUCUUUUCCUUGUCAAGAAACAAAUUUUAUAUUUUUUCAUUUGUUUUUGAUUAAAAAUCUUUUCUAAAAAAUUCUUUAUUGAUUCCAUUUUUUUUUUCUAAAGCAUCUAAUUCAUUAUGAUCGGUUAUGGAUGAAUAUGUAGUGACAUUCCUGGGGACUCAGUUUCUGUACUUUUAUUUUGGACAGGUUCAGGUUCGUUGAUAGAAUAAUAUGGUUUUGUUCUGUUUGAAGAAUUAUCUACUCAUCGGAGAUUGUUUAAAAUGAAGUAAAGCUUUGUUUGGUUACUAAGAAAAUGAACCAGAAAAUGAGGGAAGAGAUAGAAAAUCAAAUAAGCUCUUAUUCAUUAACUGAAAACUUACAAAAAUGAUUCUAACCACUGAUAUUUAUAUACACGAUAACAUACAUGAAUCGGUUACUAAAUCCAUCUAGAAACUUCACUCACACACACGCACUUUACACAUCUAUUUGUAACUAACUUGCCAAGUCAGCAUAACGAAUUUACUAAGCUGCUGACUGAACCACCGACCUUAUCAUGCUCUACAUCAUCAUCAUCAUCAUCACUAGAUAUUAAGCUACACUAAGCUGAUGACUGAACCACCGAGCUUAUCAUGCUCUGCAUCAUCAUCAUCACUAGAUAUUUUAACAGAGAUCUGAUCUUUUUGGAGGUCUAGAAAUUGAAGAAAAAUAGGCUCUAGCUGGCUCUCUUGAGGAUGAUCCAAAUUUGAGAUCAGAGGAUCCUAAGCUCAAGUUUUCAAAUUGUAAUGCUCUUUGCCAAGCAAAUGAUAUUAAUACACUUCUAUCAAUAUUUGUUUCUAUUUCUUUUAGUUUUGUGUUUUGUACUUUUUAAAAUUGUGUAACUUUUCCAUUGUCCAUUCUCACAAAUUGUAAUUUGAUCCCAUUUAAUAAAGUUUCUCCUUUUUGUUGUGUUUUAAAGCUUUUGUGCUAAAAGCAGAGAACAUUGGUUUCUAAAGAAUUUUAUGCAUUAAAGCUACAGGAAGUGUUCCCGGUUUGAUCUUGUAAUUGUAUGUUUUAUUAUUCAAAGUUAAGACAUCCAAUAUUUUUGUCAUUUUAAUAAAACUGUAAUGUAAAAUUUGGAUAACAACCAAAAUAAAUUGGUCCGUUGCAAAGAGUUGUUUCAAUUGUUCCUAAGAGUGAAUCUCUAAAAUCUAGAAACCUACAAUCUCUUAGACAUGCAAAUAAAGGAGUAUCUAAGCCUUCACAACUCAAUGGUUUAAAUCCAACUUGGACCAAUUCAAUAUGAAGGUAAUUAAUCUUUUUUGUAUUUUUUAAUUGUUUCAAAAUAAAGAAUUUUUCCUGUUUGAAAUUCACUUUUUUAUUCCAACAGUUCUUUCUUUAGUUUUGAUAAUAUUAUCAGUUUUUAAGAAAUUUAAUCUACAAUCUUUGUCAAUUUUGUUUGUUGAAAUUUUUAGAAUUCACCAUGUACCCCAAUUGCUUAAAGCCAAAGUACUGUCACAAUUUUUGUCAUUUUCUACUUAGAAGUUAAUUUCUCCUUCGUUCUUGAUUCCAUCUCUAGUACAAGAAUUGAAGGUAGACACUGAUAUAAAUAAAGAGUUCAUUAUUAGAAUACCUUUUUUUAAAAAAAAAAAAUUCCUUCCUACUCGGUUACUGACCAACGGUCUCACCCGCCAUAAUCGGUUUAAUAUGCCGGGAUCAUAACCGGAAUGACGCGUAGAUAAAAUUAAAUAUUUUUCAAAUAAACUCAGAUAAUUUGACCUGCCUCCGCCCUUUUUCUGAUACCAAAGAGACAUGGAUGCAAAAGAAAGAGAUGUCAUGGUUAAUAACUGUUGGAAAAAUAAGGCUUUAAGAGAGACGAAGGAUAUAUUUAGUUGUAAUAACAAUGAACAGAAAAGGAUAAUGCUAUAAGUUUUAAAAUAAUUACUGCAAGUUAUGUUGUAUAAAUAAACAACUAUGAAAAAAAUUAGUUAAACAUUUGGUAAAAUUUAUUUUUAAAAGAAAACAGAUCCGGUGCUCAGCAAUGGUCAGCAAUUGCUCUAUGUAAACUCCAAGAAAUUGCUGACCGUUGAUCCAAUACUCAACACAAGCUCAGUUGAGCACCGGAUCCUGGUCCUUUUUGAAAAUGCUAUGAGUUCUAAAAGCAAUCAUUUAUAUUUAAUAAUUCUUAUUACUAAAUUGUUAUAACAAUAUAAAUAACUAAAUUAGAAAUAAUGUUGAGUAAUUUUUUUUUUACACAUUUAUAAACACGUAUAUAAAAUUUUUUUAGUUGUGUAUAUAUAAUAAUUGAUAACUAGAAUAAAUAUAUUAUAUUAUUAAUUUUAUUUUGUUUGAUGAUAAUAAUCUCUUAAAGUAAAUGAUUUUAUUUCCUAAUUAAUAAAGAUAAUUUUAUAUUUUUAUUAUAUAUAUGAGAAUAUACAUGAAAUCAUACUAAGUAUAAAAGUGAUCUUAAAAUUAAAUUUUGAAAAGUUACUCCUCCCUUAUUUUUUAAAAUCUACUGUAAGAUGCAAUAAUUUUAACAAAUGUGAUUUUUAAAAAACUUAAUCAAAUACUAAAAUUAACUUUUAACUUUUUAAAAUUACUUUUAAAACUCUCAAAAGUCAAAAGCAAUCCAAGUGCGCUUGUGCAUUGAUUUUCAUUUGUUAUAAGUAUCUCAUAGAUGUGGAAGUGUCGAAUAGAGAGUUUCAAGCUUGGGAAGCUAUGACCAAAAUAUAAAUAAAUUAAUAAAUUAAAGAUUGAGUUGGUAUUUGGUAAGAAAUAAAUUUCUUGUUAGUUCAUCAGCCUCUCACUGUGUUAAUUCCAAGUACAUCAUAACGAUUAUUGUUAUGUAUAAUCAAAUAUAUUAUAAGCACUUGUAUUGUAAUGAAUUAUCGAGGAACGAUGGAUUUUCUUUUCAUAUAAAUAAAGAUUAAGGCAUAUGGCUAAACAUGCACCUAGACAAAGGUCUCCAAAUGAUUUUAUUCAGUAUUUUUCUAAUGUCUAAAAAAUUUAAUAUAAACAACUUUCUGUUCAUAUAUGUCACUUGAGAUCUAGUUGACUUAAAGUUUCACUAAUUUUUUAUAAUUUUUUUUUUGUAUUUUUAAAACAUAGGGGAAGAGAUUGAAACUUAAAAAUACUUUUUAACCCCUUAUCUCACCUAAGAUUCAAACUCAAGUGGCCAGGUAUUGCUUGAAACCAUUUGAUUAGCCCUUGGUUUGCUAAAUUUUAUAGUUAAAAUAUUGUAAUAAUGAAUACUACUUAAAUCAGCAUAACGAUGAAGGAGCAUUGGUUCCAAAUAUACAUUAAAUUUUGUUAAUUAUUACUCCUUUAUUUUAUGAUUCAAUCUUCUAUGAACAUCUUCUCUUUCUAGAGCAACUUGUAAUUUAGUGAUUAUCAUUGAUUUUUAUUUCCUGAUGAACGUCAAUAUAUGCACGUGUCUUCUCAUCGGAGCAAAGUAAGGAUUUUGAUAGAGGUUAAGAAUUUCAUUUCUAAUAUUCGCUUUCUUUGACUCAAUUUGGAGACGAUUUCCUCAAAAAAUUGCAAAAUGUUUAUUUAUGGAUGAGGAGAAAAAAAAUCACAAAGUGGUGAGCUAAAAACAUGAUAUGGGUACCGUCGCCUGAUAUUAAAACAACAAAAAAAAUUGUUUAAAAAAAAUUCCUAUUUCCUAGGGCUCAACGAUGCCGUCGCUCCAAAUUUUGGCACUGAAAUACCCACCAAAAACAAUUCACUCCACCUAGGGAUUUUUGUUAUUUUUUCCAAGGAAAAUGCUACUGUAGGUAAUCACAUGUGCAUUUUUCUCUAAUUACCGAAGCAACCUUAAAAUCCCUCGGAAACAGGCUAUUCACCUAUGGAUUUUGAGGUCCCUCGGAAAUAAAUGGUCGGCAAUAUACUUUUUUUUUUUGUAGUGAUGGUUUAACUAAAAUCAGUGGACUAGAUUUUGUUUAUUUAUUAUUUAUCAUCAUCAUCAUCAUCAUUUUAAAAUUUAAAAAGGUGACAGGGUAAUAGUUCAUUUUACGUAUAUAUAUCAAUGUUUCUGCGCUGCUGAUGUUUGUUUACGGCUUUCAAUCUUCAAUAUGGUGGAACGUUGAACAUGCAAAGAUAUGAAAUGUAUCUUUUAUUUUGCUAUAUAUUUUCAACUGACAUCAAAAUGAAGAUUAAAUGUAAUGUACGUACGUGAUGAAGCAUAAAUAUAUAUAAAAUCAAAAGCCUCAAAUCAAAUUAAUAAUUAAACAUAAAAUAUAGUAUAUAUCAAUCCAUAUAUGAAUACAACAGUAGUACAGUACUCCUACGGAGCCCAGCUCAUCACGAGUCGUAUCCCAGACUUAAAAGUAAUAAUGAAAAAUCCUCAAAUUAAAAGGAAACCAGACAAAUAGGAAGGUCUCAAAAGAAGAACCCACAAAUAUAAGUUAUUAAUAUACUUCUACAGAGAGCCAGAUGAAGCUCAUGAAAGCAUUUGAAGACGUGAAAUUUAUGGAUUGGAGGUUGAGUGAGUUGGGAUCUCCUUGGGAAGACUCGGGAUGGCGGGAAAUGUGGGCUUAGGAAGCUCAGGUAGAUGAGGGAAAGAAGGCAAUUCAGGCACUUCAAGUCCUUUUGGCACCUCAAGUUUCGGAAUCUCCGGCAAUUCAGGAUUUUUUGGUAGCUCGGGCUUUAAAAUCUCAGGUGCUUUAGGUUUUUUUGGUAGCUCAGGCAAUUCAGGCUUUGGAAUUUGUGGUAGUUCAAGUUUUGGUAACGGUGGUAGUUCAAACUUAGGCAAUCCAGGCUUGGGUAUUUCUGGAACUGCUGCCUCCAAAAGAUGGCGAGCAUCGACCAAAUCGAUGUUAUAGCUCAUUGACGAUAAAGUGAUUAGCAAAAGUGGUAUCAUAACGGAUGGGAGAGAGAAAGACGCCAUGGUUGAACUAUUGGCGAAUAAGACUUUAAGAGAUGCAUGAAAGAUAUAUUGUGUUGUAAUAAUAAGAAUCAAAAGAAAAGGGAUCAAGUGUGUUUGUGCAUUGAUUUUCAUGUGUUACGAGGCUUUUAUAGGUGUGGGGAAGUGUUGAAUAAAGGGUUUAAAUAUUGGGUACGUAUGACUAAAAUAGUAUAACAUAAAUAAAUUAUGCUUGGGUUAGUACUCGGUAAGAAAUUUAUGUCUUCUUAGUUCAUCAACCUCUCACUUCUGCUAACUCCACAUACAUCAUAAUGUACGAUUAUAUAUCAUUGUAUAAUAUGUUAUGUAAGCAAUUAUAUUGUAGUGAAAUCGUUAUAUGGAGGAAUGAUUCUUUAUCUUUUUAUGUAUUCAGAAAAAGGGCAAAUGGCUAAAACAAUAAUCUCUAAAUAAUUUUUUUGUUCAAUACUUUUCCAAAAAAAAAAUUACUAUUAAUAAAGUUCAUGUGGUAAGGAGUAGUCUUUCUAAAGCUCAAAUCUUGGGUUCAAACUUUCAAGUGUGCGUGAAUCUAUAAUAAGAAAAGAAAAAAAAUUAAUAUUAAUAAAUAACUUUCUGGCCAUAUGUCAAAAGACAUCUAAUUGGCAUAAGUUUCACUAAAUUAGAUCUUGUUAAUUAAUAUAGGGAAAUAUAUAUCUCUAUUUUAAUUUAACAGUCAAUCUUUUAGCAUUUGUAGCUUCCCUUUCCAAAAACAGACUUAUACGUAAUUGACUUCCAUUUCCUUGUGGAUGUUAAUACCCAAUUGUCAUCUCUCUUAUUCCCAUCUUUUCCUGUCCAAUUAAUUUAUCAGAUUGUCUUCUCAUUGUAUUUGAAUUCUACAGGAAAGAAGAUUGCACGCUUCAUGAUGAAGAUUUUGUGCCUGAUUAAUUAGCUUGUGGUUGGAUGCAGAACUUGUAUAUUCCAUUCAUACAGACAAUCUAUUGUUGUAUGCGAACGGUAACUACCUUUUUAAUUUUUUUUUUCAAUUAUCAUUAUUUCUCCCAGAUAUAAAGAUAAUAAAGUCCGAUUUUCUUAGUAAAAUCAAAUGAUUAGUCAGAUUAAUACUCGGUCUCCACGCUUUUUGAUGGUUUUGUCAAAGAAAUCUCAAGAAUAUCCAUGCGGAACAAGGAUGUAUGUUUGGGAAGGAGAAAGCAGAGAUAAUCAUCUCAUUAAUUAAGCAUCCAAAGUACCAUGCUAAUUGAUCAUUUUUCUAAACAUAAUUAUUUGAAAGCCAUUUUCUUGAAAUUGGUCAUUUUACUAAAGGGAGUACGAACUUUGAUCUGGGUCAGAAAAUCAACCAGACCCACCUUUAUGGGCCAAACAUUACUCUGCUUUUUCCGCGCUGGGCUUGGGUUGAGUGACCUCGUGGCAUUGCUGUUUGGUGUUUGCAAAAUUUUAGCUGAACCGAAUGUGAAUAUGUGAUGAACGAGGAAGUAUAUAUAGCAACAAACAUUUUUGUACAAACAACAUAUAUUUAUAUGUGUGUGUGUGUUCCAAGGGUUUGCAAGAAAAUAAUAAAUCUGACACACUAAACAUAAAUCAUUGCUCGUUUAAUUUUUUUUUUUUUUUUAACUUAGGUAACAAUAGGCUCAAAGUGUAUUCACGACCAACUGAGCUAUGUUCUAUAAUUUUUGUUGUACAAAUUUAAGUGAAAUAUUAUAAUUAUUUGAAUUUAAAAAUAUGAUAUGGUCUACAAAAUUAUUUGCACAAGUGUUUAUGGAUCUACAAUUAUUAUUAAGUAAUAUCGUAUACACUUAAUAUACUAAUUGAACUGCAGAAGGUAUAGUUUAGCUAUGAAAGUGUGAUUCAUUGAUUCAAUUAAUGGUUAAGAGAUUCUUAAGUUCAAUAAUGAAGGGAAAUAAAAAAAAAACUUUAUUUCUUGUCAUUAUGAAUUAUAAUUAAUAUGAUGAUAUUAUGGAGCAAAUUGUGGGCAUAAAACGUGAACCAACCCCUUCAUUAACAAGGACGCAAGGCAUGUUUCCAUCGUUAGUCAGUCUUCUACACCAACUACUUAAUGUUGUGCGCGGAAUACGGAAUCAAACGCACCAAAUAAUUACAGAAAAAUAAAGGACACAAGAAUUACGUGGUUCAGCAAUAUGCCUACGUCCACGGGAGCAAGAGAAAAAUAAUUGUAUUAUUAAUAAUUAUUUGAGUACAAAUUUGAGUAAAGAAACCUCAUUUUUCUAGAACCCAAAUACAUCUAGUACUCUCACACACUCUCCAAUUGCUCACACUCUUCAAAACUCUCAAAAACUUAAAAACUUAUAAGCUUAACAAAUUUAGGGAUGAUUUCGAAUGAAGAAAUGACUUCAAUUUAUAGGCUUCAAGCUUGCACUAUUCCACCUAAUCCCUUUGCAAUUUGUCAAUCUUCAUCUCUGUCAAUUUGACAAGUUUUGCUAACUUUUCCAUUUUUCUUCAUUUGGUGCAGGAUUGUCAAAUGCCAAAUAUUCUAUAGCUUGCAAUUUUGAAUUUGGAAGCCACUUUAUUGACUAGUGUAUUUAAGGGUAUGAGAGUUCCAAUUUGCGACAACUGAGGAUGCAGAUUAAUUCUGCCCAGUGCUGCAGCACUUGCUGUAACAAUUGGAGUCAACUUGAUGAAAAACAGUCAGCCCAUAAGGAGAGUUUGAUCAUUCAACUACCAUAAUCUAAAUUGAAUCUUAGACACAUUUUAUUUGGUUUAAUUCAUUACAGUACUGUUUACUUUAUUCUCUCACAAUCAUCAAUUACAAUAGAACCCACUCUACAUUUAUUAACUUUGGAUUGAAUUUAGUUGCAUUAUUGUGAUUGCUAUAGCAUUUCAAGUGACAUCAAUCCCUGUGGAGACGAUCUUGAAUAUUCAUCACUUUAUUACUUGCUGUGUACACUUGCACAUUGACAUCAAUAACAUUUGAUUAUAAAAAUAACCAACAAUAGGCUACCACCAUGUCUUUAGUAAGCCAUCCGGGUUUCUUUAUCUCUCUUCUUGGCCUCAUUAUUGCUAUAAAUUAUCAUUAUCUACAUCAUCAAUUGUUUCUUCAUUUUGUGGGACAUCAGAAGAAACAACCUCUUCAACUCUAGGUGUCACCUCCAUAGUUGAACCCUUCUCUGACGUAGAACUAACUGUUACAUAUGGAGUUGCAUCAAACUCCACCCGCUGCAAUACCUCUGUGGUCUUGUUCUCUACUUGUUGAGAACUUGAAGCUUCAUCAAACGUGACAUCUCUGCUACACACAAACUUUUUGUCUUCGAGAUCCCAAAGUUUGAAGCCCUUUACUCCACCUUUGAAUCCCACAAAGAUAGCUUUUCUAGCACGAUGAUCCAAUUUACCAUCUUUGACAUGAUAAUAAGCUGGACACCCGAAUAUACGAAGGGAAUUAUAGUCUUGUGCAUGCUUUCCAGACCACAUUUCCAUAGGAGUUUUACCUUCAAUUGCAGCAGAAGGCAACUGGUUGAUCAAGUGACUUGUAUAGCCACAACUUUAGCCCAAAACUUUUUAUCUAAACCAGCAUUAGGUAACAUGCACCGUACUUUCUCCAGUAAAGUACUAUUCAUACGAUCAGUCACACCGUUCUGUUGCAGAGUAUGUCUCACCGUGAAAUGUCUUUUAAUACCCUCGUUCUGGCAUACUUGCAAGAAUGGAUCAGAAGUAUAUUCACCUUCAUUAUCAUAUCGUAAUACUGUAAUCUUUCUGUCAGUUUGAGUCUCCACCAAUUUCUUCCAUUUCACGAAAAUCUCUAGAACCUCAUCCUUUGCUCGCAUGGUGUACACCCACACACGUCUAGAGAAAUCAUCAAUAAAUGUAACAAAAUAAUGGCUUCCACCAAUUGAUGCAGUCUUGGUUGGUCCACAUACAUCACUGUGAACAUAUUCAAGGAUCUCACGAGUAUCGUGAUUAGCUAUACCAAAUUUGACCAUUGUUUUCUUGUUUAUUACACAAUGCUCACAGAAAUUUAAUUUACAGGUUUUAGUACCUUUUAAGAGUCCGUGCUUCAUCAGAGUUUGCAAAGAUUUUUCUCCAGCAUGUCCCAAUCGUACAUGCAAUAACUUGGUGGUGUCAUUGUGCGCCUCAGCAACAUUUUCUUUAUCAGUUGUACAUUCCUUCAAAUAGUACAGAUUGUGAUGCCGAACCCCUUGCAGAAUCACAAUAGCACCAUGUGUAAACUUCAUUUGUGCCAUCUUCAAUGGUAACCUUGUAGCCUUUAGCUUCCAAAACACCCACAGAAAUUAGAUUUUUCUUUAAAGCUGGAACAAAUCUAACCUUUUUGAGUUCUCUGAUCAUUCCAUCAAAUAUUUUGAGCCAAAUUCUUCCUAUCCUCAUUGUACAACAAGGUUGAUCAUUCCCUAUCACAACUGCACCGGAUUUCAGAUUACAAAAAUUCUUAAACCAUUCCUUAAUAGGACACAAAUGGUAGGUUGCUCCAGUAUCAAGUAUCCACUCGCUCGAACUAGCCACGUAUACUGUAGGAGUAAUACUUCGUGAAUAAUCAGAGUCUCAUCUUUUAGUGUCAUGUUUGCUGCAAUGACCAUUUUCAUGACAAAAGGCACACUCGUCUCGAGCUAUAUUUCUGCUUCUCGAUUUGGAUUGAGAAUUCUUUCCACCACGCUUUUUCUUUUUCUUCAUCGCCCAAUCUCUGCUCACCAAAGCUUUAGACGAUGCUCGUUCAGAAUUUUUAUCAUUAUUCUGAAUCUCCAAGUUAGUCAAUGCUAUGCAAACAUCUUUGAAGACGAACACACUCUUCCCAUAUAUCAAGGUAGCAAGUAAGUUUUCAAAUCUUGAGACAUGAUCGUGCAUUGAUACCCCAGGCUUCAUUCGAAAGUCAUAUACUUGGCUCAUUGCAUGAAGACGAUUUUCAAGACUUUUUAGCAGGUACUUCUUCCCCAAUGAACGCCACAAAGUCAUCACACACUCCUCAUCUUUCACCAAGUAUUUCACCUCCUUGGUUAAACAAGAUCUAAUCUGACCACAGGCUUUCUCGUUCAUACGAUCCCAAAUUUCUUCAUUAUACAAGUGUCUUUUAUUUUUCAGAACAACAUCGAGAUCGAUUUGAAUAAGGGCAUCCAUAACUUUGCGCCUCCAUAUGCCAAAGUUGAUUUUCCAUCAAACUUUUCAACAUCGAUUUUCUGGCCUCCUAUAACAGGUGCUGAAUAGUGAUUUGACAAAUCUCGUCUCUCACUUGAAGUGUCUUCUGAAAUAGUCUUGGUAGAUCUCUCCCCAAUUAUGGAAGUUUCACCUUCUACCAUUUUCUCAACGAACUAUUUCCACUUGAAAAACAGCCUCUAUGAUGUUAAUUUCGCGUGAAUAAAUGCACCAGAAAAGUUUCCAGGAGAUUGGGCAGGAACUCGAUCCCAAUUAAAAACCAAAAUCCUUAGACUCUUAUCGCCUUGUUGACAAAACUUUCAUAAACAUGCAAAAAUACACACUACUUACAAUAGACUAUCUCCCAAGUACAAAUGGCCUCUCCACCGUAUUCGUGAACAGUACCGUAUACGAGAACAAUACCGUAUACAAGAAUAGUAUCGUAUCCCCCAAGUACGAACCGUCAGCUCUGAUACCACUUGUUGUGCGCGGAAUACCGAAUCAAGCGCACCAAAUAAUUACAGAAAAAAAGGACACAAGAAUUACGUGGUUCAGCAAUAUGCCUACGUCCACAGGAGCAAGAGAAAAAUAAUUGUAUUAUUAACAAUUAUUUGAGUAAAGAAACCUCACUUUGCCAGAACCCAAAUACACUCAGUACUCUCACACACACUCUCCAAUUGCUCACACUCUUCAAAACUCACAAAAGCUUAGAAACUUAUAAGCUUAACAAAUUUAGGGAUGCUUUCGAAUGAACAAAUGACUUUGUAAUGAAUCAUAAAAAGCUCAAAUUGUUAUUUCGGUUAAUGAGAAAUUAGAUCUUAAAUCCAUUGAUUUGAAAGAAAAAAUGAAGGGAAAAUUGGUAAAUCCCACAUUGGCAAGGUGACUAAGAAUUAAUGGUGUGUUUACUUCAUGAAAUGGGGAAUGAGAAUUAAACCCAUGUUUACUUGGUAAAAUGUAAUUUGAGAAUAAGAAUAAAAUAUAUGGGUCCCACAUAAUUUGGGAAUAAGGAAUGAGAAUUUCAUUCCCAUGGGGGGUUGGGAAUGAAAAUGAGGGAAUGAGAAUGUAAUAUAUGUUUACUUUUGUAUCCCUCUAAUUUUUUAAUAUUUCCCAAAUUACCCUCAUUCAAAUCACAAUUAAUUUUAUUAUUUUAAAUGUCAUUAAUAAUAAUAAUAAUAAUAAUAAUUUAAUAAUGCUGUACCGUACAUCCGCCUUGGCCGUACAGCAGUGCCUCAUCAGAGUUUGCAAAGAUUUUUNNNNNNNNNNNNNNNNNNNNNNNNNNNNNNNNNNNNNNNNNNNNNNNNNNNNNNNNNNNNNNNNNNNNNNNNNNNNNNNNNNNNNNNNNNNNNNNNNNNNNNNNNNNNNNNNNNNNNNNNNNNNNNNNNNNNNNNNNNNNNNNNNNNNNNNNNNNNNNNNNNNNNNNNNNNNNNNNNNNNNNNNNNNNNNNNNNNNNNNNNNNNNNNNNNNNNNNNNNNNNNNNNNNNNNNNNNNNNNNNNNNNNNNNNNNNNNNNNNNNNNNNNNNNNNNNNNNNNNNNNNNNNNNNNNNNNNNNNNNNNNNNNNNNNNNNNNNNNNNNNNNNNNNNNNNNNNNNNNNNNNNNNNAGGAAUGGGAAUGAGAAUCAAUUUACCAAAAUACCCAUAGUAUUAAUAAUUAAUAAAAAUAAUUAAUUUAUCAUUAUUAACAAUAUUAUCAUUAUUGUUGUUGUUAUUAUUAUUAUUACAUUAUUAUUAUUAUUAAAAAUAAUAAUAACAAUAAUUAAUAAUAACUAAAAUAAUAAAGUUAUUAAAAUAUAAUAAUAAUAAUAAUAAUAAAUGUUAAUAAUGAUAAUAUUAAUAAAAAUAAUAAUAACAACAACAAUAAUGAUAAUUUUGUUAAUAAUGAUAAAUUAAUUAUUUUUAUUAAUUAUUAAUACUAUGGGUAUUUUGGUAAAUUGAUUCUCAUUCCCAUUCCUUAUUCCCAUUUAUUUUGCUAAUUAAACACAUCAAUUGCAUUCCAGCACAUUCCCAUUCCCAUUUAUUUUUGUCAAGUAAACAUUGAAAUCUCAUUUACAUUCCAGCUCAUUCUCAUUCCACCCCAUUCCUAUUCCUUGAAGUAAACGCACCAUAAAGGUUUUAUAGAUAUUUAUACACGUAUUAUAUGCUAGUAAAAGAUACGGUUAAUUUAUGCAAAUUAUAUUAAUCGAAUUGAUUUUCUAGUUUUCUACUUUUCCUCUCAAGAUAGCGGGAUUAUUUGUGGCCAGUCCAGUCUUUAUGUAUUUUCACAUACAAAACAUUAAUUUUAUAUUAUUAUGUUGUUUUAAAAUAUUUAUACUAUAGCUAGUUUAUAUAAUUCAUUUUCAUCUUUGUUGGUCGAUUAGUGUCAUAUUAAAAAGGGAAUUGAUACCUACCCUUAUAAGGUUUGGGGAAAUGAUCAUUUAAACUCCUAAGUUUUCAAUAAGGAAAAUCAAGACCCUUUUUUACUAUAAUACUCUUUGUAGAUAGUGACUAAAAAAUUAACUUUAAUUUUUAAAAAUGAAAAUAUAAUUUAAAUUAUUUAAUUUAUCUAUAGACUAAUAGUAUUAGAAUAUUUAUGAUAUAAGCAGAUAAUUUAUAUUUUUGCAUAUUUAUUUUAAUAUUAUGUUUCUAUUUAUUAAAAAAUUUAGUUUAAUAUAAUGUAAUAUUGUAAAGUAUUAAAAUAUUUUAUUAAAUAUUGAAGUUAUUUUUUUUAUAUACUGAUAUAUUAUAAUUAAAGCUCUACUAAUAUUUACAAUUAGAAAUCAAUCGGGACUCUCUUUAAUAAUUCUAUUAUGGCAGAGUCCGAAGGUCAACCCUCACUUAAUAUUGGACGGAGAUUUAUUCUUUCCCAAAAUUGGAGAGACAAGUAAACUCCUACUAGAAGGGAAGUUGAGUCCUAAUCAUUACUGGAACUCAAACCCAAGCGCUCAAGAAUGGUUGAUAAUGGGUUACGAACCCAUUUGCUAAAUAUCGAAGUUAUUUAAAAUGUAUAUAUUGUUACAUCUAUUUUACUAUUAUAUUUCUAAUUAUUAUAAAACAUUAGAGUUAAAUUUUUUGAGUUACUAGACCAAAAGUUAUUAUAACCAAAAGAGGAUUUUAGUAUCCCUUGUUAAAAUUUUAGGACUCUUCAUAACAAUUUUACCAAAUCAUACGGUGUGGGUCAUUUUUACCAUUAAAUAUUAUUAACAGCUUCAGUCCAAAAAUCAAGUAACAUUUUUAUUUUGGGCACGUGGCUCCUCGCGGUUUGUUGUCGAAUAAAAUUAUAACCGAUUGUGCGGUCAAAGCAAACAAAUAAAUAAGAUUUUUUUUGCCCCCUUUAUGAUUAGACAAACGGUCGUUCUAGUCUAAUAAAUUAUAAACAUUUGUAUUGUAAUGAAUUAUCAAGGAAUGAUGAAUUAUGUUUUCGCAUAAUUCAAAGUUAAGGCGAGUGGCUAAAUAGCACCUCAAACAAAGGUCUCCAAAUGAUUUUAUUCAGUAUUUUUUGAAUGUUUAAAAAAUUUAAUAUAAACAAUUUUCUGUUCACAUGUGUCAUAUGAGGUCUAGUUGACUUAAAGUUUCACUAAUAUUUGUUUUAUAUCUUUUUUACUUUGUUGUACUUUUAGAAGGUAGGGAAAGGGGAUUAAAGUUUAAAAAUAAUAUUUUACCCCGCCUAAGAUUCGAACUCAAGUGGUUAUCUAAAUAAAAUUGUUUGAAAAUUAUUUGACUAGACUCCUUGGAAAUCAUUUGUUAAAUUUUAUAGUUAAAAUAUUGGAAUAAUGAAUAUUACUUAAAUCAGCAUAAUGAUGAAGAAGCAUUAUUUCGUUAAUUUUACUCCUUUGUUUUAAGAUUCAAUCUUCUGUCAAAAUCGUUCCUUUUCUAGAAAAACUUGUAGUUUUAGUUAUAGUAAUUGAUUUUUAUUUCUUAAUGAAUGACAAUAUAUGCAAGUGUGCUUCUCUACUUAUCCCCCUUCGGAAUAGUUUGAGAUUGUAGUCUCUAAAUCUAUUUUUGUCGCGGUGAUGAAAGAAUAAGUCAGAGAAAAAAUUACUAAGUAUUUCGUAAAUAAUGCUAUUCAACUAGAAUGUUACAUGAAUUUCAAAGGUAGUUGUUUGGGAAAUAAAAUAAGGUUAUCAUGAUCUUCUCGAGAUAAAAAAUAAACAAAUGGUUGAUAGGCUACUAGGAGAAAAUUUUGGUGACCUUGAGCAGACCAUCUCAACCAAGUGGUAAUUUUGAUGACCAGGUGCAGACCACCUUGACCAAGUGGUAAUCUUGAUGACUAUGAGUAGAACACCUCGACCAGGUGGUAAUCCUUGAGUCUAUGAGCACCAGGUGGUAAUGUUUUAGGCUAUGAGCAGAUACCUCAACCAGAAUACCAUGAGCAGACUAGAACCAGGUCGAUUGUUCCAAAAACCUCAACCAACCACAAACUGUCAAGCUCCUCCCAGAAAUUCAACUAUAACGUCUACGCACACCCAGCUGCUAUAAUUGCAGCUUAAUAACUACUCUGUAACGGGCGCAUUAACUCAUAAUUAAAGGGGCACAUUAUACCCAACAACGGCAACGCAUUGAAGAUGGUAUGAUAAUCCCGAAUACUUAUAAAAGUGCUGAAAAGUUUAGAGAAUGGUGGACUCUCCUAAACAAUUUUGAUUCGUUUAUUAUAUUUAUAUGAAUUAUUUCUUUAUUAAAAAAUAUCAGAAUUCAUUUAUUUAUUUUAUUUUUUUUUUCUCAAAAAGGUCCAAUUACUGACUUAAGCGUCAGAGGGUUCACGCCGGAAAAACUUCCAGCACCUCUUACCGUUCUUUGUGAUUUCAGGUGUUUGCGAGUUAUCUGCUAGUGAUUGUAAGCCACUUCCCCAACAAAUAAAUUUAAUACUGGUGCAGAUGUCUGUGUUAAGUCGCUAACCGACUCAAUUGGAUUUUGGCAUCAACAGUAGUUUUCAAAAGUGUGGUGAGUUAUAAGUGUAGUUUAUUACAUUUGGUAAUUUUUUUUGUUAACAUGUUGUAAUAAUUAUGACUAAACUGAGCAUAAUAAUGAGGAAAUAUCGUUUUCAAAUAGAUGACUCUGUUAUAUAACCUCUGAAAAUUACUACUGACCAUUCUAAUAGCAUUCCCAAGUUGGCCUUUCAAUCAUAGGAAAUUAUUAAAAUAGACUGCAUGGUUUAACUAAAAUCAGUGGAUUAGAUUUUGUUUAUUUAUUAUUUAUCAUCAUCAUAAUCAUUUUAAAACUUUAGACAAGUUGACAGGGUUAUAGUUCAUUUUAUGCAUACUUGUCAAUGUCGCUGCGGCGCUGAUGUUUGUUUAGGGCUUUCUAUCUUCAAUAUGGUGGAACGUUGAACCAUGCAGAGCUAUGGAAUGCCUCUCUUUAUUUUGCUAUGUAUUUUCAACUGUCAUGAAACUGAAGAUUAACUGUAAUAUAUGUGAUAAAGCAAAAUAUGUAUAAGCCACAUAUAAAAUCAACAACCUCAAAUCAAAUUACGAAACAUAAAAUGUAAUAUAUUAAACUCCAUAUGAUACAUAAAAAUGAUCAUAGCAGUACUCCUACGGAGCCACGCUCAUCACGAGUCGUAUCCUAAAGUUAAAAAUAAUAAUAAUAAAAAAUCCUCCAAUGGGAAAAACACAGAUAGUAUCAAAACAAGAACCCACGAAUAUAAUUUAUUAAUAUACUUCUACAGACAACCAGAUGAAGCUCCUGAAAGCAUUUGAUGACGAUAAAAUUUAAGGAUUGGUGGUUGAGUGCACUACUACAAAAAUGAGUUUUACUAACACCAACUUAGUGUCAGUAAUCACUUUUACUGACACUUAUUAAUUGUGUCAAUAAUGCUCAAGCCAGAACGCACUGAUACUAAUUUUUAAUGUCAGUGAUUUUGGUGUCAGUAAUUCGUGUCAUUAUAGUAUCACAAAAAUAAUGACACUAUAGUAUUAAUAUUUGAUAAUAUUAUUUUACAUGUCAAUAAUUCGUGUCACUAUAGUAUCGCCAAAACAGUAACACUAUAGUGUUACUAUUUAAUGAUACAAUUUACAUGUCAAUUUCAUUUUUUCCUCAUCUGCAAGUACAUAAAAUCAAUUAGUACACCAAAAUAUCAAUUAUUAUAAUUAUAGCUCCAAUAAUAAAUUCAUAAUUCUGGAAAAAUCACUUACAGCUCCUGUAAUCAACAAGUCCUAUAAAUCAAUGGAUUCCUAUAAAGUGAAAUAAUUUUUCCAGUACACUUAUAUUUAACAAUAUUAACCAUAGCUAUAAAAACUACUAGAGGCCAUGAAUAGUCAACACAAAAUAUAUUGGACUCAACAAUUAUAUUUCUAAAAACUAAAAUGGAUUAUAUACAUAUACAACCAAUAUUGAAAUAAAAUAUUAGAAACUGCAUCAUUACUCUUCCAAUUUAAUAGUCUAGCGACCAAACGCUAAUUAUUUCGAACGCUUUCACAUUGUCAAUGUAGUGGUAAUUUAAGCUUAUUUUAAUAUUUUAAGUAAGGUCUGUUUAUCUAAUUCAAUGGAUUUGGUCGUCUAUGGCAUGCCAAGACUAAAUUAUUAAUCAUGAAUUCAGUUUGAUAAGUAUCACAAUUUCAUAGAACUACUCUAGCAAAUAUUUUAUUCAAAUUUAUGCAAGAAAUAAAUAUAAUACAUGUAAACUCAGUAUUUUGUUCUUAUAUGAAAAACUUAUAAAUUAAUAAUAACGUAUGUAUUAAUUUGCAAACAUUCCACUCACAAUUAAUCUUGAUCAAUCCUAAAUCGCUGGAAUGUCUUCUAAUUGAUCAGCAACUGAUAGUCCUCCUAUAAAUUAGAGAAAUAUUUAUAAGAAACUGUGCAAUCUUUAAAAAAAAAAAAGGUAAAUUCAAAACUGUAUAUAAAGACAAUCCAUAUUUAUUAACUCUCUAUAUCAAAUUAAUAUGUAUCUAUCAUCUGCAUGUUUUUAGGGAUUCUUUCCAUAUUUUACAACUUUAGCUUAAAGAUAAUUAAACAAAGAUGAAUUUAUAGUUUCAUCCACUAUUUUGUCAAUCCCUCUUUUAAAUAAAUAAAUAAAGUAUAUAAAGUAAGCUAAAGUAAUAGCCAAGAUUAAAGUCAAUGAGGAAAUUCUUUCAAGCUUUAUAAAUAAAUAAAUAUACUAUAUUGUAAUCCAGCUUUAAAAUUAGGCAUGCACGACACCAGCAAUUGGUGCACCAUAUUACGUAAUAAAUAAAUAAAAUUAAAUUUAAACAGGACAUUGGCAGUUCUAGAAAGUAGCCAUAUGCUUUAGCAUGGUAGGGGCUUUGCUAAAUUUUAAGAUGCAUAUUUCUUUCAAUUAUGUUUCCCUCAUUGCAAAUUGUCUCUAGAAAUAUAAUCUGUCACAAGAAUUAAAGAUAUAUGACAAGUGCUUUCUAGAACAUCCUGUGAAAAGUAUUAUAAUAAAAAUAUAAUAAAAAUUAGUAGAAACACUUGAAAAUUAAGAAAAAUUAUUAGAAGCCUCUUAUCCUUUUCAUACCAUCCAGGCUUCCAAUUUAGAGAUUCCCACAUAUAGACUGGCCAUUACUCUGCCUUUUUUGUUCUCACAUGAAUCACUUCUCUUGACUUCUCCACCACUCUAUCAUCAUUUCUCUUUCUUUUUUCUCCAUUCAAUCCUUGCAUACCAACUCCCAAAAUCAGCACAAAAACUUAAUAAUUUUAUUAUGAUUUUUACAUUUGCACAAAAUAAAUGAUUCAACAUGAAAAAGAUAGAAAUAAAUAACUAAAUAAAAGAAAGACCAAUUAACCUUAUUAUUUUCACUUAACAACCCAAUUUCGGAAGCCUGAGGUGGAGACAAAUUCAUAAAACUUUCAACAGUAAGCCUCACUGCCUUCUUUCUACUUCUGUUAUCAUGGCUAAUAUUUAUUUUUAUAUGAACAUAAUAUAUAUAGAAAACAACCACAUACAUGCUUAAUACAUAGUAGCCUACCCAUGUAAAGGCCAGUAAGAAAACACAUACAAUAUUAUAAAGAGCCAGAUAGUUACAAGAUGAUAUUAAAAAUUUGAUGUAUAGUGGAAAUAAGAGCUUGUUAAGAAACAAUGCAAACUCCUUGACAGUAUGACAACAUUUAUUGAUCCUAAUAAUCAGCUUUCCAGGAAUUCAACUAUCAGACCUUACAUUCCUAAGUUUUUUUCUGAUCUUAUUUCAACACAAAUUCUAGCAAAUUUGUACAUGCAUUCAUGCGCAAUAACACUUGUCAAAUCAAAUUUAAACAUCCUACUAAGAAGUAAAACAUGCAUUUGUGUGGUCAAGGACUUUAACCAUUCUCUGUUAAAAAAAUCAAUGAAACUCUUAGUCUCUUUAGUUUGAUUAAAAAUUAAACAAAUGAAGAUUAGUUCCUAGUAGAGGUUCUGUACUGCUAUUGUGAAGCAGAGGAAAGAGAAACGUUUGAUAGAAAAUACUGGGAGAGUGAGUGGGGGAAGGAAUUGGGCUGUCAGUAGAAAGAGCCCUGUGAGGAUGAUGCUUAUGAACAUCAAGAAGUUGCAGCCCCACUAAUCUUCUACUUUGAAGCUCGAGGACUUGUUGCAAAUAAGCUUGCUCCUCUAUUUUUCCCCUUCACAACAUGUUCUGAGUAUUAUUAUUGAACAUUCUUGCGUUACAAAGACCAACAAAAGCCAGAAAUUAAAGAAAAUUCAAUUUGGUAUUGGAAUGAAAUGAAUGAAAAUGAGUUUUUUUUUUCUUUUGGUUUCUUAAUUCUUACCAAGUGGAAGGUCAGAAGGCUCUCUUGAAUCAAGCCUAGUUAGGGUUUCACAAGGAGAAAACUCCCCUUUUUCAAUUUGUUGCUAUUGCUUCAUGUAAAUAAAUAUCAAAGUAUCUUCUUUUUAUUUUUUAAAAUAAAAAAUAAAACAAAGUUACCAGAAUCAAGCAUUGCAGCAGCCACAACUCUUUGAGUAGGUUCAGCUAUCAAUUGGACUUCGCCAUUGGAGUUGCGAAGUAGGACUAUGCUGCCAUCUACAGAGAACUGCAGAGCAGCAUCGAAUGAGACCACGAGUCUUCGCAUCAAGCAAUCCAUACAAUUGUUUUAUUUGCUAGGUUGCUGCUGUCAAUGAGCCAUAUUCCAACCUUGAAGCCAUUGCCACUGGUGUAAAAUCCGAAAGCAAAAUGGCCAAAAGGAGAAGGCCAAAAAUUUGGAGAUGAGUUUGUGUAAAGGGUGGAAAUAAAAAAGAAACUCAAAAAUUUUGAAUAACCAGAAAUGAAAUUCAAAGGAAAAAUGAAAAGUACAAAGAUUGAAGAGAGCAAAGUGCCUGUACUAGUAUGAAACUUUUCUCUCAGCAGUUUCAGUGCCUAUAAUGCCACUUACCCAUGCCUAAAAGAAGAUUGAAUUACACCUUUUACCUUGUACGGUUGACGACAGCAAAUGAAGCUGGAAGGAGAACGAAACCAGAGGCAGCAAACAAAGCAAAUGGAGAACGGCUAGAAGCUGCAACGUCGGUACGUUGGAACGGAAGUGAUAGCAGCGGCGGGGAGGGCGUGGGCGUUUCGUAGCAGCGACAACAUGGUCAUUCUCCGUCUUUCACGAUAGAGAAGAAGAAGUCAAGCAAGGGAAGGGAAAUUAGGCAGCUGCGAGGCCAAGGCGGAUGUACGGUACAGCAGUUGAAGAACAAGCCCAAAUUCUCUAUCCUAUCAAAUAAAAUUCUAACGCGAAAUAAAGAAAAAUGAUAGGUAAAAAUUAGUGCUCUAAAAGUGAGUGGAGAAUUGAUUCUUCUUCCCUUACUUUAUAAAGAGAUGGUGCUAAUAAUAAUAUACUUAAACAAAGUUGUAGUAGGGAAUAAACACAGCAUGCUAAAGCCUAAUAAUAACUAAUAAUGGGAAGGGAUGCAGCCUGCCGUAGCAUGAAAUUGAAAUCAGCCUACUGCUGUACCGUACAUCCGCCUUGGCCGUACAGCAGAGUUGCUAAAAGCUGCUGUCAAUGAGCCAUAUUCCAACCUUGAAGCCAUUGCCACUGGUGUAAAAUCCGAAAGCAAAAUGGCCAAAAGGAGAAGGCCAAAAAUUUGGAGAUGAGUUUGUGUAAAGGGUGGAAAUAAAAAAGAAACUCAAAAAUUUUGAAUAACCAGAAAUGAAAUUCAAAGGAAAAAUGAAAAGUACAAAGAUUGAAGAGAGCAAAGUGCCUGUACUAGUAUGAAACUUUUCUCUCAGCAGUUUCAGUGCCUAUAAUGCCACUUACCCAUGCCUAAAAGAAGAUUGAAUUACACCUUUUACCUUGUACGGUUGACGACAGCAAAUGAAGCUGGAAGGAGAACGAAACCAGAGGCAGCAAACAAAGUAAAUGGAGAACGGCUAGAAGCUGCAGCGUCGGUACGUUGGAACGGAAGUGAUAGCGGCAACGGGGAGGGCGUGGGCGUUUCGUAGCAGCGACAACAUGGUCAUUCUCCGUCUUUCACGAUAGAGAAGAAGAAGUCAAGCAAGGGAAGGGAAAUUAGGCGGCUGCGGCGCGGGCUCUCUUGCACAAUAAAGAAGGGGAAUUAGGGUUUUGUUUUUUAUAUGUUAAGUUUUUAUAUAACAUUAUGUCUUUAACUUAAAUCUACAUGGUUAAGUGGUUUGUGGCUAUAUCUAGAACUUUUAGAGUUUUAGAAGUUCCAAGUUCGAGUUGAAAUCAAAACAAAUUAUAAUUAUUUUUUUUAAUCUCUGAUACAUUAGUAUCAGUGAUCUCUGAUAUUUAGUUUACUGACACACUAAUAUCAAUAAUUUGUGACACCUAUUUGUUAAAAGCGGAAAAUGGUGCAUAGUUAAGUAAUUACUGACACUUUUUUUAAAGUGUCAGAAGCAAAGUGUCAGUGAAAGUCAUUUUUUUAGUAGUGGUGAGUUGGGAUCUCCUUUGGAAUAUUCGGGAUGGCGGGAAAUGUGGGCUUAAGAAGCUCAGGUAGAUGAGGGAAAGAAGGCAAUCCAUGCACCUUGGGCAAUUCAGGCACUUUGGGCAACUCAGGCUUUGGAAGUUCAGGUACUUCGGGCUCUUUUGGCAUCUCAGGCACUUUGGGCAACUCAGGCUUUGGAAGUUCAGGUACUCAAGCUCUUUUGGCACCUCAGGUUUCAAAAUAUCUGGCAAUUCAGGUUCUUUUGGCAACUCAGGCUUUGGAAUCUCAGGUAAUUCAGGUUUCUUCGGUAGUUCUGGCUUUGGAAUCUCUGGUAAUUCAGGUUUUUUAGGUAGCUCAGGCUUUGGAAUCUCAAGUAAUUGUUAGAGUGCAAUUUAUGCACUAGUUUUGCAUUGUUUACUUCCUUUAAUAUUGAUGUUUUGCACUUAAUAAUAGUGAUUUACUUGUGUUUUAUUUAUGUAGGUGCAAUUCUAUUGAUUGAUGCUAAAAUUUAGCUUCAGAAGAACUUUGUUGAUAAGGCGUGGGCGCGUGCUGUCAACUACGGACCUGCAGUUUUUAGUUUAAUGUGUUUUAUCUUUUUGGUUAUUUUUGUAAUUACGAAUUUAAUAUUUAGAUAAUAUUUUAGAUAUUAGUAUUUUAUUUUAAAAAGAACUCUAGACGAGAAGAGAGAGGAAAGAAUUUAAGAGAGGAAUCUAUUAGAAAAAAAGGGAGAUUUUUGAAGAAAAAGAAACCCUAAAUCUAAAAUUUUCUCUUCUCUCUAAGAAGAACUAAAUUUAUUAUUCUGGUUUGAUAAUGAAGCUUUGAUUCAUCACUACUGUAAGAUCUUUCUUAUGCUUUAAUUGUUUUAUUACUUUUUGGGUAUUUAUUUAUUCUCUGAAUUAUUAUCAUGAUUAUGUUUGUUAAUUAGAUAAUUGGCCACUAUUUAAUUAUCAACUUAAUAUAUUGUCAAUUAAAUGAUUCGUAUGAAACUAAUAUCAAUAAUUUGUGACACCUAUUUGUUAAAAGCGGAAAAUGGUGCAUAGUUAAGUAAUUACUGACACUUUUUUUAAAGUGUCAGAAGCAAAGUGUCAGUGAAAGUCAUUUUUUUAGUAGUGGUGAGUUGGGAUCUCCUUUGGAAUAUUCGGGAUGGCGGGAAAUGUGGGCUUAAGAAGCUCAGGUAGAUGAGGGAAAGAAGGCAAUCCAUGCACCUUGGGCAAUUCAGGCACUUUGGGCAACUCAGGCUUUGGAAGUUCAGGUACUUCGGGCUCUUUUGGCAUCUCAGGCACUUUGGGCAACUCAGGCUUUGGAAGUUCAGGUACUCAAGCUCUUUUGGCACCUCAGGUUUCAAAAUAUCUGGCAAUUCAGGUUCUUUUGGCAACUCAGGCUUUGGAAUCUCAGGUAAUUCAGGUUUCUUCGGUAGUUCUGGCUUUGGAAUCUCUGGUAAUUCAGGUUUUUUAGGUAGCUCAGGCUUUGGAAUCUCAAGUAAUUGUUAGAGUGCAAUUUAUGCACUAGUUUUGCAUUGUUUACUUCCUUUAAUAUUGAUGUUUUGCACUUAAUAAUAGUGAUUUACUUGUGUUUUAUUUAUGUAGGUGCAAUUCUAUUGAUUGAUGCUAAAAUUUAGCUUCAGAAGAACUUUGUUGAUAAGGCGUGGGCGCGUGCUGUCAACUACGGACCUGCAGUUUUUAGUUUAAUGUGUUUUAUCUUUUUGGUUAUUUUUGUAAUUACGAAUUUAAUAUUUAGAUAAUAUUUUAGAUAUUAGUAUUUUAUUUUAAAAAGAACUCUAGACGAGAAGAGAGAGGAAAGAAUUUAAGAGAGGAAUCUAUUAGAAAAAAAGGGAGAUUUUUGAAGAAAAAGAAACCCUAAAUCUAAAAUUUUCUCUUCUCUCUAAGAAGAACUAAAUUUAUUAUUCUGGUUUAAGGUUAAUGAAGCUUUGAUUCAUCACUAUUGUGAGAUCUUUCUUAUGCUUUAAUUGUUUUAUUACUUUUUGGGUAUUUAUUUAUUCUCUGAAUUAUUAUCAUGAUUAUGUUUGUUAAUUAGAUAAUUGGCCACUAUUUAAUUAUCAACUUAAUAUAUUGUCAAUUAAAUGAUUCGUAUGAAAACUUUAAUGUUUGUGACAAAUAGCAUAGCAGUGCGUUGUGUUAUGAGAAUAAACAAUCUAAUUUAAAUGAACCAUCGUAUGCGUUUGUUGAUUAGGAUUUGGGUCUCUCUGGUUUUUCAGGCUGUCAAUUGAUUAAAUCCUAUGAUCGUAUCUAGGGUUGCACUACUAGAAAAAUGGUCUUUACUGACUUUAGAAUAGUGUCAGAAAUUACUUUUACUGACACUUAUUAAUUGUGUCAGUAAUCUGGGAGUCAGAAAAAUAGUGACACUUGUAAGUGGUGUCAGUGAUUACUAUUACUAUAGUAUCACUAAAAUAAUAACACCAUGGUAUCAAAAUAUUACAAUACUAUAUUAGUAUUUGUGAUUACUGUUACUAUAGUAUCACUACUUUAUUUAUUAUUUAAAAAAAUAAUUAUAUAAAAUGACAUGUUGCCCAUUGAUUUGUUGAUAGAAUUAAAAGGCUGUGAAAAAUAAGAACAAAAAUCAAUUUAUAUAUCAAAACCUUUCAUAACAUUUAAAUAUUAUCAAUAUAUAUUACACAAUCCAAAUACUUCAAUACACAAAGACGUCUGAUUACAAGACAAGUUAUUCUUAUAAUUGAAUAAUCUUAACUGCUAUUAUCCAAUCAAUUUGAUAAUGAUACUUCUCUAGAAAAUAUCUUCAUAGUAUAUGACUAAUUACCGAAUUCUGUCCACGGGAUAAGGCAUCUUGAGCAAUGAGCCAUAUCAAAUGAAUUUGAGGGGAAAGGUAGGCGCUGUGUGGAAAUGAUGCCAAGAAUUGCGGGAAUUCCACGUUCCAAUGCAAAUUGAACUUGAGCUUCAUGAUUAUCUCUUGGUGCAAGAGAAACCGUUAAAAUUCCACGAUCUAAUAAAUCACCUCCCCAGCUAGCAACCUAUAUAAAAAAAUGUAAGUGAGUUAAAUUUAUCCUAAGAUGACCAAGAGGCACCAUAAGAAUAAACCAUCAAUGCAACAUAGAUUAGCCCAGUAUAUGAUUAGAUGAAAAAGUGGGCAAAUGGAAAACAAAACUCACCCCACAUCCAGUGUCAAUAGCAGUUCGAACUGUCCCAUCUUUCAUUUCUGGAAUCAGAUCUCGCAUCAAAUCAACAUAUGCACCAACUCCUUUGGGAAACAUUGUACCUCCACCAGGAAAGAGGAACUUCUCUCCUUGUUUUCUCAGCCAAUUCUGAUUUGACUUCUGCUUGUUAAUCCAAUCAUAAGGCACAUUCCUGAAACUAGAUCCAAAUAAUAGAACAAAAUUGACUUACGGCCAACAUCAGUGGACAAUAAAACCAGUUCAUUAAUAGAUCAUAAUACCUGUACCAACAUUCAUCCCUGCUUUUUGGCCACUUGAUAGGUGGCUUAUACCCAUUAGGAGGGGGUAUUAAGCAUUCCUUCCUCUCAAAAACUGGAGGACAGUGGCGUUCCAUGAAAGUCAGCCGAUGAGCACCGUACUUUUUCCACCUCUGUAGCAAUGAAUGUUUGCCAUCAAUAUGGCCACUUGAUAUCAUAUAGCUUUGUAACAUUGCCUAGAAGCUGUUACUAUUAUCAAAUAAGCAUUUAAGGUAUACCUUUGGAUCUGUGCAUGGAGUGUAGUCUUGAUAGUUGCUGCUGCAUUCAGGGAAGUUAACAGAUUUGAUCUGAAGCGGAGCAACCACUGGAUCCUUGGGAGACAGGACUGCUUUCUGGACAUCCCUAAUCUCGACUCUAUUUUUCUCAGAACAAAAGAUUCCACCAAGGUAAAACGAAAACCCACGUAGUGCAACAAACAAUACUGUCAAAGGAACAAUCCUGGGACUUUUAUCACCAUUUGGAGAAAUCGGUUUCUUAUCUUUAUGCUUCAUUUUUUCAGAAACAAUUAAUUACCUGCAUUGAUAAUAGUAAAAAAAAAUUUAGUCACAGCUAAGUGAGAUUAAAUUUUUAGCUCAAUGAACAAACACGUAAAGAAACAUCUCCAAGAUCCCAACUAUGGAAAUAAAUACAUUCCAUGCUCCAGUUUCGAUUCCUCCAUUGUCUAAGAUAUUAAACUAAGCAUCAUAAAGCAGAAUNNNNNNNNNNNNNNNNNNNNNNNNNNNNNNNNNNNNNNNNNNNNNNNNNNNNNNNNNNNNNNNNNNNNNNNNNNNNNNNNNNNNNNNNNNNNNNNNNNNNNNNNNNNNNNNNNNNNNNNNNNNNNNNNNNNNNNNNNNNNNNNNNNNNNNNNNNNNNNNNNNNNNNNNNNNNNNNNNNNNNNNNNNNNNNNNNNNNNNNNNNNNNNNNNNNNNNNNNNNNNNNNNNNNNNNNNNNNNNNNNNNNNNNNNNNNNNNNNNNNNNNNNNNNNNNNNNNNNNNNNNNNNNNNNNNNNNNNNNNNNNNNNNNNNNNNNNNNNNNNNNNNNNNNNNNNNNNNNNNNNNNNNNNNNNNNNNNNNNNNNNNNNNNNNNNNNNNNNNNNNNNNNNNNNNNNNNNNNNNNNNNNNNNNNNNNNNNNNNNNNNNNNNNNNNNNNNNNNNNNNNNNNNNNNNNNNNNNNNNNNNNNNNNNNNNNNNNNNNNNNNNNNNNNNNNNNNNNNNNNNNNNNNNNNNNNNNNNNNNNNNNNNNNNNNNNNNNNNNNNNNNNNNNNNNNNNNNNNNNNNNNNNNNNNNNNNNNNNNNNNNNNNNNNNNNNNNNNNNNNNNNNNNNNNNNNNNNNNNNGACGGCUGAGGUAGAUCAUUGUUAUAGAGAGAGAGAGAGAGAGAGAGAGAGAGAGAAGGAAGGAAGAGAGCUUCAGUUCAUAGCAAGAAGCGGCCGUGGGGAAUUUUUUUUCACUUCUUAAAAAUUUUAGAUUUUAGGUUUUCAUGUACACCUUCCAUUAAAACGACAUAGUAUCUAGGUAAUUUAAUUUAAUUUUUAAUAUUAUUUACUUAUUAAGCCAAAAAUCAAAAUCCAACUCAUGGCCCAGUGGUUAAUGUUUAAAAUUAAAAAGUUAAAGUUUAGAGGUCUUUAGUUCGAUUCCUAAUGGACACAAAAUUAAAAUUUUAUUUUUCUAAUUACUAAUACCUUAUUGUCACAUAUCUCUGAUAUUUAAUUUACAGACACUAUAGUAUCACAAAUUUGUGAUAUUUAUUUGUCAAACACGGAAAAUGCCCGAAAUGCAUGUAAUUACUGAUACUUUUUAAUAAAGUAUCACAAGACAAGUGUCAGUAAAGGUUAUUUUUCUAGUAGUGUUGUCUAUUGCUUAGGAAAAUAACCAACGGUCGUACCUUGGUUAUCGACUAGUUAAGGAGAGAUUGACUAUUAGAGGGUCUCAGUAGCUAUAACCGGUCUAUUCAUAAGUAGUAAUAAUUUAUAUUUGAAUCAAGGAUCAGUAGUCAAAUCAAGCUGAGUUAAUUCCUUCAACCAGAGCUUUCCCCAAUUUGAAUUACAAUUUGAAUUUGUGAUCUUGUUAUUUUAAUUUGAUUUUUAUUAUUGUCAACAAUUCCCCCAUUUUGCAUUUUAUAUUUUAAAAGGAUUUAAAUAAUUACCGAUCUCUGUGGACACGACCCUACUCAAUCACUAUACACAAUUUAUUUAGAGUAAGUAUUUAUUUUUGUUGGUUUCAACAACCAUCAAUAAUUCAGGCUUUGGAAUUUGUGGUAGUUCAGGUUUUGGUAACAGGCUUGGGUAUUUCUGGAACUGUUGCCUCUAGAAGAUGGCGAGCAGCGAUCAAAUCAAUGUUAAAGCUCAUUGACGAUAAAGCGAUUAACAAAAGUGGUAGCACAACGGAUGAGAAAGAGAAGGAUGCCAUGGUUGAACUAUUGCCGAAUAAGGCUAUAAGAGAUGAAACAUAUAUUGUGUUGCGGUAAUAACAAUCAAAAGAGAAGGGAUCAAAUGUGUUUAUGCAUUGAUUUCAUGUGUUAUGAGGCUUUUAUAGGUGUGGCGAAGCGUAGAAUAGAGGGUUUCAAGAUUGGGUAGGUAUGACUAAAAUAGUAAAAUAUAAAUAAAUUAAGCUUGGGUUGGUACUUGGUAAGAAAUUUAUGUCUUGUUAGUUCAUCAACCUCUCACUUCUGCUAAUUCCACGUACGUCAUAACGAUUAUAUAUCAUUGUAUAAUAUGUUAUAUAAGCAAUUAUAUUGCAAUUAAUUGUUAUAUUAAGGGAUUAUUCAUUAUCUUUUCAUAUAUGCCCUGUGAAAAAAAAGAAGGUAAAUGGUUAAAAUAAUAACCUCUGAAUGAUUAUUUAUUCAAUACUUUUCUGCAAAUUAUUUAAGAUUAUUGAAGCUAGUUCCUAUGGUAAGGAACGGCCUUUCUAAGGCUCAAACCUUGAGUUCGAAUUUUAAUGUAUGCCUGAGUUAAUAAUAAAAAAAAAUUAACAUUAUUUUAUAACUUUGGGGUCAUAUAUGUCAUAAAACACCUAAUGACAUAAGCUUCCCUUCUCGAAAACAAACUAAUACGUAAUUGAAUUUCAUUUCCUAAUGGAUGUUAACAGCGACAUGCCGUUUCUCUUAUUCCCAUCUUUUCCACUUCAAUUAAUUUAUCAGAUUGUCUUCUUCUUGUAUUUGAGUGCCUGAUUAACUAGUUGUUGUGGUUGGAAGCAUAUGUUAUCCAUUAUGCAUUGAAUAUUUUCAAACGUUGUGGUUGGUCAAAUGUGUUUCAUCAAUAUUAAUCAUAAACAAGUCAAAAGGAUAUUUACGUACGAAUUCUUUUGUUUAGUUAUGUGAUAUUGUGUUAAAAAAAUGGAGAUCAACGUCGUGUCAUUUGAUGAUAUUUUAUAUAAGAUCUCAGUUUGUUGGCCACAAUUUUGAAUGAAGCUUGACCAAAUGACAUCCUUUAGUAUAUAGCUAAACUGCAAUCAACUGUACAAUUAAAUAUUAGGACUUGGGACACCGUCUUUUCGCCAAUAAUCUUAACGAAUUAUGUAAAAGUCAAUUAUCAAUUUAUAUUUACUCAGGUAAAAGUGUUGAACAUGUGCAUGUAUGUGGCAAACAAUUGCAUGUGGUUAGCAUGCAACUUUUGACUUUUCUCAUAAAAUUGUUGAGUAAGAGGGAGACAUGAGUAAGUGAGAGGAAUAUAACUUUUGACUUUGGCACCAAAGUAGAAGGUUGAGAGAAAUUUUAUAUUAUUUUAAUGCCCACAUUUUUAGGCAUUGCUUGGCCUAUAAAUAGAGGCAUCAUUUGCCCUCUUGAAUUAUCUCAUUUUCUCUAGUUCGAGUGAGAGUGCCAAGAGGUAUAAGUUGAGAGUGUUGAGAACUUUGUGCUCUAGUUCUAGUGUUUUUGAGAGUUUGGGUGUACGAGGGUUUUGGGUUGUGAGACAAAAAUACUAUCAUACUUGUAACUCCUUUUCACUAGUAAAAUAUUUCCUUCUAUCUUCGCAUGUGGAUGUAGGCUAAAAGCCGAACUACGUAAAUUCUGGUGUUCCUGUAUGAUCAUUAUUUUUUUAAUUUUACUUUAGUUACGUGUCUGCUUCACCUGUUGAAUUUUCCCAACAAGUUGUAUCAGAGCCAUUGGUUGCAUUUUUUUGCAGUCAGAUUUCACGUAUGCAAUAUUAUUCACGUAUACGGCACUAUUCACACGAAACGAUGAGAGCAAUCUAAGAAUUCUACGGUGCAAGGCAGGGAAUAGUGAUGUGAGUGAAAGUAAUUGUGUGGUCUUGUACAUAUCUAGGAAAGUUCUGUCAUAACGGCAAUACGAGUUUAAGGAGUUUGGAUUUUAAGUGGGAUCGUUGUGACCCCUCUAGUCUUUCCUAGGAACUUUCCUGAUGUGCAUUUUCACAUGUGUGAUUACUCAUAACUAUUCAAGGAGGUACACGAACUUGUGUGCGGUAUUACCAAAAUGACAACAAAGUUUGAAAUUAAAAAGUUCAACGGGAGCAAUUUCUCGUUAUGGAAAAUGAAGAUGCGGGCAAUCUUGAGGAAAAACAAUUGCUUAAAAGCAAGUAUUUUAAGGCCUGAAAAAAUCACUGGUGACAAGUGGAAUGAAUGGACAACAAUGCAAUUGUUGAUUUACACCUGGCACUCAGAUGGGGUGUUAUCUAGUGUAGCAGAACAAUUAUUUUAAGGCCUGAAAAAAUCACUGGUGACAAGUGGAAUGAAUGGACAACAAUGCAAUUGUUGAUUUACACCUGGCACUCAGAUGGGGUGUUAUCUAGUGUAGCAAAGGAAAAGACAAUGAAAGGUAUUUGUGAUACUUUUACAAAAUUGUACGAGAUUAAGUCGCUACACAACAAAAUCUUCUUAAAGAGAAGACUCUAUACUCUUCGAAAGGGGGAAACCACAAUGGCGACCGAUCAUAUCAACACUCUUAAAACUCUAUUUUCACAACUUACGAUGUUUGGCAUAAAAUAAAAGAAAUUGAACAUGCAGAGCUUCUACUUCAAAGUUUACCUGACUCGUAUAAUCAACUUGACGAACAAUAUCCUUACGGAGUACCUAGUCUUGAGGAAAAAUAAUUGCCUAAAAGCAAUUAGGGAAAGACCUGCAAAAAUCACUGGUGAGAAAUGGAAUGAAUUGACAACAAUGCAAUUGUUGAUCUACUCCUAGGACUCAGAUGGGGUGUUAUCUAGUGUGGUGGAGGAAAAAACAGUGAAGGGUAUUUGGGAUACUCUAACAAAACUGUACGAGACCAAGUUACUACACAACAAUAUCUUCUUGAAGAGGAGACUCUAUACUUUUCGAAUGGCGGAAACCACAACGAUGACCGACCAUAUCAACACUCUUAAAACUCUAUUUUCACAACUUACGACGUUGGGCAUAAAAUAAAGGAAAUUGAACGUGCAAAGCUUAUACUUCAAAGUUUACCUAACUCGUAUGAUCAACUCAUCAUCAACUUUACGAGCAAUAUCUUUACGGAGUGCUUAGUUUUUGAUGAUGCUGCAGCCUCUCCAUUUUAAUAAGAGAGUAGGUGCAAGAACUAUGACGACAGGUAAGCAAGUUCGCUGUAAGCAGAAGCACUAACGAUGGUGAAAGGGAGAUUAGCGGAACGUGGUCCUAGUAGGAGUCACAAUCAUUGUAGAUCAAAGUCAAGAAGUAAGAAGAAAAUCAGAUGCUACAAAUGUGCCAAAAUAGGACAUGUCAAGAAAGAGUAUUAGAGUUAACAGAAGAGAAGAGAGGGUAAAGAUCCUGAGUCAUCAAAUACUUAGGGGUGUGUAGUAAGUACCUCAGAUGAUGGUGACAUUUUAUACAACGAGGCAAUUAUGGUUGAAGAAAGCAGAAAAAAACUAUCUGACGUCUGGCUUAUAGACUCAAGAGCUACUGGCACAUGACCUCUCGAAGAGAAUAGUUCCACAAAUAUAAUCCUAUCUUAGGAGGAUCUGUAUGUAUGGGUGAUGAUCAUACCUUGGAGAUUGCUAGUGUUGGUUCUAUCAAAAUAAAAAUGUUUGAUGGUAUAGUUUGCACUAUUAAGGAGGUAUGUCAUAUCAAAGGCAUGAAAAAAAAAUCUAUUGUCUUUAGGACAAAUAGACAGUCUUGGUUGUAAAACUUAGGUGGAAAAUGGGAUCACGAAGAUUGUCGGAAGUACGUUUGUAUUGCUGAAGGCGGAAAGAUCAGUGCUAAUUUAUUCAUGCUUAAAGGGGAAACACUGCAAGAAGAUAAUGCUCGUGUUGCGUCAAAGAGAGAAUAAUUGGCGAUGAUGUAGCAUCUUAAACUUGGCUACAUGUCGAAACAAGGUUUGAAGAUUCUCUUUGGGCAGAAGUUGCUUUCAAGGCUUAAAUAGGUAAACUUAUCGCUUUGUGAGCAUUGUGUUACAAGUAGGCAACAUAGAUUAAAGUUCACCAGAUCUGACACCAUAACUAAAUGCAUUCUAGAUUUGGUUCAUUCUGAUGUUUGGGAAUUGCCGGAUAAGUCCUUGGGAGGUUCAAAGUACGUGGUGAUUUUCAUUGAUGAAUAGUCCAGGCGAUGUUAGGAGUAUCGAAUCAAGAAAAAGUCAGAUGCAUUUCCAGUGUUGAAAGAAUACAAAGCGCAAGUCGAACCAAAGUGGAAGUUGAGAGAAAUUUUAUAUUAUUAGCAUUGUUGAUUUUUGGGCAUUGCCUGACCUAUAAAUAGUGGCUUCAUUUACCCUCCAAUCAUGCCAUUUUCCCCAAUUCAAGUGAGAGUGCCAAGAGGCGCAAGUUGAGAGUGUUGAGAGCUUUGAGCUCUAGUUCUAUUGUUUUUUUAGAGUUUGGGUAUAUUGGGGUUUUGGGUUAUGAGACAAAACACUACAACACUUGUAACUCCUUUUCACUAGUAAAAUAUUUCUUUCUGCCCUUGCCCAUAGACGUAGGCUAAAAGUUUAACCACGUAAAUUUUGGUGUCCCUAUAUGAUCAUUAUUUUUCAAUUUCAUUUUAAUUGCGUGUCUACUUCACCCACACGAUUUUUCCCAACAAAAAGCUCAAAUCAGGAUAAUCAAAUGCACAUGUGUGUACUUAAAAAAAUCAGACACAAAAAUCACGUGUCAAGUGCUAGAACUUGAGCCUAAAAUAAUUAAUUUCAUUUUAUUAUUACUUUGUUUUUUAAUAUUAAUACUAGCUAGUUUUAUAUAAUUCACUUUUGCUCCUUUUUUCAUGUUCCUUGUUAGAAUUGAUCAAUUGAGUUACUAACUUCUGUCCUUAUCUGGUAUCAAUGUAAGCUCUUUCUAUAAUUUAUUCAUUUUUUUUGUAACUCUCUCUGUAAUUUAAUCAUUUUUUUUAUGGACCUUGUGUAAUGGGGAUAUUUCGUCUCAAAUGAGAAUAUUUAUUCUGCAAAAAACCAUUUACAAAAGUUGUCAAUGUAGUUCAGGAUGGAUUAGUUUCAUAUUAAACAUUAGUGACAGCUGUAGUCUAAAAGUCGCGUAAACAUUCCUAUUUUGGGCACGUAGCUCUUCACGGUUUGUUGUUGGACAAAAUCAUAACCGACUAUGUGGUCAAAGGGAGCAAAUAAAUCUGAUUUUUCUCCCCUUAAUGAUCAGAUAAAGGGUCGUCCUAGUUUAUUUUACUAAAAUAUCACUGUCGCUGCGGUGCUGAAGUUUGUUUAGGUGUUUCUAGCUUCGAAUGCUGAAACGUUCGGCAAUACACAAAACAAAAAGAUGUCUCUUUAAUUUAUUUUGCUGUACAUUUUAAACUCAUAAAAAAUUAAAUACCAAUUUAAUCGAUGUGACACAGCAAUCAUCAUCAUUUUAAACCUUAGACAAGGAGACAGUGCCCUAGUUCAUUUUACGUAUAUAUAUAUAUAUAUAUAUAUCAAUGCUGCUGCGAUGCUGAUGUUUGUUUAGUGAACGUAGAGCUUGAACCCUGCAGAGAUAUGAAAUGUCUCUUUUAUUUUGCUAUACGUUUUCGACUAAAGUCAAAAUGAAGAUAAAAUGUAAUAUAUGUCAUAGAGCACAUAAAAUCAGAAACCUCAAAUCAGACUGCUAAACCUAAAAGUACAAUAAAUAUCACUCAAUAGAUUAUGUAAAAAUGAAUACAACAGUACUCCUGUGGAGCCGAGCUCAUCGCGAGUCGUAUCCCAGACUUAAAAACAAUAACAAAAAACUCCUCAAGAGUGAAAACACACAAAUUUGGAAAGUCUCAAAACAAGAACCAACAAAUAUAAUUUAUUAGUAUACAUCCAGAUGAAGCUCGAGAAAGCAUUUGGAGAAGAUGAAAUUUAAGGAUUGGUGGUCGAGUGAGUUGGGAUCUCCUUGGGAAGACUCGGGAUGGCGGGAAAUGUGGGCUUAGGAAGCUCAGGUAGAUGAGGCAGAGAAGGCAAUUCGGGCUCUUUCGGCACCUCAGGCACUUUGGGCAACUCAGGCUUUGGAAGUUCAGGUACUUCGGGCUCUUUUGGCAGCUCAGGCACUUUGGGCAACUCAGGCUUCGGAUGUUCAGGUACUUCGGGCUCUUUUGGCACCUCAGGCACUUUGGGCAACUCAGGCUUCGGAUGUUCAGGUACUUCGGGCUCUUUUGGCACCUCAGGCACUUUGGGCAACUCAGGCUUCGGAUGUUCAGGUACUUCGGGCUCUUUUGGCACCUCAGGCACUUUGGGCAACUCAGGCUUCGGAUGUUCAGGUACUUCGGGCUCUUUUGGCACCUCAGGCACUUUGGGCAACUCAGGCUUCGGAUGUUCAGGUACUUCGGGCUCUUUUGGCACCUCAGGCACUUUGGGCAACUCAGGCUUCGGAUGUUCAGGUACUUCGGGCUCUUUUGGCACCUCAGGCACUUUGGGCAACUCAGGCUUCGGAUGUUCAGGUACUUCGGGCUCUUUUGGCACCUCAGGCACUUUGGGCAACUCAGGCUUCGGAUGUUCAGGUACUUCGGGCUCUUUUGGCACCUCAGGCACUUUGGGCAACUCAGGCUUCGGAUGUUCAGGUACUUCGGGCUCUUUUGGCACCUCAAGCACUUUGGGCAACUCAGGCUUUGGAAGUUCAGGUACUUCAGGCUCUUUUGGCACCUCAGGUUUCGGAAUCUCUGGCAAUUCAGGUUCUUUUGGCAACUCAGGCUUUGGAAUCUCUGGUAAUUCAGGUUUUCUAGGUAGCUCAGGCUUUGGAAUCUCAGGUAAUUCAGGCUUUGGAAUUUGUGGUAGUUCAGGUUUUGGUAACGGUGGCAAUUCAACCUUAGGCAAUUCAGGCUUGGGUAUUUCUGGAACUGUUGCCUCUAGAAGAUGGCGAGCAGCGAUCAAAUCAAUGUUAAAGCUCAUUGACGAUAAAGCGAUUAGCAAAAGUGGUAGCAUAACGGAUGAGAAAGAGAAGGAUGCCAUGGUUGAACUAUUGCCGAAUAAGGCUAUAAGAGAUGAAACAUAUAUUGUGUUGCGGUAAUAACAAUCAAAAGAGAAGGGAUCAAAUGUGUUUAUGCAUUGAUUUCAUGUUUUAUGAGGCUUUUAUAGGUGUGGCGAAGCGUAGAAUAGAGGGUUUCAAGAUUGGGUAGGUAUGACUAAAAUAGUAAAAUAUAAAUAAAUUAAGCUUGGGUUGGUACUUGGUAAGAAAUUUAUGUCUUGUUAGUUCAUCAACCUCUCACUUCUGCUAAUUCCACGUACGUCAUAACGAUUAUAUAUCAUUGUAUAAUAUGUUAUAUAAGCAAUUAUAUUGCAAUUAAUUGUUAUAUUAAGGGAUUAUUCAUUAUCUUUUCAUAUAUCCCCUGUGAAAAAAAAGAAGGUAAAUGGUUAAAAUAAUAACCUCUGAAUGAUUAUUUUAUUCAAUACUUUUCUGCAAAUUAUUUAAGAUUAUUGAAGCCAGUUCCUAUGGUAAGGAACGGCCUUUCUAAGGCUCAAACCUUGAGUUCGAAUUUUAAUGUAUGCCUGAGUUAAUAAUAAAAAAAAAUUAACAUUAUUUUAUAACUUUGUGGUCAUAUAUGUCAUAAAACACCUAAUGACAUAAGCUUCCCUUCUCGAAAACACACUAAUACGUAAUUGAAUUUCAUUUCCUAAUGGAUGUUAACAGCGACAUGCCGUUUCUCUUAUUCCCAUCUUUUCCUCUUCAAUUAAUUUAUCAGAUUGUCUUCUCCUUGUAUUUGAAUGCUACAAGAAAGAAGAUUGAACGCUCUAUGAUUGAGAUUUUAAGCCAGAUUAACUAUUUGUUGUGGUUGGAAGCACAUAUUAUCCAUUACGCAUUGGUUAUUUUCAAACGUUGUCGUGGUUGGUCAAAUGUGUCUUAUCAAUAUUAAUCAUGAACAAGUCAAAAGCAUAUUUACGUACGAAUCAACGUCGUGUCAUUUGAUCAUAUUUUAUGUAAGAUCUCCUGUUUGUUGGCCACAAUUUUGAUAUGUAGUACUUGGGGCACCAUCUUUUCGCCAAUAAUCUUAACGAAUUAUGUAAAAGUCAAUUACCAAUUUAUAUUUACUCAGGUAAAAGUGUUGAACAUAUGUAUGCAUGUGGCAAACAAUUGCAUGUGGCUAGCAUGCAACUUUUGACUCUCGUCAUAAAAUUAUUGAGUAAGUGGGAGACAUGAGUAAGUGAGAGUAAUAUAGCUUUUGACUCUGGCACCAAAGUAGAAGGUUCAGAGAAAAUUUACAUUAUUUUAAUGCCCACCAUCCUUGAUUUUUAGACAUUACCUGGCCUAUAAAUAAAGGCUUCAUUUGCCCUCUUGAAUCAUCUCAUUUUCUCUGGUGAGAGUGAGAGUGCCAAGAGGUGUAAGUUGAGAGUGUUGAGAGCUUUGUACUCUAGUUCUAGUGUUUUUCAGAGUUUUAGUGUACUGGAGUUUUGGGUUGUGAGACAAAAAUACUAUAAUACUUGUAACUCAUUUUUACUAGCAAAAUAUUUCCUUCUGUUUUCGCAUGUGGACGUAGGCUAAAAACUGAACUAUGUAAAUUCUGGUGUUGUUGUAUGAUAAUUAUUUUUCAAUUUCACUUUAGUUGUGUGUCUACUCACCCGCUGAAUUUUCCCAACAAGUGGUAUCAGAGCCAUUGGUUGCAAAUCUUUGGAGUCGGGUAUUGUUCACGUAUACGAUACUAUUCACAUAUACAAUACUAUUCACGUUUACGGCAUUAUUCACAUGAAACGAUGGGAGCGAUCCAAGAAUUCUGCGGUACAAAGUAGGGAAUAGUGAUGUGAGUGAAAGUAAUUGUGUGGUCUUGUACAUAUCUAGGAAAAUUCUGUCAUAAAGGCAAUAAGAGUUUAAGAAGUUUGGAUUUUAAGUGGGAUCAUUGUGACCCCUCCAGUCUCUCUUGGGAACUUUCGUAGUGUGCAUAUUCACACGUGUGAUCACUCAUAACUAUUCAAGGAGGUACACUAACUUGUGUGCGGUAUUAACAAAAUGACAGCAACGUUUGAAAUUAAGAAGUUCAACGGGAGCAAUUUCUCGUUAUGGAAAAUGAGGAUGCGGGCAAUCUUGAGGAAAAAUAAUUGCUUAAAAGUGAUUGGGGAAAGACCUGCAAAAAUCACUGGUAACAAGUGGAAUGAAUGGACAAUAAUGUAAUUGUUGAUCUACACCUGGCACUCAGAUGGGGUGUUAUCUAGUGUGGCAGAGGAAAAGACAGUGAAAGGUAUUUGGGAUACUCUCACAGAACUAUACGAGAUCAAGUCACUACACAACAAAAUCUUCUUGAAGAGGAGACUCUAUACUCUUCGAAUGGGGGAAACCACAACGGUGAUCGACCAUACCAACACUCUUAAAACUUUAUUUUCACAACUUAUGAUGUUUGGCAUAAAGUAGAGGAAAUUAAAUGUGCAGAGCUUCUACUUCAAAGUUUACCUGACUUAUAUAAUCAACUUGACGAACAAUAUCCUUACGGAGUACCUAGUCUUGAGGAAAAAUAAUUGCUUAAAAAUAAUUGGGGAAAGGCCUGCAAAAAUCACUGGUGACAAGUGGAAUGAAGUGACAGCAAUGCAAUUGUUGAUCUACACCUGGCACUCAGAUGGGGUGUUAUCUAGUGUGGCGGAGGAAAAGACAAUGAAAGGUAUUUGGGAUACUCUCACAAAAAUGUAUGAGGCCAAGUCACUACACAAUAAUAUCUUUUUGAAGAGGAGACUCUAUACUUUUCGAAUUGCGGAAACCAUAACGAUGAGCGACCAUAUCAACACUCUUAAAACUCUAUUUUCACAACUUACGACGUUGGGUAUAAAAUAGAAGAAAUUGAACGUGCAGAGCUUCUACUUUAAAGUUUACCUGACUCAUAUGAUCAACUCAUCAUCAACUUGAUGAACAAUAUCCUUAUGGAGUACUUAGUCUUCGAUGAUGUUACAGCCUCUGUAUUAGAAUAAGAGAGUAGGCGCAAAAACUAGGAAGACAGUUAAGCAAGUUCGCUGCAAGUGGAAGCGCAUGAUGAUGAGAGGGAGGUCAGUGAAACGUAGUCCUAGUAGGAGUCACAAUCAUGGUAGAUCAAAUUUAAGAAGUAAGAAGAAAAUCAGAUGCUACAAAUGUGGAAAAAUAUGGCAUGUCAAGAAAGAGUGUUGGAGUUACCAGUAGAAAGGAGAGGGUAAAGAUCCUAAGUCAUCAAAUACUUAGGGGUGUGUAGUAAGUACCUCAUAUGAUGAUGACGUUUUAUACAACGAGGCAGUUAUGGUUGCAGAAGGCAAAAAAAACUAUCUGACGUCUGGUUUAUAGACUCAAGAGCUACUGGCACAGGACCUCUUAGAGAGAAUAAUCCCACAAAUAUGAACCUAUCUUAGGAGAAUCGGUAUAUAUGGGUGAUAAUCAUACCUUGGAGAUUGCUAGUGUUGGUUCUAUCAAAAUAAAAAUAUUUGAUGGUAUAUUUGCACUAUUUAGGAGGUAUUGCAUGUCAAAUGUAUGAAAAAAAAUCUAUUGUCUUUAGGACAAAUAGAUAGUCUUGGCUAUAAAACUCAGGUGGAAAAUGGGAUCAUGAAGAUUGUCAGAAGUACGCUUGUAUUGAUGAAGGCAGAAAAUAUAUGUGCCAAUUUAUUCAUGCUUAAAGGGGAAACAUUGCAAGAAGCUACUGCUUGUGUUGCGUCAAAUAGAGAAGAAUCGACAAUGAUGUGCAUCUCAAACUUGGCCACAUGUGGAAACAAGGUUUGAAGAUUCUCUCUGGGAAAAAGUUGCUUCCAGGGCUUAAAUAGGUGAACUUAUCAUUUUGCGAGCACUGUGCUACAAGUAAGCAGCAUAGAUUAAAGUUUAGCAUAUCUGACAGCAUAAGUAAAUGCACUCUAGCAUAUCUGACAACAUAUGGACGUAUGCUAAAAGUCAAACCACAUAAAUUCUGGUGUCCCUGUAUGAUCAUUAUUUUUUUAUUUCAUUUAAAUUGCGUGUCUACUUCACCCACCCGAUUUUUCCCAACAAAAAGCUCAAAUCAGGAUAAUCAAAUGCACAUGUGUGUACUUCAAAAAAAUCAGACCAAAAAAUAUCACGUGUCAAGUGCUAGAACUUGAGCCUAAAAUAAUUCAUUUCAUUUUAUUACUUUGUUUUUGAAUAUUAAUACUAGCUAGUUUUAUAUAAUUCACUUUUGCUCCUUGUUUCUUGUUCCUUGUUAGAAUUGAUCAAUUGAGUUACUAACUUCUGUCCUUAUCUGGUUUUAAUGUAAGCUCUCUCUAUAAUUUAAUCAUUUUUUUUGUAACUCUCUCUGCAAAUUAAUCAAUUUUUUUAUGGACCUUGUGUAAUGGGGAUAUUUCGUCUCAAGUGAGAAUAUUUAUUCUGCAAAAAAACAUUUACAAAAGUUGUAAAUCUAGUUCAGGAUGGAUUAGUUUCAUAUUAAACAUUAGUGACAGCUCUAGUCUAAAAGUCACGUAAACAUUCCUAUUUUGGGCACGUAGCUCUUCACGGUUUGCUGUUCGACAAAAUCAUAACCGACUGUGUGGUCAAAGGGAGCAAAUAAAUCUGAUUUUUCUCCCCUUGAUGAUCAGAUAAAGGGUCGUCCUAGUUUAUUUUUCUAAAAUAUCACUGUCGCUGCGGUGCUGAAGUUCGUUUAGGUCUUUCUAGCUUCGAAUGCUGAAACGUUCGGCAAUACACAAAACAAAAAGUUGUCUCUUUAAUUUAUUUUUCUGUAUAUUUUAAAAUCACAAAAAAUUAAAUACCAAUUUAAUCGAUGUGACACAGCAAUCAUCAUUAUUUUAAAUUUCCUAUACAUUUUCGACUGACGUCAAAAUGAAGAUAAAAUGCAAUUACGUGAUAGAGCACAUAUAAAAUCAGAAACCUCAAAUCAGACUGCUAAACAUAAAAAUACAAUAUAUAUCACUCAAUUUAUUAUGUAGAAAUGAAUACAACAGUAGUCCUGCGUAGCCGAACUCAUCACGAGUCGUAUCCCAGAUUUAAAAACAAUAACAAAAAGAAUCCUCAAAAGGGAAAACACACAAAUUUGGAAAGUCUCAAAACAAGAAACAACAAAUAUAAUUUAUUGAUAUACAUCUGCAGAGAACCAGAUGAAGCUCGGGAAAGCAUUUGAAGAAAAUGGAAUUUAAGGAUUGGUGGUUGAGUGAGUUGGCAUCUCCUUGGGAAGACUCGGGAUGGGGGGAAAUGUCGGCUUAGGAAGCUCAGGUAGAUGGGGGAAAGAAGGCAAUUCAGGCGCCUUGGGCAACUCAGGCUUUGGAAGUUCAGGUACUUCGGGCUCCUUUGGCACCUCAGCCACUUUGGGCAACUCAGGCUUUGGAAGUUCAGGUACUUCGGGCUCUUUUGGCACCUCAGGCACUUUGGGCAACUCAGGCUUCGGAUGUUCAGGUACUUCGGGCUCUUUUGGCACCUCAGGCACUUUGGGCAACUCAGGCUUCGGAUGUUCAGGUACUUCGGGCUCUUUUGGCACCUCAGGCACUUUGGGCAACUCAGGCUUCGGAUGUUCAGGUACUUCGGGCUCUUUUGGCACCUCAGGCACUUUGGGCAACUCAGGCUUCGGAUGUUCAGGUACUUCGGGCUCUUUUGGCACCUCAGGCACUUUGGGCAACUCAGGCUUCGGAUGUUCAGGUACUUCGGGCUCUUUUGGCACCUCAGGCACUUUGGGCAACUCAGGCUUCGGAAGUUCAGGUACUUCAGGCUCUUUUGGCACCUCAGCUUUCGGAAUCUCUGGCAAUUCUGGUUCUUUUGGCAACUCAGGCUUUGGAAUCUCAGGUAAUUCAGGUUUCUUCGGUAGUUCUGGCUUUGGAAUCUCUGGUAAUUGAGGAUUUUUAGGAAGCUCAGGCUUUGGAAUCUCAGGUAAUUCAGGCUUUGGAAUUUGUGGUAUUUCAGGUUUUGGUAACGGUGGCAAUUCAACCUUAGGCAAUUCAGGCUUGGGGAUUUCUGGAACUGUUGCCUCUAGAAGAUGGCGAGCAGCGAUCAAAUCAAUGUUAAAGCUCAUUGACGAUAAAGCGAUUAGCAAAAGUGGUAGCAUAACGGAUGAGAAAGAGAAGGAUGCCAUUGUUGAUAUG